rnacentral:lncRNA from 1 species
ACAUAUUAUUGAGACCAACUAGCAACAUAGAAAGCACAAUAGUGUACCAACAAUGGCAGCCAAAAUAUUUUGCUUCCUUAUGCUCCUUGGUCUUUCUGCAAGUGCUGCUACCGCAACCAUUUUCCCACAAUGCUCACAAGCUCCUAUAGCUUCCUUUCUUCCCCCAUACCUCUCACCAGCGGUGUCUUCAGUAUGUGAAAACCCAAUUCUUCAACCCUACAGGAUCCAACAGGCAAUCGCAGCAGGCAUCUUACCUUUAUCACCCUUGUUCCUCCAACAACCGUCAGCCCUAUUACAGCAGUUACCUUUGGUGCAUUUGUUGGCACAAAACAUCAAGGCACAACAACUACAACAACUUGUGCUAGGAAACCUUGCUGCCUACUCUCAGCAACAGCAGUUUCUUCCAUUCAACCAACUGGCUGCAUUGAACUCUGCUGCUUAUUUGCAACAACAACUACCAUUCAGUCAGCUAGCUGCUGCCUACCCCCAGCAAUUUCUUCCAUUCAACCAACUGGCAGCAUUGAACUCUGCUGCUUAUUUACAACAGCAACAGCUACCACCAUUCAGCCAGCUAGCUGAUGUGAGCCCUGUUGCCUUCUUGACACAACAACAGUUGUUGCCGUUCUACCUGCACGCUGCGCCUAACGCUGGCACCCUCUUACAACUGCAACAAUUGCUGCCAUUCAACCAACUUGCUUUGACAAACCCAACAACGUUCUACCAACAACCCAUCAUUGGCGGUGCCCUCUUUUAGAUUGCUUAUGAGUUAUAGUUCAAUAAUGAAGUUUUUUGGAUGAUGUUUGUGGCUUCCCAGAAAUAAGAAAGUACAUUUCUAGAUUCUUAUGUGCUUCUAGCCUCCAAAUGUGGUUGAUAGUUAUUUUGCUCUAAGAUCGGGAGUAAUGAGGUAUAAAUCAUCGUUGUGGUGUGCUACUCGGUUAAUUAAGCAUUAACACACACAAACAUGACGAGGAUGGUAUGACCUCCAGGGCCAGUAACACGCCGGCACCAGCAAGAUAUCGUGUGAUGGUUAUUGGCGCGUGUUGUUUGUUCGACCCAUUGCUGCAACGCAGACCGCCGCUAACUACCAUCUCCAAGAGACUCCUUCAAUUAAGUCCUAAAAAUCAAAAUAGGACAUGGUUUAAAUUAUUUAAAACCCACCAAUUCGUUUUACUCCAACCGUGAGUCUGAGAGCACCUAGAGGGGGGGGGUCGAAUAGGUGAUCCUGUAAAACUUGAAAUUUAACUCACAAAACUUGAUUAGGAGUUAGCACAAAUAAUGCCAAGUGGCUAGAGAGGAGUCUCAACAAAACACAAUAACCACAAGAGAUCAAUCACAGAGAUGGCACAGUGGUUUAUCCCGUGGUUCGGCCAAGACCAACGCUUGCCUACUCCACGUUGUGGCGUCCCAACGGACGAGGGUUGCAAUCAACCCCUCUCAAGCGGUCCAAAGACCCACUUGAAUACCACGGUGUUUUGCUUGCUUUACUAUAUCCCGUUUGCGAGGAAUCUCCACACUUUGGAGCCUCUCGCCCUUACACUUAGAUGAUCACAAAGAAGCACAGAGUAAGGGAGGGAUAAGCAACUCACUCAAGACAAGAAAUCACAGCAACACCACGCACACAAGUCGCAACAAGAGCUCACAACACAACUCAAUGAGUUCACAACUCAACUAGAGCUCUAACUGCUAUCGCAAGGAAUCAAAAGCGCGGAAUCGAUGUCUUAGUGCUUAGGAAUGCUUAGAGAAUGCUUGGUGUAGUCCUCCAUGCGCCUAGGGGUCCCUUUUAUAGCCCCAAGGCAGCUAGGAGCCGUUGAGAGCAAUCCGGGAAGGCAAUUCUUGCCUUCUGUCGCCUGGCGCACCGGACAGUCCGGUGCACCACCGGACACUGUCCGGUGCGGAUUUCCUUCCUUAUUUGGCGAAGCCGACCGUUGGCAGCCUUGGAGCCGUUGGCGCACCGGACACUGUCCGGUGCACACCGGACAGUCUGGUGCCCCCUCCCGACCGUUGGCUCGGCCACGUGUCUCGCGCAGCCGACCGUUGGCCCGGCCGACCGUUGGCUCACCGGACAGUCCGGUGCACACCGGACAGUCCGAUGAAUUAUAGUCGUACGUCGUUAAUUUAUUCCCGAGAGUGACAAGUUCGCCUGUGCCAGCCUGGCACACCGGACACUGUCCGGUGCACCACCGGACAGUCUGGUGCACCCAGACAGAGCUGGCUUUGGCUGAACAAGGCUAUCUCUUUUCCAAUUCGAUUUCUCCUGUUUCCAGCACUUAGACACAAUAAAUUAGUCACUAAAACAAUGUACUAAGUCUAAGAAACAUACCUUUAUACUUGAUUUGUACUUUGUCCACCAUUUGACACUUAGGCACUUGUGUUGGACACUAGAUCACCAAAACACUUAGAAAUGGCCCAAGGGCACAUUUCCCUUUCAAUCUCCCCCUUUUUGGUGAUUAAUGCCAACACAACAUAAGGCAAGUAGAACAAGUACGAAAUCAAUUCAAAUAAGAACUCAAAUUUGUUUUGAAUCAAAUUUGGCAUAUAUGGAUCAUUCUUUGCCACCACUUGGUUUGUUUUUGCAAAUCAACCUCAAAUUCCUAUCUCUAAGUCAAAAACACUUGUUGAGACAUAACAAGAGUUGUUCCAAGAGAAAUUGAUCAGAGAUUUCAAAAACUCCCCCUUUUUCCCAUAAUUAAGCCUUCUCCCCACAAGAGACCAACUUUUGACAAUAAGAGGCAAACAAGAGUAUUUUGACAAACAAAAACUCUAACUCUAUUUUUUUAAAAUUCUCAAGUGGUAGCUGAUCUAUUUAUUGCUUUGGCCUUAUUUUCUCCCCCUUUGGCAUCAAGCACCAAAACGAGAUCAAUCUUGGCCCUCGAACCCCAUUGCCUCACCAAAAUCUUCAACUAAGAGUUAAAAAAAGGCAAUAAGAGUACAAAGAUGAACUUGGAAUAAGUUACUCGUUCAUCGGAGUGCAGUGGAAGUCUUGCAUAGUCCAAGUCCACCUUUUCCCUUUCAAUCCUCCUUUGAGACUAAAAUAAGCAAACUCACGCACAUGGUUAGUCUCAAAGGGUCAAGUUGUAGCACAUCUCCCCCUAAAUUUGUGCAUCACUUGCAAAUGAACUUGUAAGGUCCGGGGAGUGCUUGUACAACUUGAGCACCAUAAGUAAACAACAAAAUGCAUAAGGAACAUGAUCAAAGGCAUAAACACAUGUAUGCUAUAAAUCAAUCCAAGUUCCGCGAAUCUAAGACAUUUAGCUCACUACGCAACUUGCAAAAUGUCUGCUCAUCUAAAGGCUUGGUAAAGAUAUCGGCUAGCUGGUUCUCAGAGCUAACAUGAAACACUUCGAUAUCUCCCUUUUGCUGGUGGUCUCUCAAAAAGUGAUGCCAGAUGUCUAUGUGCUUUGUGCGGCUGUGUUCAACAGGAUUAUCCGCCAUGCGGAUAGCACUCUCAUUAUCACAUAGGAGUGGGACUUUGCUCAGAUUGUAGCCAAAGUCCCUGAGGGUUUGCCUCAUCCAAAGUAGUUGUGCGCAGCACUGUCCUGCAGCAACGUACUCGGCCUCAGCGGUGGAUAGGGCAACAGAGGUUUGUUUCUUAGAACUCCAUGACACCAGGGACCUUCCUAAGAAUUGGCACAUCCCCGAUGUACUCUUCCUAUCGACCUUACAUCCAGCAUAGUCGGAGUCUGAAUAUCCAAUCAAGUCAAAGGUAGACCCCUUUGGAUACCAAAUCCUGAAACAAGGUGUAGCGACUAAAUAUCUAAGAAUUCGCUUCACAGCCACUAAGUGACACUCCUUAGGAUCGGAUUGAAAUCUAGCACACAUGCAUACACUAAGCAUAAUAUUCGGUCUACUAGCACAUAAAUAAAGUAAAGACCCUAUCAUAGACCGGUAUGCCUUUUGAUCAACGAACUCACCUCCUUUGUUGAGGUCGGUGUGUCCGUCGGUUCCCAUUGGAGUCUUUGCGGGCUUGGCGUCCUUCAUCCCAAACCGCUUGAUCAAGUCUUGCUUGUACUUGGUUUGAGAGAUGAAGGUUCCAUCCUUGAGUUGCCUCACUUGGAAGCCAAGGAAGUAGAUUAACUCGCCCAUCAUCGACAUCUCGAAUUUCUGAGUCAUCACCCUGCUAAACUCUUCACAAGACUUUUGGUUAGUAGAACCAAAUAAUAUGUCAUCGACAUAAAUUUGGCACACAAAGAGAUCACCAUCACAAGUCUUAGUAAAAAGAGUUGGAUCGGCUUUCCCAACCUUGAAAGCAUUAGCAAUUAAAAAGUCUCUAAGGCAUUCAUACCAUGCUCUUGGGGCUUGCUUAAGUCCAUAGAGCGCCUUAGAGAGCUUACACACGUGGUCGGGGUACCGUUCAUCCUCGAAGCCAGGGGGUUGCUCCACGUACACCUCCUCCUUGAUUGGCCCGUUGAGGAAAGCACUCUUCACAUCCAUUUGGAACAACCUGAAAGAAUGGUGAGCGGCAUAUACUAGCAAAAUGCGAAUGGACUCUAGCCUAGCCACAGGAGCAAAAGUCUCCUCAAAGUCCAAACCUGCGACUUGGGCAUAACCUUUUGCCACAAGUCGUGCCUUGUUCCUUGUCACCACCCCGUGCUCGUCUUGUUUGUUGCGGAACACCCACUUGGUUCCCACAACAUUUUUCUUGGGACGAGGCACCAGUGUCCAAACUUCAUUUCUUUUGAAGUUGUUGAGCUCCUCCUACAUGGCCAACACCCAGUCCGGAUCUAGCAAGGCCUCUUCUACCCUGAAAGGCUCAAUAGAAGAGACAAAGGAGUAAUGCUCACAAAAAAUUAACUAAUCGAGAUCGAGUAGUUACUCCCUUGCUAAUAUCACCCAAAAUUUGGUCGACGGGAUGAUCCCUUUGAAUCAUCGCUCGAACUUGGGUUGGAGGUGCCGGUUGCGCUUCUUCCUCCAUUGCAAGAUCAUCUUGUGCUCCCCCUUGAUCACACGCCUCCUGCUCAUCAUCUUGAGUUGGGGGAUGCACCAUUGUUGAGGAAGAAGGUUGAUCUCGUUCAUCUUGUUCCUGUGGCCGCACAUCUCCAAUCGCCAUGGUGCGUAUUGCGGCCGUUGGAACUUCUUCUUCAUCUACAUCAUCAAAAUCAACAACUUGCUCUCUUGGAGAGCCAUUAGUCUCAUCAAAUACAACGUCGCUAGAGACUUCAACCAAACCCGAUGAUUUGUUGAAGACUCUAUACGCCUUUGUAUUUGAGUCAUAACCUAACAAAAAUCCUUCUACAGCUUUGGGAGCAAAUUUGGAAUUCCUACCCUUCUUCACUAGAAUGUAGCAUUUACUCCCAAAAACUCGAAAAUACGAAACAUUGGGUUUGUUACCGGUUAGUAGCUCAUAUGACGUCUUCUUGAGGAGGCGAUGAAGGUAGACCCUGUUGAUGGCGUGGCAAGCCGUGUUCACAGCUUUCGACCAAAAGCGCUCGGGGGUCUUAAACUCUCCAAGCAUCGUCCUCACCAUGUCUAUAAGCGUCUUGUUCUUCCUCUCUACCACACCAUUUUGCUGUGGUGUGUAGGGAGCGGAGAACCCAUGCUUGAUCCCUUCCUCCUCAAGGUACUCCUCCACUUGAAGGUUCUUGAACUCGGACCCAUUGUCGCUCCUUAUCUUUUUCACCUUGAGCUUAAACUCGUUUUGAGCUCUCCUUAGGAAGCGCUUGAGGGUCCCUUGGGUUUCAGAUUUAUCCUGCAAAAAGAAUACCCAAGUGAAGCGGGAAAAGUCAUCAACUAUAACAAGACCAUACUUACUUCCUCCUAUACUUAGAUAAGCGACGGGUCCAAAGAGGUCCAUGUGAAGCAUCUCCAAAGGUCUUGAUGUGGUCAUCACAUUUUUGGUGUGAUGAGAGCUUCCCACCUGUUUGCCUGCUUGACAAGCUGCACAAGGUCUAUCUUUUUCGAAUUGUACAUUAGUUAAACCUAUCACGUGUUCUCCCUUUAGAAGCUUGUGAAGGUUCUUCAUCCCCACAUGUGCUAAGCGGCGAUGCCACAGCCAGCCCAUGCUAGUCUUAGCAAUUAAGCAUGCAUCUAGACCGGCCUCCUCUUUUGCAAAAUCAACUAAGUAAAGUUUGUCGUCUAAUACACCCUUAAAAGCUAGUGAACCAUCACUUCUUCUAAAGACAGACACAUCUACAUUUGUGAAUAGACAAUUAUAUCCCAUAUUGCAUAAUUGACUAACAGAUAACAAAUUAUAUCCAAGAGACUCAACUAAAAACACAUUAGAUAUAGAGUGCUCGGAUGAAAUAGCAAUUUUACCUAACCCUUUUACCUUGCCUUGAUUCCCAUCACCGAAUAUUAUUGAAUCUUGGGAAUCCUUGUUUUUGACGUAGGAGGUGAACAUCUUUUUCUCCCCCGUCAUAUGGUUUGUGCAUCCGUUGUCGAUAAUCCAGCUUGAACCCCCGGAUGCAUAAACCUGCAUGGCAAAUUUAGGCUUGGGUCUUAGGUACCCAACUCAUGUUGGGUCCUACAAGGUUAGCACAAAUAUCCUUAGGGACCCAAAUGCAAGUUUUGUCUCCCUUGCAUUUUGCCCCUAAUUUUCUAGCAACUAUCUUCCUAUCCUUUCUACAAAUAGCAAAGGAAGCAUUUAAAGCAUGAUAUAUUGUAGAGGGUUCAUUAACUUUCCUAGGAACAUUAACAACAUUUCUCCUAGACAUAUGAACAAAAUAUCUCCUAGACAUAUCUCUACCAUGCAUAUAGGAAGAACUAGAAGCAAACAUGGCAUGAGAGUUAAAAGCAUCAUAAGCAUUACAACUCCUAUAAGACUGUCUUCUAUCAUGGUACAUAAAAGCAUGGUUCGUUUUAGCACUAUUUGCCAUAGGGGCCUUCCCUUUCUCCAUGAUGGAGAUGGGUGCCUUAUGGCUCGUUAAGUCCUUGGCUUCCCUCUUGAAGCCAAGUCCAUCCUUAAUUGAGGGGUGUCUACCAAUCAUGUAGGCAUCCCUUGCAAAUUUUAGUUUAUCAAAAUCACUCUUGCUAGUCUUAAGUUGGGCAUUAAGACUAGCCAAUUCAUCAUUCAGUUUGGAAAUUGAAACUAGGUGUUCACUACAAGCAUCAAUGUCAAAAUCUUUACACCUAUUGCAAAUCAUAACAUGUUCUACACAAGAGUUAGAUUUACUAGCUAUUUCUAACUUAGCAUUCAAACCAUCAUUUAUGCUCCUUAAGCUAGAAAUUGUCUCAUGGCAAGAAGAUAGUUCACAAGAAAGCAUUUCAUUUCUUUUAACUUCUAAAGCAUGAGAUUUUUGUGCCUCUACAAAUUUGUCAUGCUCUUCAUAUAAAAGGUCCUCUUGUUUUUCUAAAAGUCUAUCCUUUUCAUUCAAGGCAUCAAUCAAUUCAUUAAUCUUAUCUACUUUAGUUCUAUCCAAUCCCUUGAACAAACUAGAGUAAUCUAUUUCUUCAUCACUAGACUCAUCAUCACUAGAAGAAUCAUAAGUGGCAUUGUUUCGAUUACAUACCUUCUUCUCCUUCGCCAUGAGGCAUGUAUGACGCUCGUUGGGGAAGAGGGAUGACUUGUUGAAGGCGGUGGCGGCGAGUCCUUCAUUGUCGGAGUCGAAUGACGAACAAUCCGAGUCCCACUCCUUGCCAAGGUGUGCCUCGCCCUUAGCCUUUUUAUAUGCCUUCUUCUUCUCCCUCUUAUUCCCCUGUUCCUGGUCAGUAUCAUUAUUGGGGCAGUUAGCGAUAAAAUGACCAAUCUUACCACACUUGAAGCAUGAGCGCUUCCCCUUUGUCUUGGUCUUGCUUGGCUGCCCCUUGUGACCCUUUAGCGCUGUCUUGAAGCGCUUGAUGAUGAGAGCCAUCUCUUCAUCAUUUAGCCCUGCCGCCUCAACUUGUGCCACCUUGAUAGGUAGCGCCUCUUUGCUUCUUGUUGCCUUGAGAGCAAAGGGUUGAUGCUCAUUGAUUGGACCAUUCAAUGCGUCGUCCACGUAUCUCGCCUCCUUGAUCAUCAUUCGCCCGCUCACGAAUUUCCCAAGAACUUCCUCGGGCGACAUCUUGGUGUACCUAGGAUUUUCACGAAUAUUGUUCACCAGAUGUGGAUCAAGUACAGUAAAGGACCUUAGCAUUAGGCGAACGACGUCGUGGUCCGUCCAUCGCGUGCUUCCGUAGCUCCUUAUUUUGUUGAUGAGGGUCUUGAGCCGGUUGUAUGUUUGGGUUGGCUCCUCGCCCCUUAUCAUUGCAAAUCUCCCGAGCUCGCCCUCUACCAACUCCAUCUUGGUGAGCAAGGUGACGUCAUUCCCCUCAUGAGAGAUCUUGAGGGUGUCCCAGAUCUGCUUGGCAUUGUCCAAGCCGCUCACCUUAUGGUACUCGUCCCUGCACAAAGAGGCUAACAACACAGUAGUAGCUUGUGCAUUCUUAUGAAUCUGUUCAUUAAUGAAUAUAGGACUAUCCGAGCUAUCAAAUUUCAUUCCAUUCUCAACAAUCUCCCAUAUACUUGGAUGGAGAGAGAACAGAUGACUACGCAUUUUGUGACUCCAAAAUCCGUAGUCCUCCACAUCAAAGUGUGGAGGUUUGCCAAGAGGGAUGGAAAGCAAAUGUGCAUUUGAGCUAUGCGGAAUACGGGAGUAAUCGAAAGAAAAGUUCGAAUUAACCGUCUUUCGUUUGUCGUAGUCGUUGUCGUCGUUGUCCUUUUGGGAAGAAGUGGACUCAUCGCUGUCGUCGUAGUAGACAAUCUCCUUGAUGCGUCUUGUCUUCUUCUUCUUCCCAUCUUUGCAUUUGUGGCCCGAGCCCGAGUCGGUAGGCUUGUCAUCCUUGGGCUCAUUGACGAAGGACUCCUUCUCCUUAUCAUUGAUCACAAUCCCCUUGCCCUUAGGAUCCAUCUCUUCGGGCGGUUAGUCCUUUUCUUGAAGAGAACGGCUCCGAUACCAAUUGAGAGCACCUAGAGGGGGGUGAAUAGGUGAUCCUAUAAAACUUGAAAUUUAACUCACAAAACUUGAUUAGGAGUUAGCACAAAUAAUGCCAAGUGGCUAGAGAGGAGUCUCAACAAAACAUAAUAACCACAAGAGAUCAAUCACAGAGAUGGCACAGUGGUUUAUCCCGUGGUUCGGCCAAGACCAACGCUUGCCUACUCCACAUUGUGGCGUCCCAACGGACGAGGGUUGCAAUCAACCCCUCUCAAGCGGUCCAAAGACCCACUUGAAUACCACGGUGUUUUGCUUGCUUUACUAUAUCCCGUUUGCGAGGAAUCUCCACACUUUGGAGCCUCUCGCCCUUACACUUAGAUGAUCACAAAGAAGCACGAAGUAAGGGAAGGAUAAGCAACACACUCAAGACAAGAAAUCACAGCAACACCACGCACACAAGUCGCAACAAGAGCUCACAACACAACUCAAUGAGUUCACAACUCAACUAGAGCUCUAACUGCUAUCGCAAGGAAUCAAAAGCGCGGAAUCGAUGUCUUAGUGCUUAGGAAUGCUUAGAGAAUGCUUGGUGUAGUCCUCCAUGUGCCUAGGGGUCCCUUUUAUAGCCCCAAGGCAGCUAGGAGCCAUUGAGAGCAAUCCGGGAAGGCAAUUCUUGCCUUCUGUCGCCUGGCGCACCGGACAGUCCGGUGCACCACCGGACACUGUCCGGUGCGGAUUUCCUUCCUUAUUUGGCGAAGCCGACCGUUGGCAGCCUUGGAGCCGUUGGCGCACCGGACACUGUCCGGUGCACACCGGACAGUCCGGUGCCCCCUCCCGACCGUUGGCUCAGCCACGUGUCUCGCGCAGAUCGCGCAGCCGACCGUUGGCCCGGUUGACCGUUGGCUCACCGAACAGUCCGAUGAAUUAUAGUCGUACGCCGUUAAUUUAUUCCCAAGAGCGGCAAGUUCGCCUGUGCCAGCCUGGCACACCGGACACAGUCGGGUGCACCCAGACAGAGCUGACUUUGGCUGAACAAGGCCAUCUCUUUUCCAAUUCGAUUUCUCCUGUUUCCAGCACUAAGACACAAUACAUUAGUCACUAAAACAAUGUACUAAGUCUGAGAAACAUACCUUUAUACUUGAUUUGUACUUUGUCCACCAUUUGACACUUAGGCACUUGUGUUGGACACUAGAUCACCAAAACACUUAGAAAUGGCCCAACAACACAUUUCCCUUUCAGAGUCAUAUAAUCAUGUUACUUAGUUAAUUCUUCGCUUCACCGCAACAAUGUCGUCGUCGCUCUAUCAUCGUCCAUGUUCGGUCAGGUGAGGUGAGGUGAGGUGUAGUCUCUAAUAUACUUAAAGCACCAGUUUCAACGGUCGUCCUACGCCAUCUUUUUACAAAAAGUCCCUACAUUUCUUUUAAAUCAAUUCAGCGUAAAAUGUUAAAAAGCGGCGCCAGAGACAAUCUUUCACAUGAUCAUGUUGUCCUGCAGAUGGAGUAGUAGGCCUUCACGUGAUCAUGUUGUCCGAUAGAUAGGGUAGCGGGCCAGCGGUUGUUGGUUACUCUCCACCAACAAGAGAGAUAGGAAUCUAUUAGAAGCCAGAGCUCCAGCUUGCUAGUUCGAUUUGAUGGCAGCAACUAACAAGACAAUGACGCUCAGCAUGAUAUGAAGAUUGCCAUCGAUAGGAAGGAUCAUCACCUGCUGUUCGCGGAGGCGAGAAAGGAUGUGGUCGACUUCUUCUCCCUACUCGUCCUACUCGUCGGCGCGACCGUCAAACUGCUGGGGAAUAAGGGCAUGGCCGACAACACCUGACCAUUGAUCUCACAUGCCAUUUUAGCUCUCUCAUUCUCUAGUCUCACCCUGACUAUUUAGGUCUCCUGACUCGCUAAUAUAAACACCAUCCUAUCAUUUGAUCUCGAAUACUUCUUUGUCACAACUCAACUGUCAGAUGAGUACUCCAUUACAACACUUACGUACAAGAGUUCUAUGAGAGCAGGCCUCCGAAAUGAAUGUCGACUAAGUGUUUAUCUACUCAGAUGAAGGACGACAAUCGUGUUCUUCGAAAAUAUCAGCGACAUAACUCCUUACUUCCUCCGCUUCUUUCUAGUGUUUUUUGUUGUGAUUGAGUCGACACAACAACAACAUUGCACUAUUACAACCAGUACGACUAUAUCAACUAACAAUGUCUUCCUUAUAUGUUACUAUUUAUUUUGCUCAUAUUCAUUAUGUUUAAAUCACAUGUGCACCUUUCUAUUGACAUCAAAAAAAUAGUAUCAACUUUCUAGAUUAAAAUGCAACUAAAAGUACCUAAAUUUCUAUCGGUGGGGAUUGAGUGAUUCUUUAAACCGAUUAUUACAUAAGUUAACCACACUAAAAUUAACAUUGGUGAAUUGUGCCAUGAUUUUUUUCUAGUGCAAAAUAGCCAAACCAAGCAACACAUAUGUGGCUAUCGUUACACAUGUGUAAAGGUAUUGCAUCACACCAUUGUCACCCAUGUAUUUGGACAAUACCGAGAGGAAAACCCACUUAUUUAUUGUAUUUUAUCAAGUUUGUCUUGCUUACGUAUAAAUUAUAACCCAACAAAGUAGUCACUAAAUGUCAAAACCAACUAGAUACCAUGUCAUCUCUACCUUAUCUUACUAAUGUUCUUUUUGCAAAAUCCAAAAUUAAUCUUGCACAAGCACAAGGACUGAUAUGUGUAUAAAUAUCUCUUAGAUUAGUAGUUAAUACAUCGCACAUAUUAUUGAGACCAACUAGCAACAUAGAAAGCACAAUAGUGUACCAACAAUGGCAGCCAAAAUAUUUUGCUUCCUUAUGCUCCUUGGUCUUUCUGCAAGUGUUGCUACCGCAACCAUUUUCCCACAAUGCUCACAAGCUCCUAUAGCUUCCCUUCUUCCCCCAUACCUCUCACCAGCGGUGUCUUCAAUGUGUGAAAACCCAAUUGUUCAACCCUACAGGAUCCAACAGGCAAUCGCAACAGGCAUCUUACCAUUAUCACCCUUGUUCCUCCAACAACCGUCAGCCCUAUUACAGCAGUUACCUUUGGUCCAUUUGGUGGCACAAAACAUCAGGGCACAACAACUACAACAACUUGUGCUAGCAAACCUUGCUGCAUACUCUCAGCAACAUCAGUUUCUUCCAUUCAACCAACUGGCUGCAUUGAACUCUGCUGCUUAUUUGCAACAACAAUUACCAUUCAGCCAGCUAGUUGCUGCCUACCCCCAGCAAUUUCUUCCAUUCAACCAACUAGCAGCAUUGAACUCUGCUGCUUAUUUACAGCAGCAACAACUACUACCAUUCAGCCAGCUAGCUGAUGUGAGCCCUGCUGCCUUCUUGACACAACAACAGUUGUUGCCGUUCUACCUGCACGCUAUGCCUAACGCUGGCACCCUCUUACAACUGCAACAAUUGCUGCCAUUCAACCAACUUGCUUUGACAAACUCAACAGUGUUCUACCAACAACCCAUCAUUGGUGGUGCCCUCUUUUAGAUUGCUUAUGAGUUAUAGUUCAAUAAUGAAGUUUUUUGGAUGAUGUUUGUGGCGUCCCAGAAAUAAGAAAGUACAUUUCUAGAUUCUUAUGUGCUUCUAGUCUCCAAAUGUGGUCGAUAGUUAUUUUGCUCUAAGAUCGGGAGUAAUGAGGUAUAAAUCAUCGUUGUGGUGUGCUACUCGGUUAAUUAAGCAUUAACACACACAAACAUGACGAGGAUGGUAUAAUCUCCAAAAAUAUGUACUUUGUUAGGUGGGACCCUAUAGCCAUGCAGAAUGUGCUAUGUUAGGCUUGCCGAUGGAAACGUGUGACGCAUACGUUUUGUGAACCUGUUGAUAUUAUAUGUGCUUUUAUAUUAUCAUAUUUUAUUAAAAUAUUAAUAUUUAUUACUAGUAAGAUAUAACAUUCUAUCUAACUUAAAACUUACCAUAAAUAUUCCAUCAUAACUAGAUUUACCAAACUAAUAAACUAAAUAUACAUAAUAAAUACAAAAUUAACAAGACAUUAAUCAAUAUUUACGAGCUUAAUAAAUUUAAACAUUAUGGUUUGUCGACGAUAAUCAUACUAACUUUCUGUAAUUGCUUGAUUGUAAAUAUGCUUAGACUAAUGCCUCUUUGUUCUACAUGGCAAAUAGGGACCGCUCUAGAAGACUAGGAUGUCCCUUGAGACGAAAAUGUUAUCAUUGGUGUAGACUAAUUUCUAUCGGUCGCUGACUUCACUAUUGUAACCAUUAUCUCUUGGGUAAAUCAUAUACGAUUAUCCAGCCAAAGGGCCCAGAUGAUAAAAAACAAUUUUAAUUGCUAUUUCAGGACAAAUGAAUUAGCAUGGUUCGAAGGAUUAUGACCUUCCCCCAUGACCUUUGUCAUACUGCUUUAGUCUAAUCGACAAAACCAAGAUUAGAUUUCAUCGAAGAAGUUGAUAAGCGAAGCUGUGACGAUGAAAGGAACAUGGUGGCAAUAGGACGAACGACAAUUCCUUUGUCUAAGAAUGACAUCUAGAAGAAAUCUCAGACAAAAUAGAACAUGAAUGGCUUGUCAGUACAACGAAAAUACUGAAACAUGCACCCUUGAAUAUGAAACAUUUAUAUGUAAGAGGAAGGGCUAAAAAACUAAUUUCUCGUGCCUAAUGAUUUUAUUGAGAAUUUUAAGGCGAGACUUAUGGAAAAGGGUUAUACCCAAAAAAAGGAGAGAUUAUUUCGAUACUUAUUAACUUGUUGCCCUUCUAAUGACCAUACAUGUGUUACUUUUUUGGUUGCCUCGCAUGGUCUUAUCGUUCAUCUGAUGAAUGUUAAGACUUCUUUCCUAAAUGGAGAGCUUAAGGAACAGAUCUACAUUGACUAGCUUGGUGGUUUUAUAUCAAAUGAUAAAGAGAAAAAGGUGUUUAAAAUAUUACAAUUGUUUGGUUUAAAACAAGCACUAAAGCACAUAAGAAAUUUGGUAAAGUUCUGACUUUGGCUAAAUUUGUUGUAAAUGAAACUGAUAAAUGUGUCCAUUACCGAUUUGACAGGGGCGAAGGUAUGACCCUUUUUAUAUGUGGACAAAAUAUUAACCUUUUGUAACGAUGUUAAUAUGAUCGAGGAAGUAAAGUACUUUUUGUCUAGUAACUUUGAAAUAAACAAUCUGGGAGAGGCUAAUGUUGUUCUUAACAAAGAGAUAUUGAGAGAAGAAGGAAAUACGGAGUUACUCUUGUGCAAUCCUAUUAGGUUGAAAAGUCGCCGAGUCACUUUGGAUAUAGUGAUUACACGUCUCGUCCAACAACUUAUGAUCCAAGCGUGCUAUUAUGGAAAAAUCAUAUUAUCGCAUAUGAUCAAUUGAGAUACUGUCAAAUCAUGGUCUUCUCAUAUAUUUGGCUAGCCCAGCGAUGUCUGAUAUCUCAUUUGUUAUGAGCAAACUCAGUCAGUUUGUAUCCAAUCUAGGGGAGGAUCAUGGUAUGCCCUAGAGAGGGUAUUGCACUUUCUCAAAGGGACUAUGAGUAAUGGCAUUUAUUACACUAGGCACCUAAGAGUACUAGAGUGUUAUAGUGAUGCAAAUAGGAUAUCUGAUGUUGAUUAGGUUUAAGCCACAAGUAGACUUGUGUGCUUUCUUGGAGGUGUGAUUGUUUCAUGGAAGUCUUGUAAGUAGACCAUCUUAACAAGGUCAACAAUAGAAGUAGAACUCACAAUAUUAGAUACUACCAAAGUUGAAGUUGAGUGGCUCCAUGAACUCCUUAUGGAUUUAGCAGUAGUUGAAAAAUCAAUACUGGUUAUCUCUAUGAGAUACAAUAAUCAAACAUUUGUAAUCAAAGUAAAUAGUCCUAAAGUUAACAUGAUGUCUACAAAGCACGUAAAAUGGUUGAAACUGUUAAAACACUAAGAAACUCUAGAUUAAUUAUGUUGGACUAUAUCCAUACAUCUAAGAAUUUGGUAUGCCACUUUAUAGAAGAUUUGUCACAUAAUAUGAUUCAAGGUGCAUCGAGGAAUAUAGGCUUGAGACCCACUUAAUGUCAAUCCAUAGUGGUAGCAUUUUCUAUGUGAUUGGAGAUCUCAUGAAGUAGAAUGGUGAAACAAGGUAGAGAAUGACUGAUGGAGAGACUCCUUAAAUAAAAUCUUGGUAAUUUGAGAUGCACAUUUCUCAUUUGAUGUAUUGUAGGCGAACUAAAAUCUUAAUAUAAUUUGAGUGACUUAUCUAAGUAGGGAUGUUAUCUUACAGAACAUCCUAGAAAGAACACACCUAUAUGAGUUUGAAUGUUAGUCAUAGUCUAUCAUGUGUGGGUAAUCUUUAUAUACUCAUGAAAGGCCUCGAAGUUUGACUUAUACAGUUCAAACCAAGGGGGUGCUUGUAACAGUCUAGUACCAGAUAAGAACUUUGGUGAUACUCACUUAACACAAAAAUGUCAAUUCAAGGCAUAGUUCAUUGUUUAGAUGUGAAUGUGUAAUCCCUAUUUUAGAUGGAUGGUCAACUUAACAGCCUCCACCAAAACCCUGAUAUCUCAAAGAGUAGUGGAUUUGAGUUUGUCUAAUAUGUGGCUUAGAAUUUGGUGGGGAUUGUUAAUAUUUUAUGGGCUUGGCCCAUUUAAAGUAUUUAAUACUUUUGAAAGCCAAGAUUAAACAAACUAUGUAUGAUCCUUUAUCACUGUAUAGAUGGUUGAUGGGAUGGUUACAUUGUUUAUAUAGAUGGACCUAUCUGUAUUCAUUGAGUGGUUGAGAAAAAGGUAAAGGCGCGUCACACCCACGUGUGUGCCACCUCCACCGAGACGAUGUGUGGCGUGGCAAGGUGAGGCAUGGCAUGGUGCAGCACGGUUGCAGUCAUGGUCGUGGCGCGGUGUAGCGUUGUUGUGGAUAGAUAGAUAAACUAUUGUUGUAGUUAGAGCACAUGAGUUUUUGAAUGUAACACUAGAAUCUUCGCAUGUUAACUUAAUUAAGAACUUAUAUCUUGAUGACAUAGAGUUACCUGACCAUUGAUCUCACAUGCCCGUUUAGCUCUCUCGUUCUCUGGUAUCACCCUGUCUAUUUAGGUCUCCUUACUCGCCAAUAUAAACAUCAUCCUAUCAUUUGCUCUCGAUUCACUUCUGUCACUACUCAACUGUCAGAUGUGUGGCAGAACCUCCCAAGUUAUUGGGCCCACAUGCACCUGCCCUUGUCUCAAAGACCUCAGACGACUAUGCAUGUGCACCAGAUAACUUAACAGGAUCCGUCUGAGUGUCCCAAGGACCCCGGAUAAACCACUUACAACCAGGACCACAAGAUUAAGUAAACACAAAUCACACACUAACGUUUAGCAGCGGAAUUUCUUUAUUACAAAAAACUUACAAGUUACACCAAAUUUACAUUAUGUUUAUCGGAGUGGUUACAAAAGUGUUUCAAAGGAAUAAACUUUGAAGUGUUAUAAAUUAUUUAUAAGUUUGAAAUAUAUGCUAGCUUAGUGACAAUCCUCAACAAGAAGUAUAAUAGAGGUACUUAGACUUAUAAGAAGGUCGUGCCCACCGGCGGUUAACACCAUCCAUAGCAGCACAAACCUAGUACCUGCAACAACAUGGGUUCGAAAACCCUUAGUACGAAGUGUACGUUCGCAAGUCUUACCCGUCUAAGGAAAAAGACUCUCAAGGAUAUGCUGGCUAUUGGGAAUCAAGGUAAAGCUUAUCAAGAAUCAAAGAUUGUUUGCAGAAAAGCUUACUAUAAGUGAAUCCUUAAAAAAUCAUUUUACUUGUCAGGUUAAGUAAAGUUACCUGCAUCUAGAGUUCUUUCUAUCCUAGUUCAAUCACUUGGCCUAUACUAGCUGUCUUUUUAUCAUCCCAUCAGUUCACUGGAUUGCUACGUGUAAGUCAGUGACCAAGUCUUCAUGUCCGAGAAGUAACGGCGAUCCGAAUCGAUUAAUACUCAGCUAAGGAUCUCUAAUCACACGACAUAUGUAGCACUUAACCCUUGCAUAUGUCAACUCGCCACUGGGUUUCUCAAGACCAGACCGGGUUCACGCUAACCGAGAGCACAGAUACACCACCGUCCAGCCUCUUGCCACGGAGGAUACACACUACUCUCGCCAUCUCUCCACUCCCAUUGCGUGUUGGCCUUUCUGGUAUUGGUCUGCCCGAGGCAAAGCUUACCCAUGACGAGGCAUGUGACUAGUUAAAGGGUCCUCGGUCAGCAGACCCACAUCGGUACGGUCCUUAAUCGACUCAGAUGGAGACACUACACCGAGACUCCCUUCUUGUGCAAGUCAACUGCCCGGUCUCAGCUUUAUUAUUUAAAACCCAAAGUUUGGUACUUGGCAGAAGUACAUCUUUUCAGAUGUUGAACCCAUCAAGGCCCUGAUGGAUCCACCAUCAUAAGUUUUUCUUUGUAAAAAUUCCCAUCCAAUCUGAAGCAUCACCUUUUUUUGUAAAACAAAACAUUUUGUUUCUCUAAAGCAAUGCUAAGCAUCAUAAAAUCCUUUUCAUAAAAGGGAUAUCAAGGGUAAUCAAUUUUUCAAGGAAGAAAAUGCAUCAAUUGUUUAGCACACAACUUCUAUCACCUAAUGCAUCAAACAAGGCGAUAAAGAUUUUAAAACAGCAAGGAGGUGGCAAAUGCACUGGGACUUGCCUAGAUAACACUAGGUUAGUGUUGUUAGGUGGCAACCAGCCUUUUGUGUUGGCACUUAUUCAGUCUGCCAUCUUCAGGUUGAUCCCCCAGCAUCACCUUGGGGAGAAGCCCACGCUUAACAUCAUCUUGUGGUCGACUCAGCUCUGGUCCUCCAUAUCACGUGAUCAACUAGCGUACCUCAUAAGAUGCACGAUGCACAUGUAUGAGUAUCAAGACGAAUAUCGCAAGAUAAUAUUACGAUUUUACAGAAUGAAGAAUUAAACACUUAAUGGUAAAGCAUCACGACAUUUCAUAGGCAACCCGCAUGGAUCUAACGAUAUCACACAACGUAAUAUAACUAAACAAUUCAAAUCCGCGAGGACGACGACGAAUCCAGUCCGAGCAAUCCACCGAAUACUCGAUGAACGUCGCAUGGAUCUUACUUCAUCAAAGCAAAGGUCACCACAAAAACAUAACCUUAACAGUCUAACGUAUUUAUACAAUCUUAGUACAUAGUUUCUUAGAUUUCGAUUAAAAUCGGCUCACCGACACUACUCGUUUCCAAAUAAUUUUAAGCUACGACCCACAUUUAUCCCCCGAAUAUCGACUUAAGUGAUCAGCAUUCGUCUAUGACACCUAGCCGAUUAACAACAUAAUACGGCACUAUUAAAGCAAAUCACUACUUCACCACUACUAUUCAAGUAGAAACUAUUGGCUGGCUGAUUAAAAUCCCAAACCUAUUUUACAUGUUAUGAACUAGCCAAAAUAUAACAUAUAUAUCUAUCAAUAUCUUCAACAUAAUUAACACCCCAAGCCUAUGCUUCAUCACACAAAGACGAAGUGUCAACUCUACAUUUAUGAGCAUCGCCACAUACUACAUGUGAUACAUUUUAACAAUCAUUUAAUAUAACCACACGCACCUGUGCAACUAACAAAAGAAUUCGUCGUGACCAACAAACUAACUCAAUCUACUCCAUGAGUCGGCUAGCGGGAGUAGUGAAAUAGCUCACCACACCAUAAACGACUCGGAUCUGCGAAAUCGACGAUGAAUCCUAGCUCAAGCAUUUCAUUAGACAUUUGGCAAGUGUUGCGUUGAACUACGGUUUCUUUUCCGCACAAAACCCUGGGAUUGCUUUCCUUAAAUCAGGCGCCCAAACUCACGACAUCGACCAAUUCACGGGUACGCAUGGAACAGUGGCGACAACGAGUCAAUGAUAGUUGACCAAACUUUACAUUACCUCGAGCAGUUGGCGAAUGCUGCGGCACGGAAGCAGUAGCGUGCGCAUAAAGGCAGUGAAUGUGGCGAGGGCCCGGUUUGGACAUUUCGUUGAGCGCCUAGCUUGUACCGACGGCGCAGGUGCUGGGCCGAGAGACAACGACAAAAUCCGAUUAUCUAUACUACCUAUUAAGGCUCUAAGGGGUAGGCUGCCUCUGCUUGUUCUGCCUUCCGACGAUCUCAACCGUCCAAUACGCUCUAGAGUCUCUCAGCCGUCCGAUGCGCGCACUCUCACCCCCCACGCAUCGCCCCGCCCCCACCCGAUCGUCCAACCGUGCGCUACCCUAGCUUUGCCUCUACACUCCUCCCGCCGCCUCCUACCCUCCUCCGCGCGACGGCGCGAGCCGCAGCCGGCCCCCGCUCGAGUUGUCCACGAAUCCCACCGCUUGACGCCGUCCAUGCCGCGCCGCACGCCCGCAACCGCCCGCGAAUCCCGCCGCGACCCGCACGCCGUCCCUACGCCCGCCGCUAAACCCCCGUCGUGAAAUGCCCGCACGCACACCUGCUAGCCGCUGCGCACGCCCGCCGCGCGAUGCCGUCCAUGCCGCACCGCACGCCCGCAACGGCCGCCUCCCUACGCGCUUGGGAACCGCCCGCACAGCCCGCCGCGACCCGCACGCCCACGCGCCCAAAUCCCGUCAUGGUCUAGGGCUUCCCCACAACGCCCUCCUUCCCUGCGGCCGUAGAGGCUCCCGCGGCCCCCGUGGCGUGCGCCAGGUGCGGCGCGGACGGGUGCACGGCGGCCGGCUGCUGCGAGCUCGUCGCCGGGUCCAGCAGCGACAGCGACGACGCAGGGUGCUUCGGGACCCGCACCAACGGCGGCGGCCUAGGCCUAGGCCUAGGCGCGGGCAAGCGGAGAGGGAGGGGAGGGGGAGGAAGGUGAGCCAGUACAGGGGCGUGCGGUCCAAUUUUUGGGUAAAUUUCUGGGUCUUCAUCGUGUAUUUUAUGGUUCGUUGAUGGGUUUCCUGAUGGUUGAUGCACGCCUGCUUGGUGGAGGCGGGAAUGGUGAUCGAUGAUUCGUUGGGUGGGUGGGGGGACUGGCUGACAGCUGACAGCUGACUGUGUAUUGUGGUUUGGAUGGCAGGUUUAGCGUCAGUAAUAGCUAGGAUUAGGGUUCAGGCGAUGCUAAGAUUUUGGGGCGCCAAUUGCAGAAUCACUGGAUUGAUUCAUCUUUUAGGGGUUUCCUCGUACUCGGAGUACGAGGGCACCGUUUUAGUUGAAUGUUGCUCUGGUGUCUAAGCGCCAGGUAGUCAAUUUUGCAGUUUCAGUUGGGGAUUGUACGCUGGCAUCAGUUUUUACCUUCUACUCGUUUCAUCUCUUAACAACUUUGUGGUUUGCAGUGGGCACAACAAUUUGUUGCUGCAAACUCUUGUGCUCCGUGGGGCGUGGGCUGUGCAGCAGUUGUGCAGUUUAAUUGUUCUGUUUAUCAUAAUACACAAGGAGUUAGUGUUUGAGCAGAUGUCAAGAUGUUAAUUGUUUAGCAGAUCUCUAGAGGUAAGGGGUUUAUUUAUUUGUUUUUGUUGAACAUAGGGUUUAAGCAGGUCUAAGACUUCAGAUUUUGUGUGGUGACAGUCUUAGGGAUUGCUAAUUUGCUACUAAGAUCGGGAUGCCCACAAUUGUAAUUGUUUUUCGAUCAGAUACUGUUGGUUUUGCAUGGUCCUUGUAUGAGGAUUACUUCUCUAUGACAUUUUUUCUUCUGCAGAAUAAUCUGUCCUUGAAAUAGUGGUGAUAUGUAUUUCUUUUCAGUGCUGUUUUUGUAACUGUGUGAUGGUUAAUCCAUUGGAUUCAUAUGUUCUUGUGUGUCAUAUUUAGGUUGUGUUGGAGGAAUUUAAAACCCUAGCCUAUUGAGUGAGCUGAGUCCUGAGUGUUACAUGUAUUAGAAUUAGGCUCAUAACACUUGUCAUGGCUAGAAAAUUUAGAUCCAGUCUAAAGUUUUUAUUACGGAUCUCACUACUCUAGCAUGGGAAUCGUUCUUCAUUACAUGCUUAGGCUCGAGCCAUUUACAUCUCUGUAUCUAAAUUUUCAGGUUGUCAUUUUGCUCAUAGCUAUCACUGUUUCCUUAAAAUUCGAGCACAUAGCUAUUAUUUUCAAAACAUUAUUCAUGAAUUUGUCAAAACAUAAUUUCUCUUGUUGUAUUUCACCACAGUUCAAAAUAAGGGAUCUUAUCAUAUUAUUUACAUUUAUGUCUGUCUGACACUUGUGCAGGGUGGCAAGUUUGACCAUGCAGAUCAUUUGUUCCAAAGCAUUGAGAGCGCUUACAUAAAUAGCUUAUCAAAUACAAGUGACGUCAAAGAGCUUAUUCCAGAAUUCUUUUACAUGCCCGAGUUUCUUGAAAAUUCAAAUUCAUAUCAUCUUGGUGUCAAGCAGGAUGGGGAACCUAUAGGCGAUGUUGCUCUCCCUCCAUGGGCAAAGGUAACAGUUCCUCUUGAUGUUAGUUAUAUUUGUAAUAAUAGUUUUCUUGAGGAUGGAUUGUUUGUCUACCAGGAUAGUUCUGUUGCUUUUCUAAUGACAGUUAAUUUAGCUUUACAACUGUGUUAGUAAAAACCUUACUAUUCUCAGAUACACAGGGUAUAUCUAGCUUUCACAUACAUGUUACAUUUCCUAUCCCAUCUAUCAACUACAGACGGCAAGAAGUUUGUUGACUGCUUGAAGGAUCAGAAUAUCAUGCCUGGCAUCAAGGUUGACAAGGUAUGCAUGCCAUGAUCUUAUAACAUCAUGUUAGCCCACAAUUUGCUUCUAUCAUUAUGAUUCUCACUGCCUGAUUGCUUUGGUUUCAUGAAUCAGGGUUUGGUUCCAUUGCCUGGAUCCAACAAUGAAUCAUGGUGCCAAGGUCUUGAUGGUUUGGCUUCAAGGUGUGCUGAGUACUAUAAGCAGGGGGCGCGCUUCGCAAAGUGGUCUGUUCAUACUUCCCUUAUUCAUGUGUCAACUAAUCUUAUUUGUGCUUCCUUUCUAAAGUUGCUAUGAUUAUCGAUCUUCUCUAGGAGGACUGUUGCUAGCAUCCCUUGUGGUCCAUCUUCAUUAGCAGUCAAGGAAGCAGCAUGGGGACUUGCUCGAUAUGCUGCUAUUGCUCAGGUAACAAAAUAAACUGCAACUGUGGAAACAUCUUGCAAUAAUUUUUUGAUGACUCAUGGAGCUUUGGUGAAGAACCUAUCUGCAUUCGUAUGGGCACGCAUUAGUCGUGCUGCAGUUACUGUGGAUAGAAAGACGUAUUUUAAUGGGGCUCAGGAUUUGUUUGUUGUUCAACCUGAGGUGUUUAUAAACAUCUAAUACCCCCUGUUCCAAACUAUACUAUGUUUUGACUUUUAUAGAUUCAUAGCUUUGUUGUGUUCUUAGAUAUACACUAUGUCUAUAAUAGUAUAAUCUAUAUAUAUAUCUAUACUACCUAUUAAGGCUCUAAGGGGUAGGCUGCCUCUGUUUGGUUCUGCCUUCCGACGAUCUCAACCGUCCAAUACACUUUAGAGUCUCUCAGCCGUCCGAUGCGCACGCUCUCACCCCCACGCAUCGCCCCGCCCCCAGAUCCCGCAUCCCCCACGGAUCCCGCAGCCGCGCCGCUGUCGCUCCCUCCCGUGCUCCCUUCGCGCCCGCCCAUGGAUCUCCGACAUCGAGCGCUGCCGCCGCUGCCUCGCCUCGGCAAACCCGGCUCCAGGGCGACAGCUCCCGCCGGUGGGACCUCGUGUUCAGCGUCGUGAAGCCGUCCGUGAUCCAGCUGCGGGGGCCCACCAAGGUCAGUGUCUUCAUCGCCAGCAACGACGGCAGCGCUCGCUCCCUCCGUACCAUCCAAUGGCCCGCGUUCGUCCCCUGCCCCGGCAACCCAGCUUAACCCUAGCUCGCUCCCUCCGUAGCCGCCUCUUCCUGCUUCGCUCCUCUCGCGUAGCAACCGCUCCCUCCACUCCCGAGAUCGUGGCCCGACGCCAUGCCGCUCCCGAGACCGCGCCACAAAGCCGCGGAACGUCCUCACCGAUGCACCGACGCGCCCCCGAGCCUGCUUCCCGACGCCACCCUCACACAACCUGCCCCCUGUCACCCUCUGGACGGGACGACACAGGUCUGGAGAAGGGUCCAGAAACCGGCGCGAGUCCACCGCGAAUCCACACGAUCGAUGUCGUCCUCCCGCUCGUUUCGCCGUCGACCUUUCUCCAGUGGUUGAGUGCGACAGGGUUGGUGGCUAGGUCGUGCGAUGGCGAAAUCGAGUCCAGAGUAGCAGAGCAAGGCUGGUCCCAGCGGGCUGCCGGUGUUGUGACCUGCGUGCGUGGUCGUACGCCUGGCCGUUGUGCCGCUAGCUGCGGCGGGCGGGUGGCUGGCGGCGUCGCAUGGCGGACCCAACGCCCAUACAACCUCCAGGGAUUGCUUCCUCCCCAUGGCGUGGAUCUAGAUGGUCUUCACGGCAGAGGAGGAAGAGGUGUCACAGCAGCUUCCGAAGACAUCGUCGACGUCCCUUACCACCUCGAUUGGCGAUGGCAUCGACAGCCCCCAGCCACUGCCCGCGCUAACGGUGGCGUGGACCUCACUGUCUUCAAGCAGUUCGAGCGGAUGGUGUGUUGGCUUCUGCAUGCUUCGUGUUUUCGAAUACGUUGCUAAGCUCAGCAUUGGUUGGUGAUGGUUUUGGUUUGCCAUCUUAAAGAAUCCUGAGCCUGCCAAUGGCGACGACGAUGGAGCUUUGUCACUGCCAGAGACAGGAUUGGGGCUUAGCUUGAAUACUGACGGGGUGCUCAAGGCGUGGUGUGCAGAGGCUCUGCGUUUGCUGAUGGCAAUGGGCCUGACUUGCCAUUGUCCCCUGCUCAUGUGGUAGUAAGUAUUUCCAGCUUAUCUAAAAAUUAUAAAAGAUCUUACAUUUCCAGUUAACAAUUAAAGAUGGCUAGAGCUCUUGGAACCCUGAGUUAUACCUGCUAUUAGUUCAUAUCGUCUGGUAAGUAGAAUCUAUUUCACUUCAGUAGAAGUACAGAUCGUCUGUUGUUUUCUAUCAGCAGUGAUCAGAAAAACUUGGCAUGCAUUACUUUGUUUCGGUCCCUUCGCAUUUCUUGUCAAUGGCAGAUUUCUCCCAGAAGAAAAUCUGUGUCUGAAAUUUGCUAAUAUGAAAUAGUACAGUAUGCCCACCAGUACUUGACUUUACUGACUCAAUGGGCCAGGCAGAAGGAAAUUCCAAUUGGUUGUUUUCUUUGAGUUGAAUCAUUAUAACAAACUUAGCCCUCAUUAUGAUGUAUCUGCAGUUUUUGAAUUCAAUUGAAGUAAAAGGAAAUAUCAUAGUUUGGUCCUUUCGUGAAAUUUUUUUGUCCAAUUUUUUGUCCUUGUAGGUUUUUACGUUGCAUUAGAAAACAUUGUAGGCAACUGAUUUUCUAACAUGUCCCUAUCAGAACUUCCUCCGAGACCAUUUCUUGAGAUCUUGGCACGAGAACUACGACGACGACGACUGGUAAUGUGAUUCUUGCGCCUUCGUUUUUCCCCUGUUUAGACUUUAGAGUGAAUUAGUAUCAUUUUGCUUUUUCCUUUCACCUGAUUGGCAGGGUCUUAGAUUAUUCAACAUUGAUAUGAUUAGGGAGCACCCCCCUUGUCAAGCAACUCACACCAUUACAAGAUCUACACGACAUGGCAUCUGCAUCGCCAAGGCCUCGCUCAACUCAGCGCGGUGAGUAGCACAUGAACAAAAGUGCCCUUUUACCAGUUUUUUAUCAGGGUGCAAUUCUGGAAGCUCAUUGUUUCUAUAAAGAAUUCAAGCUCACUGCAGUUUACUUUGUGUAACAGGAAAGGUGCAUCGAUGACAACCCGGUUCUAUUGUAACAAGAUCAGUGUGGUCCUGGUUGCUUGAUGCUUGUUUGGUUUAAUUGUAUAGCAAAAUUAGGUGUUGACUGCCGAUACCUGGAGAUGUGACACCGCCAGAUGUGUCGCUCAGGCCAGUCACACUGCUCUGCUGUUUUUCAAAGAACAACCUCUUGCUGCGUCAUCAAGGGGUAGACCAGUCUCUGAUGAUUCGUGUAAGAAUCCUUGGGAGAAAGCAAGUGGUCCUGGAAAUGUUACCAGGACAUCUCUGGCCCCACAAGGGCUGCAAGCACAAGUAGGUAUUUAUGUGUUUCACUGAGGAGUGCUACUCAUACCCACGAUGGGAUUUUUUAACCUUAGUCUAAAAUUCGCUCCCAUGGGCAGUCGAACUCAGGACACUGAGGAGUGCUACUCAUACCACAACCAAAACCAAGUCAGCCCUUUCGCUAUACUCUUAAAGGGUUUCUUCAUUUUUUGUUUUCAAUGUUGAUUAUCAUACCUAAAAUGAAAAGAAUGUAGAUUAUGGUCGUAUGGCUGAAAUACUCGUUCGGAGGGCAGGCUCUACUGAUGAAUUCACUCGGUUGACAUCUAUCACAUGGGUAAUUUGUCUUUCAUGUUUUCCUGUGAUCUUAAAACCUAGAAUCUAGACUGCAGAAGCUGGUUUAGUAUUUGUAAGAAUGCUUGACUUAUGACUUAUCCUUUGAAGUGUAGAUCAACGAGUUUGUGAAGCUUGGUGGGGAACAACUUGUUCCCUACUAUGCAGAUAUAUUGGGCGCUGUCUUACCAUGCAUAUCUGACGAGGAGGAGAAAAUCCGAGUGGUACUUUCCCAUCAUGAUUCAUACACUUACUGCAAUGUGAACUGCGUGGUGUGUGCAUGUUCAGGAAUAGCAUUUACUUUAGUUACUGAUUUGUUUGCAAGGUUGCACGCGAAACAAAUGAGGAACUCCGUGCUAUAAAAGCUGAUCCAGCUGAGGGAUUUGAUAUCGGAGCAAUUCUUUCAAUCGCAAAAAGGUUCUCUAUAAAGUCCCUUGGAAAUGAAACUAUGUAGAACUGUUAGGCAUCUAUCUGUAUGCUCUGCCUAUGCUGGUAUUUGAUAAUUAUAUCAACAUGAAAUUUGUGACAAGGCAUUGACCUUUUGUCCUUCAUUUCCAGAGAAUUGAACAGUGAACAUGAGGCCACUCGAAUCGAAGCAUUGCAUUGGUUCUUCACUUUGCUGGAUCGAUAUUGUGCUGAGGUACUAAAAGAGCGAUGGUUUUUGGGCUGCAUUUUGAUAAAUUUCAACAUGUAUCUAAAUGUUUUUAAGCUUUUACAUUGCUGUGAUUUUAUUUUGUCAACUUAGAGUUGGACAUAUGAGAGUUGCAAUUCAUUUAGAUUAACACAAGUCUAUUUGGACCUAUGGUUUAUUUACAUAUUUUCUGGAACAGUUCUUGGCUUACCUGAACGAUAUUUUUGAUCCACUCCUAAAUGCACUUUCUGAUCCUUCGGACGCGGUGAGUUUUCUUUGAAAAGCCUUCCAAACUGCUCUGCUUGUUUCUAGAAUUUGAAACUACAUCCUGUUGUGGGCUGUGAUUAGCUGAUAUUAUAUUGUGCUAUUUGUAUGCGAUGACUUAUAAAGUUAUAGUUUAGUACCAUUUCACAACUCAAUCAAGGUUUGGAUCUAUUUGGAGGGCACAAGCUGCAACUGUUGGGCCUGGUACUGUAGAACCACACCCCAGCACCAUUGGAGUAAUAAUCUUAGAUGAUAAGUUAGAUUCACAUAAUCUCUACUAUAUUUAAAUGGGAAUAAUCUCUCUUCGUGCGUCGCCACGCGUCUCCGCUCCUCCCGCCUGCCUAGCUGAAUUAAUCAAAAAAGGAGAAAAGGAAGAUGGCUCCAGGAUUCAAACCUGGACUGCAAGGACCAAAGCCACGCCCCUUAACCACUGCAUAUAAUGUUCCUUUGUGUUACAGAAGGAUAGAUAUUAUAAUUAAAAGGUAGAUAUUAUCACUACACCUUUAAAGCUUGUGCAAAAAAGAUGCGGGAUGAAAGAUUCGAACCCUGGUCUCUCAAGAAGGGUACAAAGACUUCGCCUGCUAACCAAUACACCUCAUGUUCUGUUAUGUUUUACAAAGGAUCAAUAAUUUUAAUAUAAUAAUACGUAUAAACAGCGCCUGCCCAGGGUGGGUGGUUGCCAUGCUCGUAGCGAUCGGCAGACUGGAUGUUCGCUGUACGUGCAAGGAACAACCUCCAACCUGACCAGUCACAGCAUUGAAGAGAACUGUGACUAUUUCUGCUGGCCCUUGAUGACAGUUCCCCCCCCAGUUAUUUGCUACAAGAAAACCUUUUUUCAGCAGAGUAGCUUUUGGACACCUUGUAUAUGCCUUCAAUUAAAGCGUUUGAAACUCUUUGCAGCCUGCUCACGAGAAAAUCGGUGUCGUUGAUUCCCAAUGGAUUGUACACCAAGUGAUUCCUUCUCUCGGGAACCAGGUAAGGAAGAAAAAAAAGAAACAAAUGUGUACAAUCAGAUUCUACUGUAGCGCCUGAAUAGCAUCUUCCAAAUGCACAGGGGCAGUCGGAGAAUGGGAGGGCGCCAUGGGAAGGGGUAUGAAUCUGACGACUUUGAUAGAUAAUCUCAUGAUGUUUUGUGAGUGUGUGAGGUGCUGUGAAUGAUCUUUAUCUUGGUUGCUGUGUAUGCAGUUAAGAGAGCGUUGCCGGAAAGAGUGGGGGCUUUUCCAGACAAGAAUGGCAGAAGCUGAGAAAGCAUAUUACGAGAUGAUGGGGAUUACACCUCCGAAUGUAAUAUUUGUCUCCUAGGAUAAAAGUUUCAACCCACAUUUUUUUCCUUUGUGUCCAGCAGUGGCUCUUCGAAUAGAGUUAGAUAUUGAUGAAUGGUACAAGUAGAUCAUACGUGACGAUAUAUAUAUAUAUAUAUAUAUAUAGAUCCUUUGAUCCUUCUUCCUGUGUAUUUAUCGUGGGCUGUUCUCACUAGGGUUCUGGUGAAAUGAGAAUGAUAUGUCUGUUCAGUUUAGAGCUUAUAUUCUCUGAACAUGAACAUUCAGAAUCGACAGCAUUGUGCGCACACGAAAAUUCUGCAGAAAACAUUUCAGACGGACAAGGAUGGCCAAAGUAUGACACUUCAUUGUAUACUAGGUGAAUGCCCGUGCGUUGCUACAGAGCGAACAUGUUACAAUAAGAUACAUUAAAAUUCAAAAUACUAAUUACUAUUUUAUGUUCUUAUUAACAUAUUUUAAAAGUUAAGAUAUUUUACAUACCUUAAAAUUCCUACACAUCAAACAAAUCCAUCAUGUGCAGUAAAAUGCAAUAGAGAAGCAUGCAGAUACUGAUGAGGGACGCAGAUUUUUUGGGGACAAAAUGAGGGAGCUGUUGGAGCAUAGAUAAUCACUAGGUAGGGGCUCGUGCGAUGCCACGGAACAUAAAUCUCGAUUUGUAUAUCAGCUAUGCUUCCUGUGAAGCAAGGAAGCGAACGCAAGCCAGCCUUUUGUAUUAGUGCAUUAUGUUCAGUUCUUACUUGAUCAUCCCGUGUUCUCGUGUGUGCCAUUGCCGAGUGGCAAGCUCAACACUGGUAUUGUUGUCUUGUCUCAAAUGAAGUCCGCUUCCACAAGUUAAUCGGAAAUCUUCAUGGGUGAUAGCUGUGUCAGAUUCUUCCGCGCAUAGGGCAAGUAAUGCAAGUGAUAGCUGUGUCAGUUUACCCCCAUUUUUUGGGCAUCUCAAAUGAAGUCCAUUGGAGGUUCGCAAUUUAUGUUCCGUGGCAUCGCACGGGCACCUACCUAGUUAUUGUAGACGAGGAGGACAUGGAAAAUCCUGAGCGAGCACCAGCGUGGAGCUGGGGACCGAGCAGAGGAGGUCUAGGCUAGAGUGGCGCCCAAACACACGACCAUGCAAUCGGUAAGGACUGGGAGCUCAUUUUCGGAUCUGGGCGACAGCGCAGUCCAAGACGGCUAUGACCAGGAACCGAGCUGCAGGACGAGGUCAAACGGAGACCAGAGCUGGCUCACAACGAAGUUGGAGUCGACGACCGGCGACAAAGGAAAUAGGGGGGCGCUCCUCCGACAACUAAAGCCCACGCCGGACCGAGCAGAGAGCGCAGGACCACGGCAAAGUGAGCGCUCCCACGAAAGAACACAACCACACAGACGCGGCCACCGGUGAGGAACCUCGACGUUGAAGCUGGAGUAAGCGAGGGCGUCCGAUCUGCAGAAACUGAGAAGGGGAAAAAUGGAGAAGGGUCGACGGCGUCCUGCGCAGGGAGAAAGCGCGCGCGACCAGGGACUCGGGCAACGCAGUGACUGCGAUCUGUAGACCGGCCCAACAGCGAGGACAAGCAGAGAGGGGCGAGCUGGAGCAGAGGGCAGGGCCGAGCUCGGCGUUGGGGGCGAGUGCCGGCCAUGGAAGAUGAGCAGUCGGCGCUGGGGAGCAGGGAGAUGGGAACUCGAGCUGGGGAAAGGGACUCGGCGACCUCAAUCACCAGGAGGCGCGGCCAAGUGAAAUACGAGCAGGGGCCAGGAGCGCGCGGAGGGAGAGGAAGAAAGCUGAGCGCCAUGGAGACGGGCACGGCAGGGAGGAGCGCCGGCAGAGGAGGAGCUCGGCGCGCAGAGGGGCGAGCCAGGGAGCUCCGGCCGGGCGCAGUCCGAGCAGGGUCUAGGGGCGUGUGGAGGAGAAGCCGGGGAGGAGCGCCGGCGAGCUCGCGGCACCAGGGAGCAGGGCGCGCGGCGAGCAGCAGAUGAUGGAAGUUGCCGCAGGGAGAAGCCAAGGUGAGGGCGCGUGAGGAAGAAGGAAAUUGUGGCUGGGCGUCGAUGGUGAGAAGGGAGGAUAAGGACGGCUGAAGCCCAAGCGGUGGAGAGAUAUUUUUCCUUUUCUCCCUUUUCUUUCUUUUAAUUAGGGAAUACACUGCUAACCGAAUUUAAGAAUUAAACGAGACUAAAAUGGAUCAAUUUAUGAUUUUAGGAUUAAGAUUUUAGGGGGUCUAAAAGAUGUAUAAAAGGAUCAGCCAAAAACGAGAUCGACAACAAUAUUUAGACAGGUUUUGAUGUGGUGAAUACUCCCGGUGUCAAUGAAUUCUUACCCUUUAUUUAUAUUUGAAGAUUUAUAUCGAGACAAGAAACAAAUGGACCAAUCCAAAAUGAUAUGGACGACGAUAUUUGAGACUAUUUGAGACUGCAUUAAUUUAGUUGAAAUCGGAUAAAAAUUUAUCCGAUAUCUAAACAUGGUUGAUUUUAUUAUCUUACAGAGUGUGCUGAAUAAUAAAUUAGAUCAUAACCUCGCGCACGAUUUUUCUCGGACAAUGUGUGAUUCAGAUUAUUUUGCCCCGAACAUUUUUUUGUCGUCGAGUUCUACUUAAUCUGUUUGAGAGGAAAUCGGAGGACUGAACUAAAUUUCCAAAUUCGUAUUCGCUUACUGAUGAAUUUUAAAUAGGCACAUGACUCGCAAACUUUCAGAACAAUUACGUUCCGAAAUUCGCGAAAACUUUAGGAAGAGUCUAAAUAGACAGAAACAUAUACGAUAUUAAAGUCGCGAUAGACAAAAAUGAUUAAAAUUUAGCAUCUAUUUUAUCCAACGCUAUCACGUGUUAAAGUCCGCACUCGUGGUCGAGCAGACAAUAAACACCUGGGGUGUUACAAGAUGAGUACUCCUUUACAACACUUACGUACAUGAGUUCUAUGACAGCAGACCUCUGAAAUGAAUGCCAGCUACAUGUUUAUCUACUUAGAUGAAGGAAGACAAUCACUUUUUGUGAUGUCUCGGCGACAUUACUCCUUACUUCCUCCACUUCUUCCUAGUGUUUCUUUAUUGUGAUUGAGUCGACACAGCGACUACACUGCACUACAACAACCAGUACGACUAUAUCAAUUGGCAAUGUCUCCAUUAGGUUUGAGUCUUAUGAGGGGCUUAAAACUAUGUCACAAUUUAUUUUGUUCAUUUUUAUUAUGUUUAAAUUACAUGUGCACCUUUCUACUGACAUAAAAAAAUUAUCAACUUUCUAGAUUAAAAUGCAACUAAAAGUACCUAAAUUUCUGUCGAUGGGGAUCGAGUGACUCUUUAAACCGAUUAUUACACAAGUUAACCAAACUAAAAUUAACAUUGGUGAAUAGUGCCAUGAUUUUUUUUAGUGCAAAAUAGCACAACAAAGCAACACAUAUGUGGCUAUCGUUACACAUGUGUAAAGGUAAUGCAUCACACCAUUGUCACCCAUGUAUUUGGAAAAUACCAAGAAGAAAAAACAACUUGUUUAUUGUAUUUUAUGGAGAUUGUCUUACUUACAUACAAUUAUUACCCAACAAAGUGGUCACUAAAUGUCAAAACCAACUAGAUACCAGGUGACUUUAUACCUGAUCAAGGUCGGAGGUGACCAAGCGACGGGGAGAGACACCGAAACCGUGGAGACUUCGACUCGAUCUCCGAACGACCGCAGAAUCACAACCGGAGCUAAUUCACACAAUGCGAGGCAGCCGUACUGCAACUCACAAGGCACGAACUAGUGGAUCCCAGAGGAAUCUCUUCACAAGUCCAGGAGAACAAGGAAGAACAGGGGUAGAGUAAACACUCAGCAACUUGGCUGCGGUACUCACUUGGAUUAUCAAAUCAUCAAAUGUUAUCAAAAGUUGUUUUACAUCAUAGACAUAGGGGGUAUUUAUACUAGUGAAAGGGAAAUGUGCCCUUGGGCCAUUUCUAAGUAUUUUGGUGAUUGAGUGCCAACACAAGUGCUUAAAUGUGAAUCUAUGCUCUUGGAUGGACAAAGUGCAAAUCAAGAGUAAAGGUAUGUUUCUAAGCUUUAGUACAUUGGUUUUGUGUACUAAUAUACUUGUCUAAGUGUUAGAAACAGAAAGAAGAAGAAAAGAAAAGAGGUGAAAAAGGCUUGGCUGUGUACAGCCAAGACUGAGCUCAGUCUGGCACACCGGACUGUCCGGUGGUGCACCGGACAGUGUCCGGUGCGCCAGGCUGACUCGGCGUGAAGUGGCCGCUCUCGGGAAUUCGCCGACGGCGUACGGCUAAAAUUCACCGGACUGUCCGGUGUGCACCGGACUGUCCGGUGAACCAACGGUCGGCCGGGCCAACGGUCGGCAGCAGAAUCUGCGCGCGACACGUGGCCAGGCCAACGAUCGGAAGGGGGCACCGGACUGUCCGGUGUGCACCGGACAUGUCCGGUGCACCAACGGCUCCCAGAUCUGCAACGGUCGGCCGCGCCAUUUUAGGAAGGAAAUCGGGCACCGGACAGUGUCCGGUGUGCACCGGACUGUCCGGUGCACCCGACGACAGAAGGCAAGAUUGGCCUUGCAGAUUUUCUCUCAACGGCUCCUAGCUGCCUUGGGGCUAUAAAAGGGACCCCUAGGCGCAUGGAGGAGAGAACCAAGCAACCUUAGAGCAUUCUUGAUCAUCCACACUCAGUCUUUGCGCAUUCGUUUGUCAUUCUCAGUGAUUCGAGCUCCGUUCUAGUGAGAACUUUGAGAUAGUCUUUUGAGCUCGACUCUUGGCCGUGUGUGUGCGCAUUUUGCUGUGGAUUUGUGUGUGUUGCUUCCCCCCUUACUCCGUAUUUCUUUGUGAAUCUCAAGUGUAAGGGCGAGAGGCUCCAAGUUGUGGAGAUUCCUCGCAAACGGGAUAUUGAAAGGCAAAGCAAAACACCGUGGUAUUCAUGUUGGUCUUUGGACCACUUGAGAGGGGUUGAUUGCAACCCUCGUCCGUUGGGACGCCACAACGUGGAGUAGGCAAGCGUUGGUCUUGGCCGAACCACGGGAUAAACCACUGUGUCAUCUCUGUGUUUGAUCUCUUGUGGUAUUGUGUUUUGUUGAGACUCCACUCUAGCCACUUGGCGAUUAUUGUGCUAACACUUAACAAGUUUUUGUGGCUAUAAGUUUAAGUUUCACAGAAUCACCUAUUCACCCCCCCUCUAGGUGCUCUCAAUUGGUAUCGGAGUCGUUCUCUUCACAAAGGGACUAACCGCCCGAAGAGAUGGAUCCUAAAGGGAAGGGAAUCGUGAUCAACGACAAGGAGAAGGAGUCCUUCGUCAACGAGCCAAGGGAUGACAAGUCCAACGACUCGGGCUCGGGCCACAGACGCAAAGAUGGGAAGAAGAAGAAGACAAGACGCAUCAAGGAGAUCGUCUACUACGACAGCGAUGAGUCUACUUCCUCCCAUAAGGACGACGACCACAACGAAUACGAGAGAAAGAAACCGGUCAAUUCGAACUUUUCUUUUGAUUACUCUCGUAUUCCUCAAAGUACUAAUGCUCAUUUAUUAUCUAUUCCACUUGGUAAACCUCCCCAUUUUGAUGGAGAGGACUACGGAUUUUGGAGUCAUAAAAUGCGUAGUCACUUGUUCUCUCUCCAUCCUAGCAUAUGGGAGAUUGUAGAAAGUGGAAUGCACUUUGAUAGUACGGAUAGUCCCAUGUUUAUUAAUGAACAGAUUCAUAAAAAUGCACAAGCUACUACUGUGUUGCUAGCCUCUUUGUGCAGGGACGAGUACCAUAAGGUGAGCGGCUUGGACAAUGCCAAGCAGAUCUGGGACACCCUCAAGAUCUCUCAUGAGGGGAAUGAUGUCACCUUGCUCACCAAGAUGGAGUUGGUGGAGGGCGAGCUUGGACGGUUCGCAAUGAUAAGGGGCGAGGAGCCAACUCAAACAUACAACCGGCUCAAGACCCUUAUCAACAAAAUAAGGAGCUACGGAAGCACGCGAUGGACGGAUCACGACGUCGUCCGCCUAAUGCUAAGGUCCUUUACCGUUCUUGAUCCUCAUUUGGUGAACAAUAUUCGUGAAAAUCCUAGGUACACCAAGAUGUCGCCCGAAGAAGUUCUGGGGAAUUUCGUAAGCGGGCGAAUGAUGAUCAAGGAGGCAAGAUAUGUGGACGAUGCGUUGAACGGUCCUAUUCAUGAGCCUCAACCCAUUGCUCUCAAGGCAACGAGGAACAAGGAGGCGCUACCGAGCAAGGUUGCGCAAGUUGAGGCGACCGGGCUAAAUAAUGAGGAGAUGGCCCUCAUCAUUAAGCGCUUCAAGACGGCGCUUAAAGGUCGCAAGGGACAGCCAAGCAAGACCAAGACAAAGGAGAAGCGCUCGUGCUUCAAAUGUGGUAAGAUCGGUCAUUUCAUUGCUAACUGUCCCGAUAAUGAAAGUGACCAGGAAAAGGGGAACAAAAGGGAGAAGAAGCAUUACAAGAAGGCCAAGGGCGAGGCACAUAUCGGAAAGGAGUGGGAUUCGGAUUGCUCCUCAUCCGACUCCGACAAUGAAGGACUAGCCGCCACUGCCUUCAACAAGUCAUCCCUCUUCCCCAACGAGCGUCACACUUGCCUCAUGGCAAGGGAGAAGAAAGUAAGCACUCAUGAUACUAGUACUUAUGCUUCUUCAAGUGAGGAUGAGUCUAGUGAUGAUGAUGAGACAGAUUACUCAUGCUUAUUCAAGGGAUUAGAUAGAUCUAAAUUAAUAAGAUUAAUGAGUUGAUUGAUGCUUUGAAUGACAAGAAUAGAUUACUAGAAAAACAAGAAGAUCUUUUAUAUGAGGAGCAUGAUAAAUUUGUCAGUGCACAAAAUUCUCUUGCUCUAGAAAUUAAAAGGAAUGAAAUGCUCUCUGGUGAAUUAUCUACUUGUCAUGAAACCAUUUCUACUUUACAAGGUGUUAACAAUGAUUUAAAUGCUAAAUUAGAAGUAGCAAAUAAAUCUAAUUCUUGUGUAGAACAUGUUAUAAUUUGUACUAGGUGUAAAGAUUUUGACAUUGAUGCUUGUAGUGAACACCUAGUUUCAAUUUCCAAAAUUAAUGAUGAAUUAGCUAGUCUUAAUGCUCAACUUAAGACUAGCAAGAAUGAUUUCGAUAAGCUAAAAUUUGCAAGGGAUGCCUACACGAUUGGUAGACACCCCUCAAUUAAGGAUGGACUUGGCUUCAAGAGGGAAGCCAAGAACUUAACAAGCCAUAAGGCUCCCAUCUCCGCCAAGGAGAAAGGGAAGGCCCCUAUGGCAAGUAGUGCUAAAAAGAACCAUGCUUUUAUGUACCAUGAUAAGAGACAAACUAGAAAUGCUUACAGGAGUUACAAUGCUUAUGAUGAUUUUGAUUCUCAUGACAUGUUUGCUUCUAGUUCUUUCUAUGUGCAUGAUAGAAAUGUUGGUAGAAGAAAUGUUGUUCACAAUAUGCCUAGGAGAAAUCUUGUUAAUGUUCCUAGGAGAGUUAAUGAACCUUCUACAAUAUAUCAUGCUUUGAGUGCCUCCUUUGCAAUUUGUAGAAAGGAUAGAAAGGUGAUUGCUAGGAAAUUAGGGGCAAAAUGCAAGGGAGAUAAAACUUGCAUUUGGGUCCCUAAGACAAUUGUGACUAACCUUGUAGGACCCAACAAGAGUUGGGUACCUAAGUCCCAAGCCUAAAUUUGCCUUGCAGGUUUAUGCAUCCGGGGGUUCAAGCUGGAUUAUCGACAGCGGAUGCACAAACCAUAUGACGGGGGAGAAGAAGAUGUUCACCUCCUACGUCAAGAAUAAGGAUUCCCAAGAUUCAAUUAUAUUCGGUGAUGGGAAUCAAGGCAAGGUAAAAGGGUUAGGUAAAAUUGCAAUUUCUAAUGAGCACUCUAUCUCUAAUGUGUUUUUAGUAGAGUCUCUUGGAUAUAAUUUGCUAUCGGUUAGUCAAUUAUGCAAUAUGGGAUAUAACUGUCUAUUUACAAAUGUAGAUGUGUCUGUCUUUAGAAGAAGUGAUGGUUCACUAGCUUUUAAGGGUGUAUUAGACGACAAACUUUAUUUAGUUGAUUUUGCAAAAGAAGAGGCCGGUCUAGAUGCAUGCUUAAUAGCUAAGACUAGCAUGGGCUGGCUGUGGCAUCGCCACUUAGCACAUGUGGAGAUGAAGAACCUUCACAAGCUUCUAAAGGGAGAACACGUGAUAGGUUUGACUAACGUGCAAUUCGAAAAAAGAUAGACCUUGUGCAGCUUGUCAAGCAGGUAAACAAGUGGGAGGAGCACAUCACAGCAAGAAUGUGAUGACCACCUCAAGACCUCUGGAGCUGCUGCAUAUGGACCUGUUCGGACCCGUCGCCUAUCUGAGCAUAGGAGGAAGUAAGUAUGGUCUAGUUAUUGUUGAUGACUUUUCCCGCUUCACUUGGGUGUUCUUUUUGCAGGAUAAGUCUAAAACCCAAGGGACCCUCAAGCGCUUCCUAAAGAGAGCUCAAAAUGAGUUUGAGCUCAAAGUGAAGAAGAUAAGGAGCGACAACGGGUCCGAGUUCAAGAACCUUCAAGUGGAGGAGUUCCUUGAGGAGGAAGGGAUCAAGCACGAGUUCUCCGCUCCCUAUACACCACAACAAAAUGGUGUGGUAGAGAGGAAGAACAAGACGCUAAUCGAUAUGGCGAGGACGAUGCUUGGAGAAUUCAAGACCCCCGAGCGUUUUUGGUCGGAAGCCGUGAACACGGCUUGUCACGCCAUCAACAGGGUCUAUCUUCACCGCCUCCUCAAGAAGACUUCGUAUGAGCUACUAACCGGUAACAAACCCAAUGUAUCUUACUUUCGUGUAUUUGGGAGCAAGUGCUACAUUCUAGUGAAGAAGGGUAGAAAUUCUAAGUUUGCUCCCAAAGCUGUAGAAGGGUUUUUGUUAGGUUAUGACUCAAAUACAAAGGCGUAUAGAGUCUUCAACAAAUCAUCGGGUUUGGUUGAUGUCUCUAGCGACGUUGUAUUUGAUGAGACUAAUGGCUCUCCAAGAGAGCAAGUUGUUGAUCUUGAUGAUGUAGAUGAAGAAGAUGUUCCUACGGCCGCGAUACGCACCAUGACGAUUGGAGAUGUACGGCCUCGGGAACAAUUGGAGCAAGAUCAACCUUCUUCCUCAACAACGGUGCAUCCCCUAACUCAAGACGAUGAACAGGUUCAUCAACAGGAGGCAUGUGAUCAAGGGGGAGCACAAGAUGAUCAUGUGAUGGAGGAAGAAGCGGAACCGGCACCUCCAACCCAAGUUCGAGCAGUAAUUCAAAGGGAUCAUCCCGUCGACCAAAUUUUGGGUGACAUUAGCAAGGGAGUAACUACUCGAUCUCGAUUAGUUAAUUUUUGUGAGCAUUACUCCUUUGUCUCUUCUAUUGAGCCUUUCAGGGUAGAGGAGGCCUUGCUAGAUCCGGACUGGGUGUUGGCCAUGCAAGAGGAGCUCAACAACUUCAAGCGCAAUGAAGUUUGGACACUGGUGCCUCGUCCCAAGCAAAAUGUUGUGGGAACCAAGUGGGUGUUCCGCAACAAACAGGACGAGCACGGGGUGGUGACGAGGAACAAGGCUCGACUUGUGGCAAAAGGUUAUGCCCAAGUCGCAGGUUUGGACUUUGAGGAGACGUUCGCUCCUGUGGCUAGGCUAGAAUCAAUUCGUAUCUUGCUAGCAUAUGCCGCUCACCAUUCUUUCAGGUUGUACCAAAUGGAUGUGAAGAGCGCUUUCCUCAAUGGUCCAAUCAAGGAGGAGGUGUACGUGGAGCAACCCCCUGGCUUCGAGGAUGAACAGUACCCCGACCACGUGUGUAAGCUCUCUAAGGCACUCUAUGGACUUAAGCAAGCCCCAAGAGCAUGGUAUGAAUGCCUUAGAGACUUCUUAAUUGCUAAUGCUUUCAAGGUUGGGAAAGCCGAUCCAACUCUUUUUACUAAGACUUGCGACAGUGAUCUUUUUGUAUGCCAAAUUUAUGUCGAUGACAUAAUAUUUGGUUCUACUAAUAAAAAGUCUUGUGAAGAGUUUAGCAGGGUGAUGACGCAGAAAUUCGAGAUGUCAAUGAUGGGCGAGUUGAACUACUUCCUUGGGUUCCAAGUGAAGCAACUCAAGGACGGCACCUUCAUCUCCCAAACGAAGUACACGCAAGACUUGCUAAAGCGGUUUGGGAUGAAGGACGCCAAGCCCGCAAAGACUCCGAUGGGAACCGACGGACACACCGACCUCAACAAAGGAGGUAAGUCCGUUGAUCAAAAGGCAUACCGGUCAAUGAUAGGGUCAUUACUUUACUUAUGUGCUAGUAGACCGGAUAUUAUGCUUAGCGUAUGUAUGUGUGCUAGAUUUCAAUCCGAUCCUAAGGAGUGUCACUUAGUGGCAGUGAAGCGAAUUCUUAGAUAUUUAGUUGCUACGCCUUGCUUCGGGCUCUGGUAUCCAAAGGGGUCUACCUUUGACUUAAUUGGAUAUUCAGACUCCGACUAUGCUGGAUGUAAGGUCGAUAGGAAGAGUACAUCAGGGACGUGCCAAUUCUUAGGAAGGUCCCUGGUGUCAUGGAACUCUAAGAAACAAACCUCCGUUGCCCUAUCCACCGCUGAGGCAGAGUAUGUUGCCGCAGGACAGUGUUGCGCGCAACUACUUUGGAUGAGGCAAACCCUCCGGGACUUUGGCUACAAUCUGAGCAAAGUCCCACUCCUAUGUGACAAUGAGAGUGCUAUCCGCAUGGCAGAAAAUCCUGUUGAGCACAGCCGCACAAAGCACAUAGACAUCCGGCAUCACUUUCUGAGAGACCACCAGCAAAAGGGUGAUAUCGAAGUGUUUCAUGUUAGCACCGAGAACCAGCUAGCCGAUAUCUUUACCAAGCCUCUAGAUGAGAAGACCUUUUGCAGGCUGCGUAGUGAGCUAAAUGUCUUAGAUUCGCGGAACUUGGAUUGAAUUGUAGCAUACAUGUGCUUAUGCCUUUGAUCAUGUUCAUUCUGCAUUUUGUUGCUUAUUGUGGUGCUCAAGUUGUACAAACAUUCCCUGGACCUCACAAGUCCUUGUGUAAGUGAUGCACAUAUUUAGGGGGAGUUGUGUUACAACUUGACCCUUUGAGACUAACCAUAUGCUUGAGUUUGCUUGAUUUAGUCUCGAAGGAGAAUUGAAAGGGAAAAGGUGGACCUGGACCAUGAAAGACUUCCACUACACUCCGAUGAGAGGGUAACUUAUUCCAAGUUCAUCUCAUGAACUCUUAUUGCCAUUUGCUCUUAAUUGAAGAUUUUGGUGAGGCAAUGGGGUUAUAGGGCCAAGAUUGAUCCCGUUUUGGUGCUUGAUGCCAAAGGGGGAGAAAAUAAAGGCCAAAGCAAUAAAUGGAUCAGCUACCACUUGAGAAAUUUUGAAAAUAGUAAAAUAGAGCUUUUUGUUUUGUCAAAACUCUUGCAUUGUCUCUGUUGUCAAAAGUUGGCCUCUUGUGGGGAGAAGUGUUAAUUAUGGGAAAUAGGGGGAGUUUUUGAAAUCCUUGAUCAAUCUCUUUUGGAAUGACUCUCUUUAUGCUUCAACAUGUGUGUUUGACUUAGAGAUAGAGAUUUGAGUUUGGUUUGCAAAAACAAACCAAGUGGUGGCAAAGGAUGAUCCAUAUAUGCCAAAAUUGAAUCAAAAUAAAUUUGAGUUUUAUUUGAAGUGAUAUUGCACUUGUUCUAGUUGCUUUAUGUUGUGUUGGCAUAAAUCACCAAAAAGGGGGAGAUUGAAAGGGAAAUGUGCCCUUGGGCCAUUUCUAAGUAUUUUGGUGAUUGAGUGCCAACACAAGUGCUUAAAUGUGAAUCUAUGCUCUUGGAUGGACAAAGUGCAAAUCAAGAGUAAAGGUAUGUUUCUAAGCCUUAGUACAUUGGUUUUGUGUACUAAUAUACUUGUCUAAGUGUUAGAAACAGAAAGAAGAAGAAAAGAAAAGAGGUGAAAAAGGCUUGGCUGUGUACAGCCAAGACUGAGCUCAGUCUGGCACACCGGACUGUCCGGUGGUGCACCGGACAGUGUCCGGUGCGCCAGGCUGACUCGGCGUGAAGUGGCCGCUCUCGGGAAUUCGCCGACGGCGUACGGCUAAAAUUCACCGGACUGUCCGGUGUGCAACGGACUGUCCGGUGAACCAACGGUCGGCCGGGCCAACGGUCGGCAGCGGAAUCUGCGCGCGACACGUGGCCAGGCCAACGGUCGGAAGGGGGCACCGGACUGUCCGGUGUGCACCGGACAUGUCCGGUGCACCAACGGCUCCCAGAUCUGCAACGGUCGGCCGCGCCAUUUUAGGAAGGAAAUCGGGCACCGGACAGUGUCCGGUGUGCACCGGACUGUCCGGUGCACCCGACGACAGAAGGCAAGAUUGGCCUUCCAGAUUUGCUCUCAACGGCUCCUAGCUGCCUUGGGGCUAUAAAAGGGACCCCUAGGCGCAUGGAGGAGAGAACCAAGCAACCUUAGAGCAUUCUUGAUCAUCCACACUCAGUCUUUGCACAUUCGUUUGUCAUUCUCAGUGAUUCGAGCUCCGUUCUAGUGAGAACUUUGAGAUAGUCUUUUGAGCUCGACUCUUGGCCGUGUGUGUGCGCAUUUUGCUGUGGAUUUGUGUGUGUUGCUUCCCCCCUUACUCCGUAUUUCUUUGUGAAUCUCAAGUGUAAGGGCGAGAGGCUCCAAGUUGUGGAGAUUCCUCGCAAACGGGAUAUUGAAAGGCAAAGCAAAACACCGUGGUAUUCAAGUUGGUCUUUGGACCACUUGAGAGGGGUUGAUUGCAACCCUCGUCCGUUGGGACGCCACAACGUGGAGUAGGCAAGCGUUGGUCUUGGCCGAACCACGGGAUAAACCACUGUGUCAUCUCUGUGUUUGAUCUCUUGUGGUAUUGUGUUUUGUUGAGACUCCACUCUAGCCACUUGGCGAUUAUUGUGCUAACACUUAACAAGUUUUUGUGGCUAUAAGUUUAAGUUUCACAGGAUCACCUAUUCACCCCCCUCUAGGUGCUCUCAACUAGCUACAACCAGCCUUAGAUAGGUAUAAACACAAAAAUAAGUAUUUUAACGUGCUAAUGUGAAGGGGCCUCUUCGGAAGAUCUCCAGAGCUGAAUUCCGCGUGGCUGUUUGACUUCUUCACAACCUUUAGGGCAUGUACAACCUAGACACUGCUGCACGGUACUCCAAGUAUAAGACACAACUAAAACACAACAUAAUACAGUGGUCAUGUAUAAAACAUGUGUCUUACUAUAUUCAUUGUACCAAUCAGAGCAUUCAAUAAGUUAAAGUGACCAACCAGAUAGUCUCAUGUCUUGAAUAUAGAGCUAAGACACUGUGUCUUCGUUAAGAUACAUGUCUUGAGAUUUUUUACAUUCACCCCCCUAGACACACUCUAAGACACAACUUAAGACACCCAUUGUACAUGCCCUUAGUAUUUUGAUAAUAACUCCUCCUAGGAAUCUCCAAAUGGCGUGGGGCUGGAUGCGUUGGAAAGCUAACUUGAUUUGCUUUCUCACCAUGUAUAGCAUGCUUAAUGAAACUUUGUAGAAUGAUGCAGUUUAAUACUAAAACUUGGUCAUCAAGCAGACUGUUGACCUUAUGACAGUCAGAACUAAAGUAGGUCGGUUACCGUGUUGGGUGAUCCGAUUAAGUCGGUCCUAGAAGCAUUGGAAACUAGACUUCAAUAGCUUUCCAAAAUGUACUUAUUGGCCUUCAUAGCUUUUGGGAAUCAAAAGAUAUGAUUGUUUCUUCUGGAUGGUUCUAUCACGCUAGACUGACUCGAACAUAGUUCUCUCUGAUUCGCCCUUGAUAUGUUUUGUCCUUCCUCUUUGGUGGACCUAAGAAAAAUCAACAUACACAACUUAGGUAGAAUAAAGUUGUCAUUAGUGUUUAAUUUAAAUUCAUAAAGUAGCGCGUGCACCUCUUGUUGUAUCUGUUUCACCCGGCUUCGAGUGAUAGGUCCAGUAAGAAUGGUCGGCAAGGUUGACGAUGCUGGUAUGGUCACAUCACACUCCCCCCUUGAAAAAUGAGUCGUCCUCAACUCUUCCAAUCCAAAGCAAGGAGAGAGGUCGGCCACAUUAAAACUAGAACUCACACCAUAAGUAUCUGACAGAUUAAUUUCAUAAGCAUUUUCGUUGAUCUUGCAAAGCACUUUGAAUGGACCAUCAACUCGUUGUUGUAAUUUGCUUUUGCGUUGUUCAGGAAAUCUUUCUUUGCAUAGAUGUACCCAAACCAUGUCUCCUGGUUCGAACAACAUCUUUCUUCAACCCUUGUUGGCACACUAUUCAUAUUUCUUGGUCAUUUUCUCAAUAUUUGCUCGAGCUUUUUCAUGAAGGUUCUUGAUUAACUCGACUCGCUUGCUAGCGUCAAAGUUUACUCGUUCCUGCACAGGCAAUGACAAAAUAUCUAUGGGAGUUGUGGGUUUGAAGCCAUAUACAAUUUCAAAUGGACAAAAUUUAGUAGUCGAGUCUACAGCUCUGUUGUAUGCAAACUCGACAUGUGGUAGACUUUCUUCAGAGAGUUUUAAAUUUUUCUUGAGGAUAGCUCGCAGCAGCAUUGAUAAUGUUCGGUUUACAACUUCAGUCUAUCAAUCUUUUUGUGGAUGGCACGUUGUAGAGAAUAGUAGUCGUGUUCCAAGUUUUCCCCACAAAGUUUUCCAAAAGUAACUCAAAAAAUUAGUGUCACGAUCAGAAACAAUGGUUCGUGGAAUCCCAUGUAAACGAACAACUUCUUUGAAAAAUAAUUCAGCAAUAUGUGAAGCAUCAUCACUCUUGUGGCUUGGAAUAAAAUGUGCCAUUUUGCUAAAUCAAUCAACCACAACAAAAAUGGAAUCCCUUCCCUACUUUGUUCAUGGUAAACCAAGAACAAAAUCCAUGGAUAUGUCUUCUCAAGGCACACUAGGAAUAGGUAGUGGAGUGUAUAAGCCUAUGAGGGUUUAAACGAGACUUAGCUUUAUGACAUGAUUCACAUCGAAGGACAUGUCGCUCCACAUCCCUUUUCAUUUUAGGCCAAAAGAAAUGAUCGGCAAGCACUUGCUCCGUCUUCUUGGCGCCAAAAUGGCCCAUAAGUCCUCCUGCAUGAGCUUCCUGCAAUAUUAAAAUUCGAACAGAACAUUCUGGAAUGCACAUUUUGUUAGCUCGGAAUAAAAAACCAUCAUUAACAUGAAAUUUUACCCAUCCUCUGCCAUCACAACACUUAGAAUAUGGUUCAACAAAGUUUAAGUCAGUCGGUUAUAAUUCCUUUAUACUUUCUAAUCCAAGAAUUUUAGCAUCGAGUUGUGUUAGCAAAGCAUGUCGUCGAGACAAAGCAUCUGCUACAACAUUAUCUUUUCCUUUCUUAUAUUUGACAAUAUAAGGAAAUGAUUCAAUAAAUUCACACCAUUUUGCAUGCCUUCUAUUUAGUUUUAGAUGUCCUUUAAGAUGUUUUAAUGAUUCAUGGUCUGAAUGUAUCACAAAUUCCUUAGGAAAAAGAUAGUGUCGCCAAGUUUCCAAACUCCGAACAAGAGCAUAUAAUUCUUUAUCAUAAACUGAAUAAUUUAGAGUAAGACCACUUAGCUUUUCACUGAAGUAGCCAAUUGGUCUUUGUUCUUGCAUGAGCAUGCCUCUAAUCCCAAUUCCACUGGCAUCACAUUCUAUUUUAAAUGUCUUACCGAAGUCUGGGAGUGCAAGAACUUGGGCUGUUGUUAACUUCGUCUUUAAUUCUUCAAAUGCCUUCUGUUGUGAUUCUCCCCAUUUGAAAGGUACUUCUUUUUUGGUCAAUUCAUUGAUGGGAGCAGCAACAGUACUGAAGUCUUUUUCAAACCGCUGGUAGAACCCAGCGAGCCCAAGGAAACUUCUCACUUGGCUCACAUUCUGUGGAGGCAUCCAGUCGCGUACAACUUUGAUAUUUUCUUCAUCUACCUCCACACCUUGUCCUGAUACAACAAAUCCAAGAAACACUACCUUGUCGGUGCAAAAGGUGCACUUCUCAAGGUUAGCAUACAAGUUUUGUUCUCGAAGGACAACAAGUACAUAUCAGAUAUGUUCAACAUGUUCAUCAAGGCAUUUACUAUAAAUUAGUAUGUCAUCAAAAUAGACAACAACAAAUUUGCCAAUGAAAGUUCUAAGAACAUGAUUCAUUAUCUCAUAAAUGUACUUGGUGCAUGUUAACUCGAAGGGCAUCACCAACCAUUCAUACAACUCAAAUUUUGUUUUAAAGGUUGUUUUCCAUUCAUCUCCCUCUUUCAUACGAAUAUGAUGAUAGCCACUUCUUAAGUCAAUUUUAGUGAAAAUUAAAGCUGUUGGGUCUAUGCUUCGUCGCCGAAGGUCUUCAAGGGAGAAGCGGCUUUAUAAUGAGUGAGCAGGUAUCUUCGGACUUGUAUCAGAAAGGGAGAAGCUCAAAAGAUACAAAGGUUGACACAGCGCCGAAGCUGUGAAGCAGGAAAGCUUCGGCAUGUUCGCAGAAAAGGGAACCGACUUAAAGAUGAAAAGGCCAUUUAGACCUCGAUAGAGUGCUAUAGAAUUAUCACCAAAUGUAAAGGGCAUGUAUGUAAUUUUGUAUGGGUUGUACCCCGUGCCUAUAAAUAGGUGAACAGUACCCCCGUACUGUUCACGCUGACUUGGCAUUUGCUUUUGCGUCACACUUGUAUUUUCAUCUCCUUCCAAGCCGAAGGUACAUUUAUAAUUCAAUAUUGUUUCUAUUUUUCUAUGAUGAUAUAAUAAAGUGAAAUAAAUGAUGUUAUAUGAUUAUUUGUGUUAUCCUUUAACUUUCAUAUACUUCGUCUUUCAUUAAUGUAUACUGUAAUGAUGAAGGUUUGUCCUUCAUAACCUUCGUCCGGAGAUCGUUAUAUCCUAAGGGAAAUAAUGCCUCAAAGGACGAAGGACUUUAUCGUUUAACAUUUUCUAUGUUGCCUUGUUCUUAACUCAUAGCACUUGAGAACAAGUCCCCAACAUUGGCGCCCACCUCCGGUGAACUCACUUCCACUUUUUUGAGCUGAUGGCUUCGUUCAACGAUCAAGCUGGAGCUGCUUCGGACCCGAAGCUGGUGCUCCCGAUCACAGGUGGCUCGUCCUCAGAGCCAGCUAACAAGAAACAGAAGAAGGAAGCACAGAGAAGGGUACAGCAUGUUGGGGUGCAAGGACCCUUCAUCAAGACAAGAUGGUCUCACAUUCCUAUUACCUUCUCCCAAGAGGACCUUCAGCUCAAAGAUUACCCACACAACGAUGCCAUGGUUAUCUCUUGUGUUAUCAAAGGAUUUCUGGUCCACAAUGUCUUGGUUGACACAGGCAGUGCAGCUGACAUCAUAUUUGCUAAAGCCUUCAGACAAAUGCAAGAGCCAGAAGAUAAGAUUCAUGAUGCUACACAUCCUCUCUGUGGCUUCGGAGGAAGACAGAUUGUAGCACUGGGCAAGAUCACCAUGUUAGUGACCUUCGGAUUCAUCAACAACACUAGAACUGAGCAAGUUGUGUUUGACAUUGUUGACAUGGAAUAUCCUUACAAUGCAAUUAUUGGUCGUGGUACUCUUAAUGCCUUCGAAGCAAUCCUUCAUCCUGCUUAUCUUUGCAUGAAGAUACCUUCGGAUCAGGGACCCGUUGCUAUCCAUGGAAGUCAGGAAGCCGCAAGAAGGGCCGAAGGUAACUGGACUGACUCAAAAGCAAUCCAUAAUAUAGAUGGAGCCGAAGCUUGUGCACAGUACAAAUUCAGAAGGGAGAAAGCAGCUUCAGCAGAUCAGCCGAAGCCUAUGCUCUUAUGUGAGGACAUAGCAGAGCAGAAGGUGCUGUUAGGCUCUCAACUAUCCGAAGAGCAGGAAAAAACCUUGAUAAGAUUUUUGUUCAAUAACAAAGAUGUUUUUGCAUGGUCAGCCAAUGAUCUAUGCGGAGUUAAUAGGGAUGUUAUUGAGCACUCGCUCAAUGUCGAUCCAUCCUUCAGACCCAGAAAGCAAAGGCUUCGGAAAAUGUCAGAUGAUAAGGCCGAAGGUGCUCGCAACGAAGUCAAAAGACUCCUCAGUGCAGGAGUUAUUAGAGAAGUGAAGUACCCAGAAUGGCUGGCUAACACUGUUAUGGUAAAAAAGGCCAAUGGUAAGUGGCGAAUGUGCAUCGAUUUUACAGAUCUUAACAAGGCUUGUCCGAAGGAUGAAUUCCCACUACCAAGGAUAGACUCUUUAGUUGAUGCAGCAGCUUCGUCAGAGCUCAUGAGUCUGUUAGACUGCUAUUCAGGCUAUCACCAAAUUUGGAUGAAGAAGGAAGAUGAGCCGAAGACUAGCUUCAUUACUCCAAGUGGCACAUGUUGCUAUCUUCGGAUGCCUGAGGGGCUCAAAAACGCUGGAGGAAGUUUCAGCCGAAUGACUGUGAAGGUUCUUCAAUCUCAAAUAGGCAGAAAUGUGUUAACUUAUGUUGAUGACAUCAUUGUCAAAAGCACGAAGCAGGAGAAUCAUAUUGCUGAUCUGCAGGAGACCUUCGCCAGUUUCAGGCAAGCUGGCUUGAAGUUAAAUCCAGAAAAAUGUGUCUUCGGAGUGAAGAAGGGGAAAUUUCUUGGAUGCUUGGUUUCAACAAAGGGAAUUGAAGCCAAUCCAAGUAAAAUUGAAGCUAUACUUCGGAUGGAGCCACCAACUACAAAGAAGGGGGCUCAAAGAUUGACAGGAAGGUUGGCAUCUCUCAAUAGAUUCAUAUCCAGAUCAGCAGAGAGAAAUUUACCAUUCUUCGAAGUGCUGAAGUCGGCCGAAGUCUUUCAAUGGGGACCAAUCCAACAGAAGGCUUUCGAAGAACUGAAACAAUAUUUGAUAGAUCUAACAACAUUGACUCCACCAAUGCAAGGGGCUCCUUUAUUGUUAUAUGUGGCAGCUUCGCACUCAGCGGUAAGUGCAGCGCUUGUUCAGGAGAAGCUUGAUGGUCAAGUCAAAAGGCAGGCCCCAAUAUAUUUUGUUUCCGAGGUCCUUAGUUUAUCAAAGAAAAAUUAUACAGAGUUGGAGAAGAUACUGUAUGCUGUCUUGAUGGCCUCCAGGAAGCUUCGGCACUAUUUCCAAGCUUACAACAUAAUUGUUCCUUCGUCACAACCUCUGAAGGAUAUUAUGAGGAACAGAGAAGCUACUGGAAGGAUUGGAAAAUGGGCUGCAGAGCUCAAUGAAUUUUGUAUUGAAUAUGUUCAUAGAUCUUCGAUUCAGUCGCAGGCACUGGCAGACUUUAUUGCUGAUUGGACACCAGGGGCUCAGGAGGAGGAAACAAAUAAAGAUAACGAAGCCUGGAUAGUGUUUUGUGAUGGAUCUUGGGGAACCUUCGGAGCAGGAGCGGCUGCUGUGUUGGUUUCACCUUCCAAAGUCAAAACCUGUUAUGCGACAAAACUUGAUUUUAAUUGCACAAAUAACAUUGCUGAGUACGAAGCAUUGAUUUUAGGUCUUCGGAAAUUAAAAGCAAUGGGAAUCAGAAGGGCCAUACUUAAAACUGAUUCCCAGGUUGUUUCGGGUCAUAUUGACAAAAGUUGUAAGGCUAAGGAUCCGAAGCUUGAAAAAUAUCUGGAUAUGGUUCGAAGAGUCGAAGCCUCCUUCGAAGGGUUUUCUGUCAAGAAUAUCCCUCGAGGACAAAAUGAGCAUGCUGAUCUGCUAGCUAAGUCAGCAGCACAGGGGCUGCCUCUACCUUCGGAUGUAUUCUUUGAAACAAUAAAAGCACCUUCGGUGGAACUCCUUGAAAGAGCAGUUCUUAAUAUAUCUCCUGUUUUUAGUGAAGAUUGGAGAACUGAGAUCAUCUCUUACCUUCAGGGUAAAUUUCUUUCAGAUGACGAAGCUUAUAACAAGAGAAUAGAGGCAAGAGCUCGUCCAUAUGUCAUGAUAGAGGGGGAGUUGUACAAACAUGGAGUUUGUGCUCCGUUGCUCAAAUGCUUAUCCAGAACCGAAGGUAUAGAGUUAAUGAAAGAAAUACAUGCAGGCCUGUGUGGAUCUCACAUCGGAUCUAGGCCGUUACUUGGAAAAAUUUUCCGUCAAGGAUUUUAUUGGCCGAAGGCAGCUUCGGAUGCAGCAGAAUUGGUUCAAAAGUGCGAAGGUUGUCAGAAAUGUGCAAGAGAUCAAAAACGACCUUCGUCCUUGACACAGCUCAUACAACCCACUUGGCCAUUGCAAAGGUGGGGCCUUGACUUGUUAGGUCCGUUACCACCGGCCCAAGGGAACUUGAGAUAUGUUGUGGUAGCUGUGGAAUAUUUUUCUAAAUGGAUUGAGGCGAAGCCUUUAGCCACAAUAACUUCGGCUACCGUCCAAAAGUUUUUCUGGCAGAAUAUUGUUUGUCGUUUCGGGGUGCCAAAGGUUAUCACUGUGGACAAUGGAACACAGUUUGACUCCGAAGCUUUCAGGGAUUUCUGUGACCAAAUUGGUACGAAGAUCCAUUUUGCAUCAGUCAGGCACCCGGAGUCAAAUGGACUCGUUGAAAGAGCCAACGGCAUUAUAAUGACAGGAAUAAUGAAGCUAAUCUUCAAUCAGCCUAGAGGAAAAUGGCCAGAUCAGCUAACCAAAGUGGUGUGGAGCCACAACACGACAACAUCAAGGUCCACAGGCUUCACUCCAUUUAAGUUAUUAUUCGGUGACGAAGCAAUAACUCCAGAGGAAGCUAAAGCCGGAUCAAUAAGGAUAGUAGCUUCGGCAGAAUCAGAUUCCGAAGCUGCUUAUUCUAUAGAAAAAGAUGCUUUAGAAGGGAUCAGACUGCAAGCCGUGGAGAAUAUUAAUAAAUAUCAAGCUGAAACAGUCAAAUGGCGGGAUAGAAAGGUUCGGCUAAAAAAUAUUGAGCCAGGGCACUUGGUACUUCGGAGGGUGGCCAACCCGGAAACAGUGGGCAAAUUGCAGUUGAAAUGGGACGGGCCUUUCUUAGUAGCAUCUUCGUCAAGGCCCGGGUCAUACAGAUUGAAAGAUAUGGACGGCAAUGACAUUCCUAGGUCCUGGAAUGCGGAUGAGCUUCGGCGAUAUUAUGUAUAAUUCGAUGUAAUUUUUCACAUUUUUAUUUUUUCUUUCAUGGCACCCUUUUCCUUUCCAAAGGGGGAGAAAGGUUUUUAAUGGGGCCAGCAUAUGUAAUUUCCUUUUUUAGUCUUAUAAGAGCAAAAUCCCCCAAAGAAUGUAAAUGUAAAAGCUGAGAGUGCACCAUCGAGUGCCGAAAAGUAAAAACGACGAAGCUCCAAAGACGUUCCUAAGGGAAUGCAGAGCUUAUACCGCCUAAGUAAAAGGCGAAGAAGCUCCAAAGACGUUCCUAAGGGAAUGCAGAGCUUAUACCGCCUAAGUAAAAGGCGAAGAAGCUCCAAAGUCGUUCCUAAGGGAAUGCAGAGCUUACAGCGAAAAGUCAACGCUGAUUCCGCCAAAAGUAAAGGCGAAGAAGCUCCAAAGUCGUUCCUAAGGGAAUGCAGAGCUAAGGUGUGAUUGUUUUUAAGAGAAUAAUGGCUAUAAAUAUAGCUUCGGAUACGUGUUUGGCCAUUCAUUUGCACAACACAUUACAUCAUAGCAUUUGCAUUCAUAAACAUUCAUCUAGGCAUAUGUAGGAUAAUCAUCUUCAUCGCAUAAAAUGAUUGCUUCGGCAAGAAGAGAAAAAAGAAAGGGAAAAGAGCUUCGUGCACAAAAAAGAGGGGAAACUGUUGUUUUUAUGAAGGAGAGCUUCGGGAAAAAGGAAAAUGUUGUUUUCUAUGCUUCGUUGCGUACGAAAAGAAGGGAAGGUGUUUUUUUUUGCCUUCGGCUCAAAAAAAAGAAAUUUCGUCCACAUCAAAGCAUUUCUCAUAAAUCAGUGAAAGGUUAAGGAUAUAUUACAAGGUAUGAACAGUAUACAUGGAAGUUUUGUUUACAUUUACAAGAGUUAUCUCAAAAGUUUUUCAAGUACUGUCUGCAGUCUACUAUCUAAAUCUCCAAGGAGCUUCGGCUUCGGUAUUAUUUUGGAUCAUCAGCUUCGGCUUCGUCAUCCUACAUGAAUAAGGUCAUUGGAAGUCAGAAUCAAGUUUAUAGAAAAAGGUAAGCACAAGGUAUGAUUUCUUACUGGAUCAAGGUGGCUACGAGCUUCGUCUCCAGCUUUUUCUCGACCACCUUUUGUCCAUAUCAUUUUUACAAAUCGAUUCGAGAUGCUUCGGGCGAGAUCAGGGAUGUCAUCCAGGAUUGAUGGUGACAAAGUAAAAUUUGGCCUAUUGACAAUUUUCCCAUGAUCACAGCCAGCCUUCAUGAAGGCUGCAGCGGUCCCUCGAGAAGCCACCCAGGCACAGAAGUCACCAUGCCCAGCUAUGACUUCGUCGAGCUCGUCAAUCUCCCCCUCAAUGUGUUCGAAGGUUUUUGGUAGAUCUUCAGCUGAGGGGGUAAAUUUUUCGCUGCUAGCUCCAACCGAGUAAAAAAUCUUUCUUAAUCGUUGAAUGCACUUGUUGCUAAAUUCCAGGCAUUUUUCUUGAAGAUUUGUCAGUAGUUUUCUCAAAUCCGAAUUCUGCUGAGCUUCGGCUUCAAGUUUUUCAUUGAGAUCUUGUUUUUCUCGUUCGAACUGCUCAGACUGGCGGAGAAGCUUCGAGUUUAGUUCUGAUAUUUUUGCUUCAGCUUCCGCCAGUAAGCCUUCGGCUGCCUGGAGCUCAAAGUUCUUUUUCUCAAAAGCAUCUGAUUGCUCUUUUAUUUUGUUUUCCAAAUUUCCGAUUAUAAUUUCAUGCUUUUUAUCUUCAAGAUCUUGCUGCAUUUGCAAGGCUUUGCUCAAUAGCAUGCUCUACAUAAACACAACCUUCGUCAGACAUGUUUUAUUAGAAACAAUAAAAGUUAAGGGACAAGUCAUUUACCUUGAAGUUGGAGUAAAACAAACUACCAACGACAUGUUGUCGUCGAUAGCGGCUGAUAUCUGCUUCUAGCUUCGGGAAUCCAAUACUUUUGGACAGAGUACUAAUAACUUUGGCCCCUGUUUGGUCCCGGAUACACUCUAAUUUCUCGUCAUCAACGCCUCCGAAGAGGAGUGCCCCAGGUUUAUAUCCACAGGAUUGGGCAUACUCUUUAAGCUCUUCUAUUUCAGCUUUUGUUAGAUGUUCUCCAACUAAGUUUUGGAAUGCGAAAGCUUCGUCUUCUGAAGCUUCAUCAGCAAUUUCUUUUCCUUUCUUUGACGCUGCGGUCACAGUCUCUUCGGCAGCAGCGGCAGCUUCUUCUGCAGCCAUGUCUAGCAGCAUUUGGUCAAUAUGUUCAAUUGUGCUCUCUAAAUUCAAAUCUUCAGCUGAGGUAACUUCGGCGACUGCGGCCUCCGAAGGUGCAAUUUCAAUAUCUGCUUCCUCUAAAGCUGCUCGUGUCUUUUGGGCCGAAGCUCUUGGCGGCGUUUUGUCAAUUACCUCUGUCACGGUAAUGAUUCUUUGUUUCCUUGCCUUGAUUGUUUUCUUCGAUUUCUCGGGCUCCUUGUCCUUCUGAAAAAACUUUGUCAGUUGUGGACCCAGUGGACUUAGCUUCGCAGGUAAGGAUUCAGUCAUUACCUUCAGAAUUUCCUCAACAACGGCAGCAGAAGGCGAUGCGGGGGUUUCUUCUGCUUCGGAUAUUUGUUGCUUCGGAGAAGAAGUUUUCCUUUUCUUUGGAAUUUUCUUCUUUAUUGGCUCUUUUUCACCUUCAUCUAAGGCUUCAGUCCCCCUUUUCCUUUUUUGGCCUCCGGCACCUUUGUUCAGAUCUUCGUAGUCUGGGUACUCGAAACCCAAGGCGUCCAAUACUCGAUUUAGCCUUCGUUUCGGUCGAGUGCCGAAGGCUGCGGUCAUCAAUUGAUCUUCUUUUUUCGAAUAAUUGCCAAGUAUCUCGUUGCACAUCACUUCGAUCAUAUCCAGCCACUCUUGGCAAGGAGCUUUAAAGUAUUUCUUAAAUUUGAAGCAGUAAGGCAAACGUACAAGUUCACCUUUUUUCUUUUCCCCCUCCAGUUUCGGCAUUUCCCACUCUUUUACACUAGGGAAAACCUUGAAAGCCAAGAAUUCCUGGACUAGGUCCCUUGUACUGAUAUUCUCUGCAAUUAUUUUGAAUUCAUACAUUGCUUUUUGGGUCGGACCCUCUGGUAACAUGUGGCACUGGGGGCGGGUUUCUCCGAAGGUCAAUUCAAGUGGACUCUGUACAAGCUUUUCCUUAUCGUCAUCAACCUUGACAUAGAACCAUUCCGAUUUCCAUCCUGCUGCCCAUUUGCUUCGGUAGCUGAUCACAGGAUACUUCGUAGUUUUCCGAUAAGCAAAAUUAUAGCAACCAAAAUUCUCAUGUAAUCCAUCUUUUCUAGCCUUUGUCUGAUAGUGCAAUUCGUGAACCCGGCAAAAGCUGUCCGCAAACGGUUCCACCGCCUGGCUUCAAAGUGCCCAGAUAUAAACAUUAAGCCUAACGAUAGCGUUGGGGGUCAGCUGGUGAAAAUAGAUUCCAAAAUUCUUUAAUAUCUCUGCAAUAAUCCCAUGAAGGGGAAUCUUAAUCCAGCCUUUAGGAAACUCUUAAAAAUAACAAUUUCAUCUUUUUCCGGCUUUGGGGUAGUCUCUUCUCCCCCGAAGCGUAAUAGCUUCUUUUGAUUUUCAGUAAAAUAUCCUGACUUUACCAUCUUGGACAAAUCAGCCUUCGAAACAGUAGAUUUCCCGAAGUCCAAAUGACUGGGUUUGCUUGGUGUGGCAAGGUGAUAAUCAUCUUCGGAGUCAGUUUCCUCAGCAUCUUCUCCUUCUGCUUCAGCGAUUGCUUGUUCUGCAUCAUCAAUAGGAGCCUUCUCCGAAGUCACUAGCCCGGAUCAUCGCAUGGCUUCGGAGAUAGGGACAGUCUCCGAAGCAUCAGUUUCGUCCCCCUCACGUUCAACCCUAGCGGUAGAACGGACUCUGGCCAUUUAACUAUGAACUUGUGAAACUUUAAUACUUUUUUCUCCGAAGCAGGCUUCAAGAUGGAGCUUCGUUCAAUUCUGACAAACAAGCUUCGGCGAUGGUUAAGAAUUUUGGCAGCAAAACAGUGCAAAUAGCAGUAAAUGCUGUGGUAACUUCACACCUACUCGUCUGUUUAUAUAGUGCCGCAGGUAAGAAGGCGAAGCGCCAGAAGUUUUACACCAGGCGGGCACCCGCUCGCACUCGCUGAACGGUGGACCACAGAGACCGAACAGUAAUUCUGCAAGGUGGGGCCGCUACGCGCAGGGAGAGUGAAUCGUUUCUCGGCAACGAGCUCAGGGAAGGUGUUUUUUGGACCUUCGGCUCCCCGAAGCUUAAGAGACUUUUUUCACGGAUCAAGCUCGUUACGAAAAACGAUCUAGCACCGCGAAAGGGGCUACUGUUGGGUCUAUGCUUCGUCGCCGAAGGUCUUCAAGGGAGAAGCGGCUUUAUAAUGAGUGAGCAGGUAUCUUCGGACUUGUAUCAGAAAGGGAGAAGCUCAAAAGAUACAAAGGUUGACACAGCGCCGAAGCUGUGAAGCAGGAAAGCUUCGGCAUGUUCGCAGAAAAGGGAACCGACUUAAAGAUGAAAAGGCCAUUUAGACCUCGAUAGAGUGCUAUAGAAUUAUCACCAAAUGUAAAGGGCAUGUAUGUAAUUUUGUAUGGGUUGUACCCCGUGCCUAUAAAUAGGUGAACAGUACCCCCGUACUGUUCACGCUGACUUGGCAUUUGCUUUUGCGUCACACUUGUAUUUUCAUCUCCUUCCAAGCCGAAGGUACAUUUAUAAUUCAAUAUUGUUUCUAUUUUUCUAUGAUGAUAUAAUAAAGUGAAAUAAAUGAUGUUAUAUGAUUAUUUGUGUUAUCCUUUAACUUUCAUAUACUUCGUCUUUCAUUAAUGUAUACUGUAAUGAUGAAGGUUUGUCCUUCAUAACCUUCGUCCGGAGAUCGUUAUAUCCUAAGGGAAAUAAUGCCUCAAAGGACGAAUGACUUUAUCGUUUAACAUUUUCUAUGUUGCCUUGUUCUUAACUCAUAGCACUUGAGAACAAGUCCCCAACAAAAGCAACACUAAGUUCAUCAAGCAUAUCACCUAAUCUAGGAAUUGGAUGUCUAUACCUUACGGUGAUGUUAUUGAUAGCUCGACAAUCCACACACAUUCUCUAAGAUCCAUCUUUCUUAGGAACUAGAAGGACAUAGACAACACAAGGGGAAAGACUUUCUUGUACGUACGCUUUUUUAAUCAAUUCUUCCACUUGUUGCUGAAUCUCCUUUGUUUCUUCUGGGUUGGUGCUAUAGGCAGCACGAUUUGGGAGGGAAGCACCAGACACAAGGUCUAUUUGAUGUUCAAUCCCUCUCUUAGGUGGUAGCCCUAGUGGCACUUCAUCAGGAAGCACAUCCUCAUAUUCCUGUAAUGCAUCAAAGACAAUACUUGGCAAAGUAGAGGGUAAGUUGUUAGUAGAAAGAAGGUUGUCCUUGUACAGGAGCACAAAGAACAUGGCAUUAGGUUCACUCAAUUCUUUUAGAUCCCCCUUCCUAGUCAUCAUGACUAAUCCCUCUUUUCCCGGUGUCUUGGUUAUUGGAGGCUGUGGAGUUUUAUUUGGCUUUGAAAACUCUUCCUUACUAUUUUUGUGGAUCACUCUCAAGUGCUUCUCGCUCUCUCGCUGUUUCUUCUUUAGAUCAUCCUUCAUAAUUUCCUCCGGUGUCAAAGGAAGCAAAGAGAUUCGCUCUCCUUUGUACAAGAAAGACAACUUGUUGGUUCUUCCAAAAAUCUGGACAUCACGAUCAUAUAACCAAGGUCAACCUAGCAGCAAUUGACAUGCUUGCAUAGGGACCACAUCACAUUCCACAUGAUCAUUCUACUUCCCAACAGAAAAAGGAAUAUUCACCACAUGGCUAACACGCAACGCUCCACAAACAUUAAGCCGCUGCAUCUUAUAUGGACUAGGACGACACCUUGAUUUUAAUUCCAAUCUGUCCACCAAUUCUUGACUAGCAAUGUUGUUGCAGCUACCAUUAUCAACAAUGAUGCGACAUAGCUUAUCUUUGACCAUACCUUGGGUAUGGAAAACAUUAUGGCGCUGUCCAUUUUCUUCUCUUUCAGCAGUCACACUUACCACUCGAAGAGAGAUAAAACAGUUAUGAUCUACUUCUGGCUAGAUCUCAUUCUCUUCAUGUUGAAUUUCUUCAUCAAACUUCAGUCCAUCGUCUUCUGGAACACUAUCUGAUUUCCAUUCACCUUUUUAAUUCAACAACAUUGUUCUUCUACUUGGACAUCGAGCAGCAAUGUGCCCACGACCAUGACACUUAUGGCACACAAUUUCUCUUGUAUGGGUAGAAGAAGUAGCGACUAAAGCUUCAGUCGGGUCUGAUGUACUAGCAGCAGGCCGAUGCUUAUUUGCAGGGAAUGAACCUAUAGAAGCCACCAUCUUUGAUGUACUAUUGGAUGGAGAAGACCUAGCUACAUUUCCUUGGGAUGGUCCUCCACCAAAAGAAGCACUGGAUUGUUGUUUGUGCCAUUGGACAACAUUAUAAUGACUUGCAUAAGAUUUUCCACGUGACUCUUGUUGAAAUUUUCUCUCUGUACGCAUUGCUUGAUCAACUAGAUCUUGCAAGGUACGGUAUGGGAACAUCUCGACAAAUCCAGAAAUCUCUUCAUUGAUUCCGCCUAGAAAUCUUGCCAUGGUUGACUCAGGAUCUUCUCUAAUUCGAGUUCGUACUAACAACAACUACAUCUCCUUAAAAUAUUCAUCAACAGAUUUCUUUCCUUGCUUCAAUAAUUGCAAUCGAUUUCGAAGAUCGCGUUGAUAGUUGGAAGGAACAAAUCGCCUCUUCAUCACUCGCUUCAUCUCUUCCCAUGUAUUAAUAUGUCUUAGUCCCAAUCUAAGUUGAUGUUCUUGCAGUUGAUUCCACCAAGUAAGAGCAUAACCAAAAAACUCAACUGGGGACAUGUUCACUCGUUGUUGAUCUAAAAAAUUGUGAAUUCUGAAAAUUUGAUCACACUGCUCAGCCCAAUUAAGAUAUUCAUCUGCACUUUCUUUCCCAGUAAAUUUAGGAAUAUCCAACUUGACUCGGGCAAUAUGGUCUCGGUCAUUUCUAUGACGACGUCCAUGAUAAUGGUCUCUAUUUUCAAAAUUAGCAUGUCGGUGAUGAUGACGCCGACCAAACAUUCCAUCAUUUGCAAAAGGAUUUUCAUCAGAUCCUUCCUCACGAUCAUGGUCUUCAGACUCCUUGUCUUCAAAUCUUACUCGACGUUCGUGUGCAUGACGCCUUCCACACAAAUUAUCGAAAUUAGCGCGGCGACCAUCACCAACCUCUACGGCCAUCGCCGAAGGGAUCGAAUUCAUGGUCAAAACCAGAAUUCUCAUCUCCGGAUUCUUCACGGUUAAAUUCUUCUGGAUCAUGAUGAUGUAGCCUUUGACCUCCUGUCGCAGUCAGACGUUCUUUUGACAUCCUUUCCAUGGCUCCCACGAGUGAGUCGGCCAUCUGAUGCAAUUCAGCCCGAGAGACAGGGGGCUCUCCAUCUCCAUGGUUUCCACCAUGAACACUUGAAUUGGAUCCUACCAUGUUAGAGGGAAGCAAGAGAAAGUAGAAUAUGAAAGUAUUUGUGGAACACUCGAUCUCACCUCUUACUUACUGUUGGGGACUUGUUCUCAAAUGCUAUGAAUUAAGAACAAGGCAACAUAAAAUGUUAAAUAUUAAUGCCCUUCGUCCACUGAAGCAUUAUCUCCCCAAGGAUUUAAUGAACUUCGGACGAAGGCCAUGAGCAAGAUAUCACGAAGAUCAUACCUUCGUGAUUAGAGUUAUAAAACAAUGUAGGAUGAAAUAUAAAAAUAUGAAACAUAAGGGAAUGAUAUAUCAAAAACACAUAAGAUUAUUCACACAUUUUAUUAUACAAACCUAAAUAUUAAAACAUAAUAUUUAGGUACAUUUAUACCUUCGCCUUGGCAGAAAGCAAUAAUUCCAGCGUAAUGUGCCAGCGAUUACAAGAUUGCGUGAACAGUGCAGGGGUACUGUUCACCUAUUUAUAGGCACAAGACGCAGCCUGUGUAUAAUUACAUUUAUACCCUUUACAAUCAACUACAAUAAUGACACAGAAUAUCAUGGGUCUUUAGGUCAUUUCAUCUUUAAGUCGGUUCACCCCUUCGUCUUGAGACAUGUCACUGUGCCGAAGCUUUAUAGGCAAUAGCUUCGGCACUGCUUUUGAGAGGAUCUGCCGAAGGUGUUUCUUUCUUUAGGAUCUUCGGCUAUGAAGCAUACCCCCAACAGUAGCCCUUCGCGGUGCUAGAUCUUUUUUCGUAACGAGCUUGAUCCGUGAAAAAAUCUUUUAGGCUUCGGGAUGCCGAAGAUCCGAAAAACACCUUCCCUGAGCUCGUUGGCGAGAAAUGAUUAAAAUAAUCCAUGCGCGAGGUGGCCCCAUCUUGCAGCAGUUACGCGCACCCUGGUGAUUCACCUUCUCGGACUCUGUGGCCCACCGUUCGGUGAGUGCGGGUGGUUGUUUGUCCGGUGCGGAAGACCUUGACGAUUCACCUUUCCACCUGUGGCACUAUAUAAACAGACGAGUAGGUGUGAAGUUACCACAACAUUCAUUGCUAUUGCGCUGUUUUGCUGCCAAAAUAUUGACUAAAGCCGAAGCUUGCUUACUGCAUCCUCAUCUGAAGCUAUUUGUUUUACUCAAGCUUCGUAACAAGAAAGAGCUUCAACAAAGUUAAAAAUUUCAACUUCAUUCAAAAAACAAGAAAUUCAAUCAUCAGAUGGCCAAAGUACGUUCAACAGCUAGAGUUACUCGCGACGGAGAGGAAGCCGAAGGUGCCAAAAUUGCUCCAAUCUCUAAAGUAAUGAAGCGUUCAGGGCUGGUAGUAUCGGAGGAUGCACCUGCCGCUGAAGCUGAGCAGGCUGAUGCUGAGGAAGUUGAGUCAGAAGAUGAUUACAGCGCAGUGCCAACUAAACCCAGCCACCUGGAGUUUGGGAAAUCCACCAUUUUCGAAGGUGACAUGCCGAAGCUGAUGAAUUUGGGCUAUUUCAGUGAAGCGAAGAAGGAGCUGGUUCAUUUCGGCGGGGAGGAGAUUACUCCGAAGCCAGGAAAGGAUGAAGUAGUGGUCUUCAAAAGCUUCUUUAAAGUUGGUUUAAGAUUUCCUUUAAACAAGAUGAUUGCUGAUGUUUUGAAGAAGUUUGGGAUCUAUCUUCAUCAACUAACUCCUAACACUAUCGUUAGGCUUAGCGUUUAUAUCUGGGCUCUCCGAAGCCAAGGGGUGGAACCAUUUGCCGAAGGCUUCUGCCGACUGCACGAGCUUCAUUAUCAGACCAAGGCUAGAGGAGAUGGGCUGCAUGAAAACUUUGGCUGCUACAAUUUUGCCUAUCGCAAGAGUACAAAAUUUCCAGUGAUCAGCUAUCGUAGCAAGUGGCGAGCUAGCUGGAAGUCUGAGUGGUUUUACGUCAAAGUUGACAAAGAAAAGGAGAAGUUGGUCCAGAAUCUGCUAGAAUUAAUCUUCGGAGAGACCAGACCCCAGUGCAACAUGACACCAGGGAGUCCAAGCCAAAUUGCUCUGGCUGAACUUAGAGUUAUUGUGGAGCAUAUCGGCACUAGGGACUUAGUGCAAGAAUUCUUGGCUUUCAGAGUGUUCCCAACUUUGAAAGAGUGGGACAUGCCGAAGCUUAAGGGAGAAAAGAAGAAGGGGGAACUUAUUCAGUUGCCUUAUCAUUAUAAAUUCAAGAAACAUUUCAAAGUGCCUUGCCAAGAGUGGCUGGACACGAUUGAAGUAAUGUGCAAUGAAAUUCUCGGCAAUUACUCUAAAAAAGAAGAUCAACUAAUGACUGCAUCCUUCGGCACCCACGGUGGGCGCCAAUGUUGGGGACUUGUUCUCAAAUGCUAUGAAUUAAGAACAAGGCAACAUAAAAUGUUAAAUAUUAAUGCCUUUCGUCCACUGAAGCAUUAUCUCCCCAAGGAUUUAAUGAACUUCGGACGAAGGCCAUGAGCAAGAUAUCACGAAGAUCAUACCUUCGUGAUUAGAGUUAUAAAACAAUGUAGGAUGAAAUAUAAAAAAUAUGAAACAUAAGGGAAUGAUAUAUCAAAAACACAUAAGAUUAUUCACAUAUUUUAUUAUACAAACCUAAAUAUUAAAACAUAAUAUUUAGGUACAUUUAUACCUUCGCCUUGGCAGAAAGCAAUAAUUCCAGUGUAAUGUGCCAGCGAUUACAAGAUUGCGUGAACAGUACAGGGGUACUGUUCACCUAUUUAUAGGCACAGGGCGCAGCCUGUGUAUAAUUACAUUUAUACCCUUUACAAUGAACUACAAUAAUGACACAGAAUAUCAUGGGUCUUUAGGUCAUUUCAUCUUCAAGUCGGUUCACCCCUUCGUCUUGAGACAUGUCACUGUGCCGAAGCUUUAUAGGCGAUAGCUUCGGCACUGCUUUUGAGAGGAUCUACCGAAGGUGUUUCUUUCUUUAGGAUCUUCGGCUACGAAGCAUACCCUCAACACUUACCCAAGCUCUUUCCUAAUCUCUAGGGCCGUGAUGGUGCCGGUGUGGCAGCUUCGACAGAGGUGGUAGAGCAGUCGAAAGGAUAACAAGUCAAACGUCCUGGUUCAGGUUUUUUAGUGGAGCUAUAGGAGGCUGAUCAAGGUGGGCUAUGGUACUAUCAACCAAGUGUGUUGAUGUGCUAAAAAGAUAUGAAAUUGUUGCUGGAAAGAUUCUCAUCAAAUCAAUGUAAACUAAAAUUUUCAGCAACACACCGCAACACAAUCCCCUUUCACAAAUUUUUUCACUUCUUCUUUUUUUGACUUCUUUCUCUUCUUCUUUUUUUCUUUCUCUCUUUUUUAUAACACUAAUGGAGUGUCGAGAUCAAAUGCAAUGACACAAUAUGAAUACGACGGUGGUAACUAGCAACUUGAGGAACUUUAAACAACACAAGGUAACAAUACCGCCAAAGGGUUAUAGGUUUUUUGUGUGGCUUUGGACUAUAGGACAAAACAAAAUAUAAGAUGGAUGAAGACUGUGAUAAAUAAGUGGAUGACAGUAAGACCUACCAUGACAACGAAAGCUCUGAUACUAGAUGAUAUGUACCGAGUUAUAUUCGGUACUAGGGUGCCCCAAUCUUCACGACAAUAGGUUGAUAAAUAAGAUGGUUGGGUAUAAAAGUAAUGGAAUAACAAGGUAAAUUUGUUGUAGAACAUCGGGUAACUGACUUUAUACCUGAUCAAGGUCGGAGGUGACCAAGCGACGGGGAGAGAGACACCGAAACCGUGGAGACUUUGACUCGAUCUCUGAACGACCAUAGAAUCACAACCGGAGCUAAUCCACACAAUGCGAGGCAGCCGUACUGGAACUCACAAGGCAUGAACUAGUGGAUCCCAGAGGAGUCUCUUCACAAGUCUAGGAGAACAAGGAAGAACAGGGGUAGAGUAAACACUCAGCAGCUUGGCUGCGGUAAUCACUUGGAUUAUCAAAUCAUCAAAGGUUAUCAAAAGUUGUUUUACAUCAUAGACAUAGGGGGGUAUUUAUACUAGCUACAACCAGCCUUAGAUAGGUAUAAACACGAAAAGAAAGUAUUUUAACGUGCUAAUGUGAAGUGGCCUCUUCGGGAGAUCUCCAGAGCUGAAUUCUGCGUGGCUGUUUGACUUCUACGUAGCCUUCAAUAUUUUGAUAAUAACUUCUCCUAGGAAUCUCUAAAUGGCGUGGGGCUAGAUGCGCUUGAAAGCUAACUUCAUAAGCUUUCUCACCAUAUAUAACAUGCUUAGUGAAACUUCGUAGAAUGAUACAGUUUAAUACUAAAACUUGGUCAUCAAGCAGACUGUUGACUGUCACACCCGGGUUUUAGGGGGCACCAAAACCCGGACGCGAGAUAAUCACCAAGUGUGCUGGGACCAAGUCUCACACAUAUGAUGACUCAUGGUACAUAAACGAAUGUCACAUCUUUAGUAUAUAAUAGGAUUUCUAUACAAAAUAAAUAAAUAAUUACAUCAUAUGGAGACAACUAUCCAACAACCCAAAGUUGAAUGUGAGACGACGGCUUAGACCUCUUACGAAUUCAUCACAACAUCCUCCAUGUGCCUCCUCCUGCGGUAACUGUUCUUGACCUGUGGGGGGUGUGAGACAGCAAGGGUGAGCUCACAUACGUUCAUCGCUCAAUAAGUUGUGGGGAAUAAUGUGCAUGAACUCACCAAAGGUGGGAGCUCAUGUAAAGUGUAAGGCUUACCAAAGAAGAUGGCUAAAGCUGAGCAUUGCUUUUAAAUUUGGUCAAAUUUUAUUACAGUUACUAAGUAUAAGUAGAUACCAACCCAAAUAAGUAAUAGAUCAAAAUUGAUAACAACACCCACGAUGCAAUGCAUAUGACAAAUUAAGUUUAGUUCCAUAAAUUAAUCAUGUGAGUUUCGAGCCGCUCAUGACCGUAAGCACGACUGAUACACCAAUUUUACACUCUGCAGAGGUUGUGCAUAUUUACCCACAAGUUGUGUUAUCCAUCUGUCAAGGGGUUAUGAAUCCCAUACACCUCUACCAAGGAAGUGAGGUAGGGUAACAAUACGAGGCCUUUACAAAGUUCCACUAACUUCAGAAAACCCGCUACAGUUUCUAGGAAGCUCCAAUGCAGGGAUCCCUCACUUGACCAUCAUCGCAGCAAAAUCAACCCAAGGACCUCCCUACACUGACCACUCCCCUACUGCCCUUGCCCCUUUCGGGUAAGAUAGUCCUCCACUAGCUUUCCUAAUUAGUCAGCCAAGGGCGUCCCAUACCACCCUUGUGGUAGCACUGUUUUCCCGGGUGGUUCUCCAUGUUCCAAUUAACAAUAUGAUCUUAUCAUGAACAAUAAUUAAACAACAACAUAAUUGGAACAUGAUUAUAAUGAAACAUUAGUUUCCCAAAACCAAAUAGAGCAAUAGCAAAGAUACCCAAUAAUUCAUCUGUCUACAAGGUGAGGAAUAAACAAUGCUAGGGAAACCUAUUAGGUCCCAUCAAAUUAACCCGAUGCCUGUCACAGUGAUUAGCAAUGAACAUUAUUAGGUAAAAAGGAGUGAUCGAGGGCACAACUUGCCUGGGACUCGAGAUUCCAGGUACCAGGAUGAUCUUCAGAUGACUCGCAACCUCGCGCUAGUCGUAGCAAUACAAACAAACAUAGCAUAGGCAAAAUUAACAUCACACCAAACAUAAUCACAAAUUAAAUAAUAAUGAUCUACACGUCGUAACGAGAUCGUAGGUUCGAGAAUUACUAAAAUCGGAGCUACGGUUUUAAAGAUACGAUUUUCUAAAGAUUUAGGAGUCGGGUACAAAAGAAAUUAAGUACAUGAUUGUAAUUUAUGUUUCAUAACAAAAUAAAGUUACCAGGGGAUAAACAAUAUUAUUAUGGAACUAAUGCAACUGGAAUAAAUCAAAAAGGAGUUAAAAUGCGCAAGUUAUGAAUUUUCUAAGUUUAUUCUAUAUUAUAAAUCAUUUUCUAGAUUUGUAUUUGCUUAAAACAAAAACUAUGGCUGCAGUUACUAAAUCUGAAGUGUACAGGGGCUAUCCCAUAAAUGUCCAGGGCACAAAUAGAAUUAUUUAGCACUGGUAGGGGAUGGCAGGUUAGUUUCAAGAUUUUCCGAGGACUCUUUAGCAAAAGACCCACGACGAAGGGGUAAGAUCACACCUGAGCCGCACGAUCUGAAGUCUAUGGCCCAGAUUAGAUCGCCUACAACUGAAUGGGUAUAGAGCUGUAGCCCUUGGAUCCACGAUCAACGCUCUGGAUUUUAAAGACUUGAAUGGGUUCUCACGCGUCAGAUUUAGAUCGGACGGUGCGCAGCUAUCCAUGAAGGGGUAUCAAGCUUUUCUGACCGCGUGAUCACAAAUUGAUGGUCCAGAUUUAAAGGCACAUACGAUUAUGCAUCUUCUAAUAUGAAUCAUUGAUCAAGCAGUCAACGACUCAGAUCCCAAUCCCUGAAGUUGUACCCGAAGUUCUAAUCCUAGCCCUCCAAAAUGGAUCGCAUGACUCAAUUACCAUCUUCUUCCCUCAAACUACACACACAGCGGCGCACGCCGGUGAACCACCCCAUCACGGCGCAUGGGUACACGAUUCCCAAAUCAAUCUGGUGCUACACGAUGUAGGCCCAUGGGCGAAUCGGUAUAGGGAGUUCUUAUCGUGUCUCGACGCAACAGAGGACGUGACCACGACGCACAGGGGUGUGGUGGCAGCACAAGAGCUCCUAUGAGCAAUCACCACACCAACGCAGCCACCGAGUACCAAAUACCCCACGUGUGUGAUCUUUACCUUCAAGCGAACCUCCCCACCCAAUUGAUCGACACCGAGUUGCAGUGGCGGUGAGAGUAUGCUGCGGCAGCGCUCAUGUUUUCUUCCCCUGUCAAUGGUGUUCGGCGCGGUGACCCAAGCUUUAUAGACACGCAGAGUCUGUGCCAAGACCAGCUACCCACCUAGCGCCAGUUGUGUGGGUGUUGCGCCAAACCCCGAAGAUCGUGGACGGCGGGCGAGAAGGAUCUCGCGGUCUUUUUUGGGAUGCGGCAGUCGUGGCUCUUGAUAGAGGGAAGAAAGACCUGGCGGACGGGGCCCACGCGACAGAUAGAUAGAUCAGGUGCGUGCAUAUGGGUGGCCUACAAGCGGGCCCCGCAGGUAAGUGUGAGGUCCAGAACGGAAGCGCGCGUGUGAGUAGAGUGGGUUGGUGGAAUGGUGAGCCGGAUGGGCCGAGGGGAGAGGAAAUGGGCCCAUGCGUGGUUCUCUGUUUUUCUUUUUCUUUUUAUUCUGUUUUGAAUUUCUUUCUCAAUUUCAAAUUUCAAUACUUAACUUCGAGUUUAAAUUUCCUGCCUUGAAUUUUUAGACUUCCAAUUAUCUAAUACCAUUCUAAUUGUGAAUAUAAACUUGUACAAAAUUUUAAUAUUAUUAUUAUUAAUUCUCCCUCUAUUUUACAAUUCUAAUAGCAACAAAUUACUAUUACUAUUUCUUCUCUCAUCUUCUAUUUUAUAUUUUCAUUGAUAAUUUGAGGUCAAUUUUAUGUUUAAAAUAAAAUGCAUCACAACAAUAUCAUCAACAAGAGAUGUACCUUUCUUUGUUUACUUAUUGGUUACUUAACUAAUUUGGUACCAUUAAUUGUUUAGGAAAGAAGGAAAUGUCCUAAUGAAUUCCAAAGGUUUCAGAAACUCUAGAAACACUAUUAUAGAUAUUUUAUUUCUUUAUUUUAUUAUUUUAUUAUAUUUUUUUCUUCUACCAAUUUUAGGCUUUACAAAUCCUACCCCCUUAACAGAAAUCUCGUCCUCGAGAUUAGUAAGAAAAAGGAUGUAUAACCAUAUUGUCUCAGAACAUAUGCACAAACAAGAAUCUCAGCAUGAUGCAUAGCUUAUUAGCAACACAUAGGGUCAAAUAGACCUUAUUAUUAUUAUUCCUAAAAUAGUAAAAUACUAGCUACUAACUAAAGUAAUAUUUAGGUCUUACAAAUAGUACUCUAAAAGUAUGUAGAUAUAUAUAUUUAUAUAUAUAUAUUUAUUCUAAUCGUGUUGUUCAUUGCCUUCUUCAUCAAUUUCUUCACCUCAACCACCAAUUUCUGCAUGGUUGACCUGCCCCCGAUUGACGGAUAAGGGCUGACUCUUGCCUGCUGAGGCUUGACCCUGCUUCAUCGAAGUCGGAGUAGUAUAAGAAGCCCUGUUGGGACAGUAGUUGGCAUAGUGUCCAAACUGUCCACACUUGAAGCAUGACAUGUUCAGUAUAACACCAGUGUAAAGGAAAAGUGCAAUAUAGAUCAACUCAUGGCACAGUGUGUCCAGAAGAAGGAUAGUGUUGGGGACUUGUUCUCAAAUGCUAUGAAUUAAGAACAAGGCAACAUAAAAUGUUAAAUGUUAAUGUCCUUCGUCCACGAAGCAUUAUUCCCUUGAGGAUAAUGAACCUUGGACGAAGGUUGAUAGCAAUACAAUUACGAAGGUUAAGUCUUCGUAAUUGAAUUUUAAUAGAUUGUAUAAGAUAACAUAAAAUAAAGAAUAUCAAAGGUAAAUGAAUUAUAAACGGAACAUAUUGUAUUUACUUAAUAUAUUGAAUUUUUGAAUACAAUUAUACCUCUGCCUUGGCAAAGAUUGGUUCCUGAAUGAUGUGAUUGCCAAAACCGGAAUCCGUGAACAGUAAGGGAAUACUGUUCACUAUUUAUAGGCACAGGACACAGCCUGUGAGAAAUUACAAUUAUGCCCCUCACAAAGGAUUACAACAGCGACCUAGGCACUUAUGGACUAGAGGGUCAUUCUACUUUUAAGUCGGUUUGUAAUACCGAAGCUUCAUGAAGAGGAACCUUCGGUCAUCUCAUACGAAUAGCUUCAGCCGCAAGCUGCUUCUUCCUACAAGACCUUCGGCGACGAAGCAUAGUCCCAACAGUAGCCCCUUUCGCGGUGCUAGAUCGUUUUUCGUAACGAGCUUGAUCCGUGAAAAAAGUCCCUUAAGCUUCGGGAAGCCGAAGGUCCAAAAAACACCUUCCCUGAGCUCGUUGUCGAGAAACGAUUUAGUUUCCCAGCGCGUAGCAGUCCCACCUUGCAGAGUUACUGUUUGGUCUCUGCGGUCCACCACGCAGCGAGUGUAAGCGGGUGUCCGCCUGGUGUAAAAAUCCUGGCGCUUCGCCUUCUUACCUGCAGUACUAUAUAAACAGACGAGUAGGUGUGAAGUUACCACAGCAUUCAUUGCUAUUUGCACUGUUUUGCUGCCAAAAUUUUUAACCAUAGCCGAAGCUUGACUCUCGGAAUCGAACAAAGCUCCAGCUUGAAGCCUGCUUCGUCAGAAGGAAAAAACUUCGGAAGUAAAAGUAUUUAAUUGCCACAAAUUCAGAAUUAAAUGGCCAGAGUGCGUUCUGCCGCUAGGGUUGAGCGUGAGGGGGUGAAGCUAAAGGUUCAGAGAAUGUUCCCAUCUCCGAAGCGAUGCAACGAUCUGGGCUGGUAAAUUCGGAAAAAAUCCCCAGUGCUGAUGUAGAACAAGCAGAACAAACAACUGCCGAAGCAGAAGAAGAAAACAUUGAGGAAACUGAUCCUGAAGAUGAUUAUCGUAUUGCUAUGCCAAGUAAGCCCAGCCACUUGGACUUCGGAAAGUCUACUGUUUCGAAGGCUGAUCUCUCCAAGAUGGUAAAGUCGGGCUUUUUCAGUGAAAGUCAGAAGAAGCUACUACGCUUCGGGGGGGAAGAAACUACCCCAAAGCCGGAGAAGGAUGAAAUUAUCAUUUUCAAGAGCUUUCUAAAGGCUGGAUUAAGAUUCCCCCUGCAUGGAAUUAUCGCAGAGGUAUUGAAGAGGUUUGGUAUCUACUUUCAUCAGUCGACUCCUAACGCUAUCGUUAGGCUUAGCGUUUAUAUCUGGGCCCUCCGAAGCCAAGCGGUGGAGCCGUUUGCGGACAGCUUUUGUCGAGUUCACGAGCUGCACUAUCAGACGAAGGCUAGAAAAGAUGGAUUGCAUGACAAUUUUGGUUGCUAUAAUUUUGCUUAUCGGAAAACCACAAAGUUUCCUGUAAUCAGCUACCGAAGCAAAUGGGCAGCAGGCUGGAAGUCGGAGUGGUUCUAUGUCAAGGUUGAUGACGACAAGGAGAAGCUUGUGCAAAGUCCACUUGAACUAAUCUUCGGAGAAACCCGACCUCGUUGCAACAUGACACCAGAAGGUCCAGCCCAACAAGCGUUGGAUGAAUUCAGAAUUAUUGCAGAGCAUAUCAGUACAAGAGACCUGGUUCAGGAGUUUUUGGCUUUCAAGGUUUUUCCUAGUUUAAAAGAAUGGGAAAUGUUGAAGCUAAAGGGGGAGAAGAAAAAAGGUGAACUUGUGCGGUUACCUUACUAUUUCAAGUUUAAGAAAUACUUUAAAACACCUUGCCAAGAGUGGCUGGAUACAAUUGAAGUAAUGUGCAAUGAAAUACUCGACAAUUAUUCCAAAAAAGAAGAUCAACUGAUGACCGCGGCCUUCGGCACCCGUCCGAAGCGAAGACUAAAUCGAGUGCUGGACGCCUUGGGUUUUGAAUAUCCUAACUACGAAAAUCUGAAUAAAGGUGUCGGAGGCCAGAAAAGGAAAAGGAUAACCGAAGCCUUAAAUGAAGAUGAGAAAGAACCAUCAAAGAAGAAAAUUCCGAAGAAGAGGAAAGCGUCUUCUCCGAAGCAAAAAGUAUCCGACGAAGAAGAAACCCCCGCAUCACACUCUGCCACUGACGUGGAGGAAAUUUUAAAGGUAAUGACUGAAUCCCUGCCUGCGAAGCUAAGUCCAUUGGGGCCUCAACUGACAAAGUUUUUUCAGAAGGAAAAGGAGCCCGAAAAAACGAAGAAAACGACUAAAGCAAAAAGACAAAGAAUCAUCGGUGUAACAGAGGUCAUUGACAAGACACCACCGAGAGCUUCAGCUCAGAAGAUACCAGCGGCUGAGGGAAUGACAAAUAUUGAAAUCACACCUUCGGAGGUCGCGGCUGCCGAAGCUACCUCAAUUGAAGAUUUGAACUUGGAAAGCACAAUUGAACACAUCGACAAAAUGCUGCUAGACAUGGCCGCAGAAGAAGCUACUACUGCCGCCGAAGAGGUCGUAGCCGCAGCGUCGGGGAAAGAAAAGGAAAUUGCUGACGAAGCUUCAGAGGACGAGGCCUUCGUAUUUCAAAAUUUAGUUGGAGAAAAAUUGUCAAAAACCGAAAUAGAAGAGCUUAAAGAGUACGCCAAAUCUUGCGGAUAUAAACCAGGAGCACUCCUCUUCGGAGGUAUUGAUGAUGAAAAAUUGGACUCUAUCCGGAAUCAAACUGGAGCUAAGGUUAUCGGUACUCUGUCAAAGAGUAUCGGUUUUCCGAAGCUAGAAAUGGACAUUAGCCGCUACCGACGACAACAUAUCGUUGGUAGUUUAUUUUAUUCCAAUUUCAAGGUGAACUAUUUUUCCCCUGACUUUUAUUGUUUUGGAUAAUGAAGACAUGUCUAACGAAGGUUGUUUUCGUGUAGAGUAUGCUGUUGAGCAAAGCUUUGAAAAUGCAACAAGAUCUGGAAGACAAGAAACACGAAGUUAUAAUUGAAAAUUUAGAAGGCAAAAUAAAAGAGCAAUCAGCUACUAUUGAAAAGAAGAACUUCGAGCUUCAAGCGACUGAAGGCUUAUUGGCGGAAGCCGAAGCUAAAAUGACAGAACUGAACACGAAGCUUCUGUGCCAAUCUGAACAGUUUGAACGAGAAAAGCAAGAACUUAAUGCAAAACUUGAAGUCGAAGUCCAACAAAAUUCAGUUUUGAAAGAACUAUUGGCGGGCCUUCAAGACAAAUGUUUAGAAUUUAGCAACAAAUGUAUUCAACGAUUGAGAAAAAUUUUCCAUUCGGUCGGAGCUAGCAGUGAGAAGUUCACCCCGUCAGCUGAAGAUUUACCAAAGACCUUCGAACAUAUUGAGGGUGAAAUUGAUGAGCUUGACGAAGUUAUAGCCGGGCACGGUGACUUCUGCGCCUGGGUAGCUUCUCGGGGCACUGCUGCAGCUUUCCUAAAAGCUGGCUGCGAUCAUGGAAAGAUUGUCAAUAGGCCCAAUUUCACUUUAUCGCCAUCAAUUCUAGAUGACAUUCCUGAUCUCGCCCGAAGCAUUUCCAAUAGAUUUGUAAAGAUGAUAUGGACAAAAGGCGGGCGAGAAAAGGCAGGAGACGAAGCUCGGAGUCAUCUUGAACCAGUAAGAAAUCAUACCUUGUGCUUACCUCUUCCUUCAAGCUCGAUUUUGACUUACAACAACUUAAUUCAUGUAGGAGGACGAAGCCGAAGCCGAUGAUUAAAAAGAAUGACGCCGAAGCUGAGAUCCCUUGAAGAUUAAAUAGGAGUAGACUGUAGACAGACUCAAGAAACUUUUAAGAUAACUUUUGUAAAUGUAACUAAACUUGUCUUUAAUGAAUUCUGUUCAUACCUUGUAUUAUGCUCUUAUCCUUCCAUUAAUGUAUGAGAGGUGCUUUGAUGUGGACGAAAUUAUCUUUUUGAGUCGAAGGCGAAAAAACACCUUCCCUUCUUUUCGUACACAGUGAAGCAUAGAAAACAACAUUUCCCUUUCUUCCGAAGCUCUUCUUUUCGUACACGAAGAAGCUCUUCUCUCUUUUUUUUUCUUUUUGCCGAAGCAACCACUUAUGCUAUGAUGAUGAUUAUCCUACAUAUGCCUGGAUGAAUGUUUAUGAAUGCAAAUGCUAUGAUGUAAUGUGAUGUGCAAAUGAAUGUCCAAACACAUAUCCGAAGCCAUAAUCACAGCCAUUAUUUCCUUAGAAACAACCACAUAUCAGUGCUAACUUUUCGCUGUAAGCUCUGCAUUCCCUUAGGAACGACUUUGGAGCUUCUUUGUCUUUUACUUUCGGCGGAAUCAGCGUUGACUUUUCGCUGUAAGCUCUGCAUUCCCUUAGGACGACUUUGGAGCUUCUUCGCCUUUUACUUUCGGCGGAAUCAGCGUUGACUUUUCGCUGUAAGCUCUGCAUUCCCUUAGGAACGACUUUGGAGCUUCUUCGCUUUUUACUUUUCGGCACUCGAUGGUGCGUUCUCAGCUUUUACAUUUACAUUCCUUGGGGGAUUUUGCUCUUAUAGAACUAAAAAAGGAAAUUACAUAUGAUGGCCCCAUUAAAAACCUUUCUCCCCCUUCAGAAAGGAAAAGGGUGCCAUGAAAAAGAAAAAACAUAAAAAAUUACAUCAAGUUACACAUAAUAUCGCCGAAGCUCAUCCGCAUUCCAAGAUCUAGGAAUGUCGUUGCCGUCCAUAUCCUUCAAUCUGUAUGAACCGGGUCUUGACGAAGAUGCUACUAAGAAAGGUCCCUCCCAUUUCAACUGCAACUUGCCCACUGUAUCUGGGUUAGCCACUCGCCGAAGCACCAAAUGUCCUGGCUCAAUAUUCUUUAGCCGAACCUUUCUAUCACGCCAUUUGAUUGUUUCGGCUUGAUACUUAUUGAUGUUCUCCACAGCUUGAAGCCUGAUCCCUUCUACAACAUCUUUUUCCACAGAAUAAACAGCUUCAGAAUCUAACUCUGCCGAAGCUACUACUCUUAUUGAUCCAGUUUUGGCUUCCUCCGGAGUUAUUGCUUCGUCACCAAACAAUAGUUUGAAUGGAGUAAAGCCUGUUGACCUUGAUAUUGUUGUGUUGUGGCUCCAUACCACUUUGAUUAAUUGAUCUGGCCACUUUCCCCUAGGUUGAUUGAAGAUUAACUUCAUUAUUCCUGUCAUUAUAAUGCCAUUGGCUCUUUCAACGAGUCCAUUUGACUCCAGAUGCCUGACUGAUGCAAAAUGGAUCUUCGUACCAAUUUGAUCACAGAAAUCUCUGAAAGCUUCGGAGUCGAACUGUGUUCCAUUAUCUACUGUGAUGGCCUUUGGUACCCCGAAACGACAAACAAUAUUCUGCCAGAAAAACUUUUGGAUGGUGGCCGAAGUUAUUGUGGCUAAAGGCUUUGGCUCAAUCCAUUUAGAAAAAUAUUCCACAGCCACUACAACAUAUCUUAAGUUUCCUUGGGCCGGUGGUAACGGACCUAACAAGUCAAGGCCCCACCUUUGCAAUGGCCAAAUGGGUUGUAUGAGCUGGGUUAAAGACGAAGGUUGUUUUUUGAUCUCUUGCACAUUUCUGACAACCUUCGCACUUUUGAACUAAUUCCGCUGCAUCCGAAGCUGCCUUCGGCCAAUAAAACCCUUGACGGAAAACUUUUCCAAGUAACGGCCUAGAUCCAAUGUGAGAUCCGCACAGGCCUGCAUGUAUUUCUUUCAUCAAUUCUAUGCCUUCGGUUCUAGAUAAACACUUGAGUAGUGGAGCACAAACUCCAUGCUUGUACAACUCCCCUUCUAUCAUGACAUAUGGACGAGCUCUUGCCUCUAUCCUCCUGUUAUAAGUUUCGUCAUCUGAAAGGAAUUUACCCUGAAGGUAAGAGAUGAUUUCAGUUCUCCAAUCUUCGCUAUAAACAGGAGAUAUAUUGAGGACUGCCCUUUCAAGAAGUUCCACUGAAGGUGCUUUUAUUGUUUCGAAGAACACAUCCGAAGGUAAGGGCAGCCCCUGUGCUGCUGACUUAGCUAGCAAAUCAGCAUGCUCAUUUUGUCCUCGAGGGAUAUUUUUGACAGAAAAUCCUUCGAAGGAAGCUUCGACUCUUCGAACCAUGUCUAGAUAUUUUUCAAGCUUCGGAUCUUUAGCCUUGCAACUCUUGUCGAUAUGACCCGAAACAACCUGGGAAUCAGUUUUAAGAAUGGCCCUUCUGAUUCCCAUUGCUUUUAGCUUCCGAAGACCCAAAAGCAGGGCUUCGUACUCAGUAAUAUUGUUUGUACAACUGAAAUCGAGUCUUGCCGCAUAACAAGUUUUAACUUUGGAUGGCGAGACCAACACAGCAGCUGCUCCUGCCCCGAAGGUUCCCCAAGACCCAUCGCAAAACACUGUCCAUACUUCGGCAUCUUUAUUUGUUUCUUCAUCCUGAGCCCCUGGCGUCCAAUCGGCGAUAAAAUCUGCCAACGCUUGGGACUGGAUCGAAGAUCUAUGCACAUAAUCAAUGCAAAAUUCAUUGAGCUCUGCAACCCAUUUUCCAAUCCGCCCAGUAGCUUCUCUAUUUCUCAUAAUAUCCUUCAACGGCUGCGAAGAAGGAACAAUAAUAUUGUAUGCUUGAAAGUAAUGCCGAAGCUUCCUGGAUGCCAUCAAAACAGCAUAUAACACCUUCUCUAAUUCUGUAUAGUUUUUCUUUGAUAUACUGAGAACUUCAGAUACAAAAUACACUGGGACCUGUUUCUUGACUUGGCCAUCAAGCUUCUCCUGGACAAGUGCUGCACUUACCGCUGAGUGCGAAGCUGCCACAUAUAAUAACAAAGGAGCCCCUGGCGUUGGUGGAGUUAAUGUUGUUAAAUCUAUCAAAUAUUGCUUCAGUUCCUCGAAGGCUUUUUGUUGGCUUGGUCCCCAUUGAAAGACUUCGGCUGAUUUCAGGACUUCGAAGAAUGGUAAAUUUCUUUCUGCUGAUCUGGAUAUAAAUCUAUUAAGAGAUGCCAGCCUCCCCGUCAAUCUUUGGGCCCCCUUUUUUGUAGUUGGUGGCUCCAUUCGAAGUAUAGCUUCAAUUUUACUUGGAUUAGCUUCAAUUCCCUUUGUUGAAACCAAGCAUCCAAGAAAUUUCCCCUUCUUUACUCCAAAGACACAUUUUUCUGGAUUCAACUUCAGGCCAGCUUGUCUAAAACUGGCGAAGGUCUCCUGCAAAUCAGCAAUGUGAUUUUCCUGUUUCGUGCUUUUUACAAUGAUAUCAUCAACAUAAGUUAGCACAUUUCUGCCUAUCUGAGACUGGAGAACCCUCGCAGUCAUUCUGCUGAAACUUCCUCCAGCGUUCUUGAGCCCCUCAGGCAUCCGAAGGUAACAAUAUGUUCCACUAGGGGUUAUGAAACUGGUCUUUGGCUCAUCCUCCUUCUUCAUCCAAAUUUGAUGAUAGCCUGAAUAACAAUCGAGAAGACUCAUGAGCUCUGACGAAGCUGCUGCAUCAACUAAGGAGUCUAUCCUUGGCAAUGGGAAUUCGUCCUUCGGACAAGCCUUGUUGAGAUCUGUAAAAUCGAUACACAUUCGCCAUUUGCCAUUGGCCUUUUUUACCAUAACAGUGUUAGCUAGCCAUUCUGGGUACUUUACUUCUCUGAUAACUCCUGCACUGAGGAGUCUUUUGACUUCAUUACGAGCACCUUCGGCCUUAUCAUCAGACAUUUUCCGAAGCCUCUGCUUUCUGGGUCUGAAGGAUGGGUCAACAUUGAGCGAGUGUUCAAUAAUAUCUCUGUUAACUCCGCAAAGAUCAUUGGCUGACCAUGCAAAAACAUCUUUGUUGUUGAACAAAAACCUUAUCAAGGUUUUCUCCUGUUCUUCGGAUAAUUGAGAGCCCAACAGCACCCUCUGCUCUGCUAUGUCCUCACAUAAGAGCAUGGGCUUCGGCUGAUCUGCUGAAGCUGCUUUCUCCCUUCUGAAUUUGUACUGUUCACAAGCUUCAGCUCCAUCUAUGUUAUGGAUUGCUUUUGAGUCAGUCCAGUUUCCUUCGGCCCUUCUGGCAGCUUCCUGACUUCCAUGAAUAGCGAUGGGUCCUUGAUCCGAAGGUAUCUUCAUGCAAAGGUAAGCAGGAUGAAGAAUUGCUUCGAAAGCAUUGAGGGUGCCACGACCAAUAAUUGCAUUGUAAGGGUAUUCCAUGUCAACAAUGUCAAACACAACUUGCUCAGUUCUAGUGUUGUUGAUGAAUCCGAAGGUCACUGGCAUGGUGAUCUUGCCCAGUGCUACAAUUUGUCUUCCUCCGAAGCCACAGAGAGGGUGUGUAGCAUCAUGAAUCUUAUCUUCUGGCUCUUGCAUUUGUCUGAAGGCCUUAGCAAAUAUGAUAUCAGCUGCACUGCCUGUGUCAACCAAGACAUUGUGGACCAGAAACCCUUUGAUAACACAAGAAAUAAUCAUAGCAUCGUUAUGAGGAAAAUCCUUGAGCUGAAGGUCCUCCUGGGAGAAGGUGAUUGGAAUGUGAGACCACCUUGACUUGAUAAAGGGUCCCUGCACUCCAACAUGUUGUACCCUUCUCUGCGCCUCUUUCUUCUGCUUUUUAUUGGCUGGUUCUGAGCACGAACCACCUGUUAUCGGGAGCACCAGCUUCGGGUCUGAAGCAGCUCCAGCUCGAUCGUUGAACGAAGCCAUCAGCUCAAAAAAGUGGAAGUGAGUUCACCGGAGGUGGGCGCCAAUGUUGGGGACUUGUUCUCAAAUGCUAUGAAUUAAGAACAAGGCAACAUAAAAUGUUAAAUGUUAAUGUCCUUCGUCCACGAAGCAUUAUUCCCUUGAGGAUAAUGAACCUUGGACGAAGGUUGAUAGCAAUACAAUUACGAAGGUUAAGUCUUCGUAAUUGAAUUUUAAUAGAUUGUAUAAGAUAACAUAAAAUAAAGAAUAUCAAAGGUAAAUGAAUUAUAAACGGAACAUAUUGUAUUUACUUAAUAUAUUGAAUUGUUGAAUACAAUUAUACCUCUGCCUUGGCAAAGAUUGGUUCCUGAAUGAUGUGAUUGCCAAAACCGGAAUCCGUGAACAGUAAGGGAAUACUGUUCACUAUUUAUAGGCACAAGACACAGCCUGUGAGAAAUUACAAUUAUGCCCCUCACAAAGGAUUACAACAGCGACCUAGGCACUUAUGGACUAGAGGGUCAUUCUACUUUUAAGUCGGUUUGUAAUACCGAAGCUUCAUGAAGAGGAACUUUCAGUCAUCUCAUAUGAACAGCUUCAGUCGCAAGCUGCUUCUUCCUACAAGACCUUCGGCGACGAAGCAUAGUCCCAACAGAUAGGUUGAAGAGUCAAAUUGUGAUUCCAUCAACCUUCCCAAACUAUGUAUACCCAAAGAGAACAAGAACUCUAAGAAAGGUUCAAGAAUAAGAUCAAGCAUGAUCACCAGGCUUCUACAAAGCAACAGUCACACAUUUUCUCAGUUUCCCCACGACACCUGCCAUCUACUACAAAAGACAGGGCACUACAAUAGAAAGUGCCAGAAUUCCUGCACUAGCUGCUACCGAAUGCAAUUCCGUACAAACCUAAGGUUCCAGCGGGUCGAAUAAUAGUUAUAGUGGUUAACGAAAAGAAAGUAGACACUUAACUUCAGUUUCGUGAUUAGACAAUCAGCACAUCCACUAUCACUUCGGUGACAAAGAUUGUGUGUUAUUUAGCUUGAUAAUAAAGAUGUUGGUCUCGCCAUCCGACGAGACAUGAUUUAUUUAUCUUCGCACAGUGGCAUUGUUAAGGUCUUAGAUACACCAUAAAACAAUCCAUCCAAUAGUGGCAGGAAUAAAAAAAUAGAAGUGAUGGAGAAACCUCGUCGAAAUUAUGGCACUACCGUUUGGGCCAUAUUUCGAGCGAGGGAUAGAACGUCUCGUUAAGGGACAAAUUCUCCAUCCCCUAGACUUCACAAACUUACGAGAGUGUUAAAAUUAUUCAUACAGAUAUAUGUGGUCCUUUUUCAGUUAGUACAGUAGAUGGGUUUAACUAUUUGAUAACCUUCACAAAAGAUUACUCUCGCUAUGGUUAUAUUAAUCCCAAUAAGGAAAGAUCAGAAGCUUUAGACAAGUUUAAACAGCUCAAGGCUGAGGUAGAAAAUCAACAUGAUUUGAACAUAAAGAUUGUCGUAUCAGAUCAUGUGGGGAGUACUGUGGGCACCAUACUGAUUAUGGACAGGUCCCAGGAUCCUUUCGCGAGGUUCCUAAGUGAAAACCAUAUUGUUGCUCAGUAUUCAACACCUGGUGAACCGCAACAGAAUGGGGUUGCCGAAGGGCAUAACAAAAUGCUAAUGGAUAUGGUAAGGAGUACGCUUAGUUACUCUAACCUACCAUUGUGUCUAUGGAUGGAGGCUUUAAAAACCCGCUAUGCAUAUACUCAACAUAGUUCCUAGUAAAUCAGUGGCUAAAACUCCAUAUGAGUUGUGGACUGGCAGAAAGCCCACGCUCAACUAAUUCCACAUAUGAGGUUGUCCAACAGAAGCUACAAUAUUUAAUCCUAGACAGGAAAAGCUAGAUGAGAGAACCAUAAGCUGCCAUUUUAUUGGCUACCCUGAGAGAUCGAAGGGUUACAGAUUCUACUGCCCAGGCAGACAAACCAAGUUUAUAGAAACCAGACAUGCCAUUUUCCUAGAAAAUGAUAUGAUCAAGGGGAGUAAGGUACUCAGAGAGGUUGACCUUCAGGAAAAGAGGAUGUAUGUCCCGAUUCUGAUGGUUGAAGAACCAUACUUCUCGAUACCCACUGUGUUUCCACCAACGGUUGUAACGACUAGAGGUGAAACCCCUGUUGCAAAUGUUGCAUCACCCAAUGCAACUACUACAUAGCAAUUCACUUUACCUUCUGCACAGCCUGGCUCUUCUGAGUCGGUUGCACAGGAGAGUUCACAUGACAGUGGUAGUGUUGCGCCAAGUGACGCACCAUUGCAAGAGCCCCAAAACGAACCAAAACUAGAAACAAGUUUAAAAAGGUCUCAAAAGGUCUAGACGAUUUGUGAUUCCUAAUGAUUAUGGAGUUUACACAAGUGUAGACAAAGAAAGCGAUGGGAUUUAUAUGAGUGGGGACAUCGAUGCAGAAGGUGACCCCACUACAUAUGAAACAGCUAUGAGAAGCGUAAAUUAGUGGAUCUACAAGACCAAGCGUGAUUCCAAAGGGAAUAUCUAAAGAUACAAGGCUGGACUUGUGUCCAAAGGGUUCACACAGAGAGAAGGUAUUGACUACCAUAAAACCUUCUCACCUGUCUCAACAAAAGAUACAUUUCGGAUCAUUAUGGCAUUAGUGGCUCAUUUUGAUCUAGAGCCAUAAUAUGGAAGUAAUGACAUCAUCACUAAAUGGAGAGUUAAUAGAAAACGUGUUCAUGGCACAACCAAAGGGUUUUUGUUGUGAGUAGUAAAAGAAAAAACAUGGGUUUAAGGGAGUGCCUAUGAUCUUGAAUCACAGGGGCUACAUAUUGCAAUGCAACCAAAUAAAGUAUCUUUUCGUUCUAAAGCAGGCGAGCAUGGUGUAGUCAAUGAGUACGGUGAUACUUGAUCGGUCAUUGUCACGUAUUGGUCUCUAUGUGUAAACUUGUCGAGGGAUGAAAUCUAGAAAAGUUGAGUAUAAGGAAUGUAGAGAACAAAGGGGAGAUUGUUGGGUGUGCCCUCUACAGCUAGUCAUUGGUGAUCGGAUUGGGCUAAACCCAACUAUCCAUCUCCUUAAACGGGUCCUUGAUUGGGAGAACUCACGCUGACCUCGGUUGGAGCCCCCAGUCACACGACGCUAUAUAUAGGACUAAAGGGUCGCAGGAAAGACUAACGCUAGUACCUCGACCCAAAACCCUAAUCCCCACAGAGGCCCCCAUCGCCUAAGCGUCGGAGUGUCUAGAAGCGCGACAACCCACAGUGGCUCGGAUCCCGAUGCCUGCUGCUCCUCUGCAGACGACGACAACAACGACAACUCUCCAACAACAACAACAACGAAUGUGUGUUUUCCUAUUCCUCUUAGUAGAACAGAUCUACUUAUCAUCGAGGUUUUCCUUCCAGUUACGGAUUGGUAUUCUAGGGACGUAGGAAUAGAUCUUAGGUACCAUAGGAUCUAACACUAUGAAGAUUUUAUGACCACUUUGUAAUUUUAAGUUUUGCAUUUUUGCUUCCUGAUCAGAUGUCAUUCUCUGUACUUUCUGUGUAGGACACGGGGAAGUCCUGGAGACGCUAUCAGUGAGCUCCUUCUGCCACGUUUUGUGGACAUGGUAAUUUGGGGCCAUGAGCCUGAAUGUCUGAUUGAUCCACAGGUAACAAGACAUAUUAGUAUUUAAAAAGAGGGGAAGAGGUGCAAUUUAGCAUAUGUAUUUUUAGUCAAGUGUUCUGUCUUUCUGCUUUUGUAUUUAAUUUUAACUUUGUUUUCCUUCUAUCAACUACUCACAGGAGGUUCCUGGAUUGGGUUUCCAUAUCACCCAACCAGGUUCCUCAAUUGCUACCUCACUGAUCAAUACUGAAGCAAAUCCAAAACACGCGCUCUUUCUGGAAAUCAAGGUUAGUACUGGUGCAACGUGCUACGCUAACAUUCAAAUAUCUUCUUUUUUAAUUUAUUUAGUUUAUCAUGUUGCCCUUGAAUAGGGGAGAGAGUACAGGACAACCAAAAUACCACUGCAGUCUGUUAGACCUUUUGAGUAUGCAGAGGUAAUCCAGCUCUUACUUGUGUUUGCUCAAGUGAACUACAUCAAGAGAAUGUCAUGCAGGUUGUACUGGAGGACCAGGUUGAUGUUGAUCCUGGUGAUGAAGCAUCCAUUCAUGAGCAUUUGCACAAAGUUGUAAGUCCCCAACUAAUAACUUGUAUUUUUGUAAAAAAAAUCGUCUGUUUCCAAGGAUAUGUUCCCAUGACUGGUUAAAUUAAUUCCAGAACAGAACAAUCAGAUCUUUGAACAAUGAAGCUUCAGUUGUUGGAUAUUUGUUGUACUAAAUACUGACGGCAGAGUGGCUUUAUGUGAGCAACCUUAUUGAGAAGAGUAGGGAAGAAGCAUCCAGUAGUGGAUCAAAGCCCAAGCUUCCACUGGUUAGAAUAAAGGUAAAUCAGGAGCUCUUUAUGGCAGUUUUGUCCCACAAUGUUGUAAACAUAAAAGAGAUUGAAUUGUUCUUCAGGUGCAUCACACCGGACUUUCAACGAUAAAUUCAAAGCAAUUUGGUCAGCACUACGUGGGCAAGGUACCUCAUAAACUAAUUAAAAUGGAAUAAUUUAAAUGUGAUGUAAUCCUUUUAGUUACUACUGUUGCAUAGUGUUUCUGGUUACUAUCAAUGCUCUUGUAGGUUGUAAACCCACAAGACAUACUUCUUCUUACAAGAUCAAGGCAAAGGCAUCAAACUAUGCAAGGUAUGCCUAUUAUUGUUUCCUAUCACUACAGUAAACGAGGAAAUUUCCGAUGGCUAAAACCGUCGGACUUAAGGACUAAACCGUCGGAGAUAAGCUAUGUCCGACGGCAUUAACUUAUCUCCGACGGUUUUAAGCCGUCGUGGAUAAUGCGUCGGAAUAGCGUUAUGUCCGACGGCUGCCGUCGGACAUACGCUAUGUCCGACGGCCCUAUCCAACCGUCGGAGAUAAGGCGGCGUAACCGUUUUAACCGCUGCCUGGGCCCACAACUAUUAUGUCCGACGGUUUAAAGCCGUCGGACAUAACAUAUAGCAUAUGUCCGACGGCUUUAAGCCGUCGGACAUAACAUAAACCUUAUGUCCGACGGCCUACACUAGGCCGUCGGACAUAACGUUUUUCAGAAAUUGCACAAAAAUCUGAAAUUUAAAAAAUCUGACAUUUGCAAAUACAAAACAGAAUUCAUACACAUAUACACAUUCACAUUAACAAAUAUACUCACAUAAGUAUACACAUUCACAAAUAUAAUCACAUAAGCAUUCACAUUCACAAAAUUUAACAUAACAACAUAGUUCCAAAUGGUUGCAAUAAGUGUUUACAUAAACAUAGUUGUCCAAACUCCAAAAUGAACAUUAUUCGACGGGUAGGCUUUCACAUGAAAGGUUUCAACAAGUGUUUUACAUCAGUAUCACUCAUAUCCAUCGCCACCUCCUCCGGCUGGACUAUGCGUGCUGAAAAGAUUGUUCACCCACGAAUGUGUUGUGUCGUCCUGACCAGACCCAUCUCCAGGUGCGGCAACUGAAGCGGGUGGUGUCUGAAAUCCCUAUAACAUAAGCACAUGAAAUAGUAACCACUCAGUUGUUCAUUUAAACACAUAAGACAUCUAUGAACAUGUCACACACGCAUAUGUGUACAUACCAUAGGGAAUUGUGACGGAGGCGGAGGCGGUGGUGGAGGCGCCAACAUUGGCAUUGGCAGUGCAAAGUCCGGAGGCGGCAUCCCAUAUGUCGGCAUCGGGACGCCCGCUUGUUGGGCUAGUUGCUACAAAUUAUAUACAAGUCAUUGUUGAGCAAACAAGAUACACAUCAAGUGUUUUGCAAAAUAAGCUACAAAAUGUUAGUUCAACUUACCGAGAGAAGAGCUUGAUUUUGGGCCUGGAGGCUUACAUAAUACUCGUCCCUCUUCUUCUGGUACUCGGCUUGUUGUCUCUGGUAUUCAGAUUGUUGCCUCUGGUACUCCAAUUGAUCCCUCAAGACUGAUUGAUGGUACUCUGCCUGUUGACGCAACACCGCAAGCUCUAUCUCAUGGGCUGCUGAUCGUGAACGGGACGACUGUGAAGACGACGAUGUGGAUUGUCGUCCACGGCGUCUCAGCUCUCUGGAAUCAAUCGUAGAAUCAAAAAUACCCAACCUACAAGAGUGAACCAUGCACUUAGUAUAGUAACUCAUGCCUCAGUUGAAUCGCAAGCAUAUGAUGACAAUUUUGAAAACCAAAUCAAAUAAUCUCACCGUCCAUGGGCUUGUCCUCCUGCACUAGCAUAUGCUGCCUGAGGGUCGAUUGGCUGGCUCCUCCAAUCGUACUCCUCCCCAUGGCGUUGAACCAUCUCCUGCCCAUACGAAGCCUGGAGGCAAACAAUAUCAAAUAUAAGUGCAUAACCCCUAUGCCAUUGCAAACAAUAUCAAACACAUAAUAGAGUAUAAAAAACUCACUAGAAUGUCGGUGGCCGUCUGAGUGCAUAACACAUCAGGAUUCUGAGGAUCAGAACCCCUAUGGCCUUGCAUAUACACCUCCACAUCCGUGGGCGUACGGCCGGAUUUGACUUCCUGUACAUAAAAGUUAUAUUGACACAUUUCUAUGUAAUUCAAAGUUACGACAAACUGAGACUUACCAUUCGCUUAGCCAAGCGCACAUGACCAUCACCGCCGUAGUUGUGGAACGACUCAGUUCCACGGUUUCCCCUGUUCCUUUCGGAAAUGGCACGAAAAUCAGGGGAACCCCACCAUCUGCACAAUGCCCGAUAACCGUCUGAUCGGGUGGCCAUCCACGGCACCGACACCUACAUGAAAUUUUUAAAAUAAAGCAAGCAAAUACAUGGCUUCGUGCGAUAUGAGAGGCAACAACCUGUUUACCUCUAGGUAUUGCUCCUCCGUCAAGUAAAUUGAUGACCACUCGGCCUUUGUAUUUGGCAUCGGUCGAUCAUCAGCAUUUGCUCUGUACCAUGCCUUUAUAGCCUAAAUUCGUGCAUAGUACAUUGCAUCUGCAACGACAUCGUUCGCGUUAUACUCAAACACGUAACGAGCGUUCAUAUCAUAUGAUCCAUCGUCCGGCAACUUGUACCGUUUCUGCAAAAACCAUAGUGUUAUCAUAAAAGCAAACAUAUAUGGAAUAACUAAAAUAGUAUAAACAAGUCAUACCCAGAAUGCAUCCCAAACUAGUGCUUGUGUGUUGCCAAACGUUCUACAGACACCAUAGCGAUAAUGCUCCCAAGUGGUGGCGGGGACAGACUCGCCAGUAGGCAAAGUCACAAGACCAGGCCAGUGCAGACGAACAAGAUUACCAAGAACCAUGUUCACCUGCCUGUAGUGUCCUGUGCCUGUGAACGAGUCGUCGAUCCAAGUCCUGCAAACAGAAAUCAAUGUAGAAAUUAAAACAUAACUUUCAAUAACAUUUAAGCAAAGAUAUGUCACUCACUUUCCACUAGGCUUUAUCACAACCCGAGAUUCCGGUGGAAGCUCUGGAGGUGGUCCAACAAAAUGCAGCUUCCUCGUUCUCUUAACUCGAGAAGUUCCAGACCCAGCUGCAGAAUCUCCACCAGCCCCAGAAUCCCCAGCCCCAGAAUCUCCACCAGCGUCGUCUCCAGCAUCAUCUCCCACAUUAUCUCCACCAUCAUCUUCAUCAUCAUCUCUUGCAUGAUCCUCUACCACUGGUUCCUCAAUUUCAGCAUCCUAUGAAACAAAUAACUUACAUCAUACAAUAUUAAGUAACUCAAAUAAUGUAAUUUAACAACUAACUUACAUCUUGUGGAGGCAAAUGUUCUGCCAGCGCUCUCCGUCUGCUCAUGGUAGAACCUGUGCCCUGAAAAACUGAAUCCUCACCCCUCGAGCUGCUCCUCGAGCUACUCCUCGACCCAAGCAAACUACGAGCUAAAGACUUCAUUUUCUUUGACAUCCUAUUUUAACAAAAACAAGUUAGUACAUAAAUCGACAAUAAAAUAAUAAAAUAUGCAAUAAAAUCAUGAUCCAUACUCGUCAAUCGUAAUCGUAAUCAAAAUCAGGAUCUAGUUGCUUUCGUCGAUUUAAUGGACGCCAAGUAGCUUUCUUCUUUCUCGUCACUCGUUUUCUUUUUGGAGGAACCUCUACAUCAUUUUGAUCGCCUAAUAAAGAUUCUUCCAACAUUUCAGUUUGUACAUUAAACGUGCUUGUAAGUUCUUCGUCUUGGAAAAUCUCAGCAGCCCCCACUUCCUGCUCGAUUUGACUUUCAACAUAACCAGCAUCACCAGGAGCAUAUAGUCGUUCACGAGGAUUAACUUUGUACACUACCCUCCAAUCAACCAAACCGUUUUUCUUAGAUGGAUAUGUCAUAUAAUACACCUGCUCGCAUUGGUGGGCAAGGAUUAUAGUGUCGUGGCCUUUUAAUCUAUCGUUGUGUUUGACUUCCACCAUGCCAUAUUGAUUUUCUCGCGUUGUAUUUGGAGAAAACCAAUCACAAUCGAAGAACACCACUUUGAGUUGUUUAUCUCCAAAAAACUUGUACUCGAUUAUAUCAUUAAUGACUCCAUAAUAAUUAGUCACCUUCCCUUCAUCGUCGACAGCUCUAGUUACAACUCCGGAGUUUGUCGUGGCUGCUAGAGGAUGAUCAUCUUCGAACCUUGUGGAACGGAAUCUAAAACCAUUGACAUCAUACCGACCAUAACGUCUGCCAGUUACUGCUCCUAGGGAUAAUUGUCGAAGGUCCGGGUGUAUAUUGUCAUUUUUAUCUACAUAAUCUCGAAACCAACACAAGAAAUUAAGUCCCCCAUCUUUUCCCUCUCGACGAAUCUGGUCACGUUCACAGCCAGAGAUGCAAUUUUGAGAAUCAAAUUCCCUGUUAGUACAAGGAAACAAACCUUUUAGUAUCACAACAAAAAUUCUAGCGGCAAUGACUAAAAUAAAGUUUACACUUACAGGAGAAACUGACUCAUCUCUUCCAUGUUGUUAUACAUGUAGAGUAAAGCAGUCUUCCAUUCGUCGUUGGUGAAACAGUAUGUUGUGCUGGGUCCUACAGUUUUGCCCCUCCAUUGAAAAAUUUCAAUAUCACUAAUAGGGGGCUCGUCGACAUGAUACCGCAACGUAUGGGCAUUGACAUUGUGUUCCUCUGCAAAGUACAGGCCCGUGAACGAUGCUAUCUCUUUGUAUUUGAAUUCUUCAGCGAUGCACCCUUCAACUCGUCUCUUAUUACCAACCAUUGCACGUAGCUUCUUUAGUGUCCUUUCGAUGUGAUACAUCCAUCUAUAUUGCACAGGACCUCCUACCUUAGCUUCGUAUGGUAGGUGAACAAGUAGAUGUUGCAUCGGAUUGAAGAAACCUGGUGGAAAUAUUUUUUCAAGUUUGCAUACCAAAAUCGGUAUUUCUUGCUCAAGCUUCUCCAUCAUCUCUUUCUUUAUUUCUUUGGCACAAAGAUGUCUAUAAAAGUAGCUUAGCUCCGCUAAUGCUUUCCAUACAUCAUUUUUUACAAAACCACGAAACAUAACAGGAAGGAGUCUUUCCAUUAUUAUGUGGUAGUCAUGACUCUUCAACCCAGAAAACUUGCCCGUCUUCAAAUUCACAGACCUUCUAAAGCCCGCGGCGUAACCAUCUGGGAACUUUAAGUUUUUCAACCAUUUCAUCAAUUGUUUCUUCCUUUUAGGUUUAAUACUGAAAGGAGCACGUGGCUUCUUCUGAUUCUCUCCUAUCUCCAUAGUUGGUCUUCUACAGAUUAAGGCCAAGUCUUUCCUUGCCUUAGGGUUGUCUUUUGUUUUGUUGGUGAUAUUCAUGCAAGUGCUGAUAAUGCUUUCACCCAUAUUUCGUUCCUGGUGCAUGACAUCAAUGUUAUGCAUUAGAAUCAAGGCUUUCAUAUAAGGGAGUUCCCAUAGACCACAUUUGUGAGUCCAAUUAUGCUCGGUUCCAUAACCUUCAAAACGAUUUCCAUGUUCGUUUAGUUUCAAAUCAUUAAGUCUCGCGAGAAUCUCUGGACCACUUAGACGCUUGGGUGGUCCCCUCGUCACAAUCGUGUCCUUUUUAAAAGCGUUCCUAUCGAACCUGAACGGGUGAUCCUCUGGCAAAAAACAUCUAUGACAAUCGAAGUAACAUAUCUUUCCACCAAACUUUAGUCGAAAGCAUAAAGUGUCUUCAACGCAUAUAGGACAUGUCAAAAUCCCAUGACAACUCCAUCCAGCAAAGAUACCAUAAGCCAUAAAAUCAUGAAUAGACCAUAAAAACGCGGCUCUCAAGUUGAACUUCUGUUUCUUGUAACAAUCGUACGCCUCGACUCCUUCCCACAAAAUUUUCAAUUCUUCAAUCAGGGGUCUCAUCAUCACAUCGAUCUUUGUUCCAGGAUGAUCCGGACCAGGUAUUAUAAGACACAAGAAAAUAAAUUCAUAUUUCAUGCAAAGAGCUGGUGGAAGGUUGUAUGGAACAGCAAAGACGGGCCAACAUGAGUACGACGUUGCAGUUACAUUGAAUGGCGAGAAACCAUCUGUUGCCAAACCGAAGCGGACAUUCCGCACUUCAUCAGCAAAGCUGGAAUCAAAAGCAUCUAGUGCCUUCCAUGCAUCUGUAUCAGCUGGGUGCACCAUGACAUUUGGAUUCUCACGUACCCCUUCUUUGUGCCACCUCAUGUGUCUGGCUGUAUUCUUGGAGAUGAACAAACGUUUCAACCGAGGUAUGAGAGGCAUGUAACGAAGCUGCUUACGUGCAAUCUUCGUAGUCACGGUCAAACCAUCGUCGUUUUCAACCUCAACGAAUCUACGCUCACCACAUACAGUACACUUCUUCUCACCUGCGGUCUCCUUCCAGAAAAGCAUACAAUUAUUUUCACAGACAUCGAUUUUUUCGUAGUCCAUACCGAGGCCAGAUAACAGUUUUUUAGACUGAUACAUGUCCUUUGGCAUCUUGUGAUUCUCCGGAAGUACAUCACUGAUCAAGUUCAAAAGUUCCUUGUAACAGUUGUUUGAGAAUGCAAACUUAGACUUAAUAGCCAUAAGUCGAGUCACAAAUACAAGGACGGUCACUUUUGUGUGCUCAUGCAACGGCUCUUCGGCAGCUUUAAGGAGCUCGAAGAACUUCUGAACCUCAGGUGUAGCUGGAUCCUCAAACUCAGUGGGUUGACCGGGGUUCUCCGAAUCGACGGUUAGAAACUCAUGGCGUACAUCGUCAAGCAUCUCUUCCAUCCUAUCGUAGUCCUCCUCUUCAUGUGACUGAACUUCCGAUACAAUACGAGGAGGUGGGUCCUCACCGUGGUGCACCCACACCUCAUAGCCUGGCAUAUAACCAUUCUUGCAAAUAUGUAUCGACAUAGUCCUCCUGUCAAGGAAAUUAAUGUUCCGACACUUGCUACAAGGGCACCUAACAUCGGUUCCAGUCUCUGACCGAGCAAAAGCAUGGUCGAGAAAAGCAUCAGUCUUGGCCACCCACUCACUUGAUAGAGCACCUCUUUUCUUCCAACCUUCAUACAUCCAUCGACGAUUCUCCUCCAUACUAGAUACGAGACGUUAACUUAAUUAGAUAAGUAAUGCACGGACCAUCCGUUUUUACGAAGAAAUCACGCCCCUACAUCUGUAGGAAAGGAUAGGUCCUAAACCCACCCAGGAGUGACCGACGAGGCCGUGUUUAUGACAAAACAUGUGGUCGUGCGAAAUUUCGGCAGCAUAACCCCGCUGUUCUCCAAUCGCACGCCUAAAAAUGGUGCAAUUGGAGAACAGAGAGGUUAUGCUGCCGUAACUAAGCAGGAGCACAUGCUUUUGUCAUAAACACGGACUCUGUCGGUCACACCAAGGCUGUCCAAUAAAGGGACAAUUCCGGCCCAACAUACCUCACAUGCGUCGCUUGUAAGGUGUGUUGGGCCGAAACGGGUGACGCCUAGGUUUCGUUUGUUCACACUACGAUACACUAUGAUUAACUAUAAUCAUCGUGCAUUAUUAAAUAAUUAAACUAAUAAACCACAAUACAAUAUUACAUACGAAAUAACAUUGUUAUAAAUGACAAAUCAUAUAAAAUGACCUUAUUUUCGAGGGCAUAAUAAUUACCCUCGGAAAUUAAAAAUUUAAAUUAUCUAAAGUACCACUAAAUAAACUAAAACAAGCUACUUUAAUUACGUAAUCAAAUUUUGGCCGUCGGACAUAACAAACUAAACAAUCAAAUGCAUUCAUACAUACAUUUCUAAUCAAAUACAUUAAUACAAACAUACAAUUCUAAUCAAAUACAUUAAUACAAGCAUACAAUUUUAAUAAACAAAAUUGCUAAUUAAGUAUACUCACUUAGCGGGUGUGGAGAGCCGGCCGGCGAUGGGCGCACGGGCGGGCGGCGGGCGCACGGGGCCGUUGGCCGGAGCACGGGGCGGCGGCGACCGGCGAACGGGGCGGCGGCGGCGGCCGGAGCACGGGGCGGAGCUCGGGGCGGUGGCGGCCGGAGCACGAGCGUGGCGGCGGCACGAGCGUGGCGGUGGUGGCCGGAGCACGGGCGUGGCGGUGGCCGGAGCACGAGCUCGGGGCGGUGGCGGCCGGACCAAGGGGCAGCGGCGGCCGGAGCACGAGCAGUGGGGGCGGGCGGUACGGCGACCGGGCGGGACGGCGACGAGCGUGGCGGCGACGAGCGUGGCGGCGACAGCGCGGCGUGCUCCUCGGACGGCGGCGGCGGCAGAGAUAGAGAGACGCGCGGUCGGGUGAAACUGAAGGCGCGCGGGUCGGAUCCGCGCGUUAAAAAGCCUUAUGUCCGACGGCUCGGUACGAGGCCGUCGGACAUAAGCUUAUGUCCGACGGCCAGGGGGCGGGCCGUCGGACAUAAGGUAAUGUCCGACGGCCAGUCUGACAGCCGUCGGCUGUAUUCUGUUAUUUUCGACGGCCGCUGUUGGCCGUCGGACAUAACCUUAUGUCCGACGGUUGCCUAUGGGGCCGUCGGACAUAAUACGACCGUCGGAAUUUUAUAGUUUUACUGUAGUGUAUGAAAACAAUACAUGAGAGAGUAAUGCUAGGGUACGCUCAUAUGGGACCAGGGUGGUACUUGUGUUGAGUUUCUGUUUUAGAAUACUUUUUUAGUUUGCCAAUCAAUUUAUUGUUAACGUGGCCAUAUUACUAUCUUAUUGUGAGCAUAUCAACAAUAAACAUUAUAGAUUGGUUAAUGAAAAGUAUAAUACUGGCUAUAUCGCAAGUUUAAAAUUUGAAUACAUUUAACAAAUUCAAGCUGAGUGUAUUUUCUGGCUGUCUCUUUUAUUGUAUUGCCUUAUGUGGUCGGCACUUCUGCUUAAUACGGCGCUGUGAUCAGGAGGAGGAUGCCGAAGUAGAGGAUUGAGCGAAUUUUCUUUUGGGAGUAGUAGCCUCAGGUUGCCGCCGGGGCUGUGAAUUGUGAUCAGGAGGAUUCCGAUGUAGACCAUUCACGGUUCCAGUGUGGAUUCCGCAUCGAAUUUAAUGUAUUUCUGAUCCAGGAUCCUGGUCGACUAGUUGUUGUACCUAUGUUUGGAUUUAGGGGUUAUUUGGUUUGUUGUCUAAUUUAUCAUAGUUUAUCAUGUCUAAGGUUAGACAAGUUUGAGGCAUAUGUUGGUUUGAAGCUACAGUUAUAGAAAUACUCGUCAAUAACUAGUAAAAGUGUAACAGGAUUCUUUUAAACGUGCCAAACUAUAGCGCUGAAUUUGAGCGUCUUAAACAAACUUAACACAAAAAAUUAUGGCAAUUUAAUGCACGGGCGCGACCGCGACGGCAUCGCGCGCCGCGGCGCCGGCCGUUCCCAAGCUCCCCGCCUGUUGUGCCCCAUUGGCCCUUGCUCUCGUGUUUAGCGUGGUAUAGAAGCAUAUCCUUUCAAGUUUCAACGAGGUCCUGGCCACGAGGGGCACUGUACUCGCCAGGGUCAGUAAGCCGUCGACAUCGAGCAAGAUAUCGUGUGAUGGUUUUUGGCGUGUGCUACUUGUUCGACCUAUUGUUGCAACGGAGACCGCCGCUAACUACCAUCUCCAAGAGACUCCUACAAUUGAGUCCUAUAAAUCAAAAUAGGACAUGUUUUAAAUUAUUUAAGACCCACCAAUUCGUUUUACUCCAACCGUGAGUCCUAUAAUCACAUUAUUUAGUUAAUUAUCCGCUUCACCGCAGCAAUGUCAUCGUCGCUCUGUCAUCGUCCAUGUUCGCCAGAGACAAUCUUUCACAUGAUCUCGUUGUCCUGCAGAUGGAGUAGUAGGCCUUCACGUGAUCAUGUUGUCCGGUAGAUAGGGUAGCGGGCCAGCGGUUGUUGGUUACUCUUGAAAGGGAAAUGUGCCCUUGGGCCAUUUCUAAGUAUUUUGGUGAUUGAGUGCCAACACAAGUGCUUUUGUGUUGAUCUAUACAAUGUGGUGGACUAAGUGCAAAUCAUGUCAAAAGGUAUGUUUCUAGACUUAGUACAUUAUUUUAUGGACUAAUGUAUUGUGUCUAAGUGCUGGAAACAGGAAAAAUCGAAUUGGAAAUGAGAUGGCUUUGUUCAGCCAAGUCUGCUCAGUCUGGGAGCACCGGACUGUCCGGUGGUGCACCGGACAGUGUCCGGUGCGCCAGGCUGGCUCGAGCGAACUGGCCGCUCUCGGGAAUUCACCGGCGACGUACGGCUAUAAUUCACCGGACUGUCCGGUGUGCACCGGACUGUCCGGUGAGCCAACGGUCGGCCGCGCGAUCUGCGCGGGACACGUGGCCGAGCCAACGGCUAGAAGGAGGCACCGGACUGUCCGGUGUGCACCGGACAUGUCCGGUGCGCCAACGGCUCUCUGGCUGCCAACGGUCGGCUGCGCCAUUUAAGGAAAGAAAUCGGGCACCGGACAGUGUCCGGUGUGCACCGGACUGUCCGGUGCGCCACGCGACAGAAGGCAAGGAUUGCCUUCCCAGAUUGCUCUCAACGGCUCCUAGCUGCCUUGGGGCUAUAAAAGGGACCUCUAGGCGCAUGGAGAAGAACACCAAGCAUCCUUUGAGCAUUCUUGAUCACUCACACUCCACUCUUGCGCACUUGUUCGACAUUCUAGUGAUUUGAGCCCCGUUCUAGUGUGCUAGUCUUGUAAGCUCAAGUCUGGGUCUUGUGUGUGCGUAUUUGCUAUGAUCUUUGUGUCUUGUGUGAGUUGCUCAUCCCUCCCUUACUCUGUGCUUCUUUGUGAACAUCAAAAGUGUAAGGGCGAGAGGCUCCAAGUUGUGGAGAUUCCUCGCGAACGGGAUAAGUGAAAGGGAAUUAGGCUUACACCUAAGUCCUAAAUAAUUUUGGUGGUUAAAUUGCCCAACACAAAUCUUUGGACUAACUAGUUUGCUCUAGUGUAUAAGUUAUACAGGUGCAAAAGGUUCACAUCUAGCCAAUAAAAAGACCAAGUGUUGGAUUCAACAAAGGAGCAAUAAGGCAACCGAGGGCACCUCUGGCUGGAGGCACCGGACUGUCCGGUGUGCACCGGACAGUGUCCGGUGCGCCCGUAGACUUCGUUUUCUACCCUUCGCCAGAGGACUUCGACUUCAACCCUUCGCCCUCGGGAAUUCGCGGAGGCCGGCGCGCUAUAAUUCACCGGACUGUCCGGUGUGCACCGGACAUGUCCGGUGCGCCAACGAACCGCGGCCUCCGGAACUCGUCAUCCUCGGGUUUUCACGACAGCCGCUCCGCUAUAAUUCACCGGACUGUCCGGUGUGCACCGGACUGUCCGGUGUGCCAGCGGAGCAACGGCUCACUGCGGCGCCAACGGCUCCCUGCGCAGCAUUAAAUGCGCGCGCAGCGCGCGCAGACGUCAGGGCUGCCCAUACCGGUGCACCGGACAUCAAACAGUGCAUGUCCGGUGUGCACCGGACACCUCGGCAGGCCCACAAGUCAGAAGCUUCAACGGUCAGAAUCCAACGGCAAUGGUGACGUGGCAGAGGCACCGGACUGUCCGGUGUGCACCGGACUGUCCGGUGCGCCAUCGAAUAGAGGCUGCCAGCAACGGUCACUUUUGGUGGUUGGGGCUAUAAAUACCCCAACCACCCCACCAUUCAUUGCAUCCAAGUUUUCCACUUCUCAACUACUACAAGAGCUCUAGCAUUCAAUUCUAGACACACUAAAGAGAUCAAAUCCUCUCCAAUUCCACACAAAGCCCUAGUGACUAGUGAGAGUGAUUUGCCGUGUUCAUUUGAGCUCUUGCGCUUGGAUUGCUUCUUUUCUUUCUCACUUGUUCUUGUGAUCAAAACUCCAUUGUAAUCAAGGCAAGAGGCACCAAUUGUGUGGUGGCCCUUGCGGGGAAGUUUUGUUCCCGGCUUUGAUUAGCGAAGAGAAGCUCACUCGGUCCGUGGGACCGUUUGAGAGAGGGAAGGGUUGAAAGAGACCCGGCCUUUGUGGCCUCCUCAACGGGGAGUAGGUUUGCAAGAACCGAACCUCGGUAAAACAAAUCUCCGUGUCUCAUUUGCUUAUUCGCUUGGGAUUUGUUUUGCGCCCUCUCUUGCGGACUCAUUUAUUAUUACUAACGCUAACCCCGGCUUGUAGUUGUGUUUAUAUUUGUAAAUUUCAGUUUCGCCCUAUUCACCCCCCUCUAGGCGACUAUCAAUUGGUAUCAGAGCCCGGUGCUUCAUUAGAGCCUAACCGCUCGAAGUGAUGUCGGGAGAUCACGCCAAGAAGGAGAUGGAGACCGGCGAAAAGCCCACUACAAGCUACGGGAGCACUUCAUCGGAAGAGUCCCGCACCAAAAGGAGGGAGAAGAAGAAGAGCUCCUCCAACAAAGGGAAGGAGAAGAAAUCUUCUUCUCACCACAAAGAGAAGAAGGAAAAAUCUUCUUCCCACAAGCCGCAUCGGAAAGGCGACAAGCACAAGAGGAUGAGGAAGGUGGUCUACUACGAGACCGACACUUCAUCAACAUCGACCUCCGACUCCGAUGCGCCCUCCGUCACUUCUAAGCGCCAAGAGCGCAAGAAGUAUAGUAAGAUCCCUCUACGCUACCCUCGCAUUUCCAAACAUACACCUUUACUUUCCGUCCCACUAGGCAAACCACCAACUUUUGAUGGUGAAGAUUACGCUAGGUGGAGCGAUUUAAUGCGAUUUCAUCUAAUCUCGCUCCACAAAAGCAUAUGGGAUGUUGUUGAGUUUGGUGCGCAGGUACCAUCCGUAGGGGAUGAAAACUAUGAUGAGGAUGAGGCGGCCCAAAUCGAGCACUUCAACUCUCAAGCCACAACCAUACUCCUUGCCUCUCUAAGCAAGGAAGAAUACAACAAAGUGCAAGGGUUGAAAAAUGCAAAGGAGAUUUGGGAUGUGCUCAAAACUGCGCACGAGGGAGAUGAGCUCACCAAGAUCACCAAGCGGGAAACGAUCGAGGGGGAGCUCGGUCGGUUCCGGCUUCACAAAGGGGAGGAGCCACAACACAUGUACAACCGGCUCAAGACUUUGGUGAACCAAGUGCGCAACCUCGGGAGCAAGAAGUGGGACGAUCACGAAGUGGUAAAUGUUAUUUUAAGAUAUCUCAUUUUUCUUAAUCCCACUCAAGUUCAAUUGAUUCGUGGUAAUCCUAGAUAUACUAAAAUGACCCCCGAGGAAGUUAUCGGGCAUUUUGUAAGUUUUGAGUGCAUGAUAGAAGGCUCGAGGAAAAUCAACGAGCUUGGCGACUCAUCCGAAGCCCAACCCGUUGCAUUCAAUGCAACGGAGGAGAAGAAGGAGGAGGCUACACCAAGUCGACAACCAAUCGACGCCUCCAAGCUCGACAAUGAGGAAAUGGCGCUCGUCAUCAAGAGCUUCCGCCAAAUCCUCAAACAAAGGAGGGGGAAAGACUACAAGUCCCGCUCCAAGAAGGUUUGCUACAAGUGUGGUAAGCCCGGUCAUUUUAUUGCUAAAUGUCCUAUAUCUAGUGACAGUGACCGAGGCGACGACAAGAAGGGGAGAAGAAAGGAAAAGAAAAGAUACUACAAGAAGAAGGGCGGCGAUGCCCAUGUUUGUCGGGAAUGGGAUUCCGACGAAAGCUCAAGCGACUCCUCCGACGACGAGGACGCCGCCAACAUCGCCGUCACCAAGGGACUCCUCUUCCCCAACGUCGGCCACAAGUGCCUCAUGGCAAAGGACGGCAAAAAGAAGAAGGUUAAAUCCAACUCCUCCACUAAAUAUGAAUCUUCUAGUGAUGAUAAUGCUAGUGAUGAGGAGGAUAAUUUGCGUUCCCUUUUUGCCAACCUCAACAUAGCUCAAAAAGAAAAAUUAAAUGAAUUAGUUAGUGCUAUUCAUGAAAAGGAUGACCUUUUGGACUCCCAAGAGGAUUGUCUAAUUAAAGAAAACAAGAAACAUGUUAAGGUUAAAAAGGCUUAUGCUCUAGAGGUAGAAAAAUGUGAAAAAUUAUCUAGUGAGCUAAGCACUUGCCGUGAGAUGAUUGACAACCUUAGAAAUGAAAAUACUAGUUUAAAUGCUAAGGUUGAUUCUCAUGUUUGUAAUGUUUCAAUUCCCAAUCCUAGAGAUAAUAAUGAUGAUUUGCUUGCUAGGAUUGAAGAAUUAAACAUUUCCCUUGCUAGCCUUAGAUUAGAGAAUGAAAGUUUGAUUGCUAAGGCUAAAGAUUUUGAUGUUUGCAAAGUUACCAUUGCCAAUCUUAGAGAUAAAAAUGAUAUUCUUCAUGCUAAGAUUGUUGAACUUAAUUCUUGCAAACCAUCUACAUCUAUUGUUGAGCAUGUAUCUAUUUGUACUAGAUGUAGAAAUGUUGAUAUUGAUGCUAUUCAUGAUCAUAUGGCUUUAAUUAAACAACAAAAUGAUCAUAUAGCAAAACUAGAUGCUAAAAUUGCCGAGCAUAACUUAGAAAAUGAAAAAUUUAAAUUUGCUAGAAGUAUGCUCUAUAAUGGGAGACGCCCUGGCAUCAAGGAUGGCAUUGGCUUCCAAAGGGGAGACAAUGUCAAACUUAAUGCCCCUCCUAAAAAUUUGUCUAACUUUGUUAAGGGCAAAGCUCCCAUGCCUCAGGAUAACGAGGGUUACAUUUUGUACCCUGCCGGUUAUCCUGAGAGCAAAAUUAGGAGAAUUCACUCUAGGAAGUCUCACUCUGGCCCCAAUCAUGCUUUCAUGUAUAAGGGUGAGACAUCUAGUUCUAGGCAACCAACCCGUACCAAGUUGCCUAAGAAGAAAAUUCCUAAUGCAUCAAAUGAACAUAGCAUUUCAUUUAAGACUUUUGAUGCAUCAUAUGUUUUGACUAACAAAUCCGGCAAGGUCGUUGCCAAGUUUGUUGGGGGCAAACACAAGGGCUCCAAGGCUUGUGUUUGGGUACCCAAAGUUCUUGUAUCUAAUGCCAAAGGACCCAAAACAGUUUGGGUACCUAAAGUCAAGAACUAAAUUUGGUUUGUAGGUUUAUGCAUCCGGGGGCUCAAGUUGGAUACUCGACAGCGGGUGCACAAACCACAUGACCGGGGAGAAAAGGAUGUUCUCCUCAUAUGAGAAAAACAAAGAUCCCCAACGAGCUAUCACAUUCGGGGAUGGAAAUCAAGGGUUGGUCAAAGGUUUGGGUAAAAUUGCUAUUUCACCUGACCAUUCCAUUUCCAAUGUUUUUCUUGUUGAUUCAUUAGAUUACAACUUGCUUUCUGUUUCCCAAUUAUGUCAAAUGGGCUACAACUGUCUUUUUACUGAUAUAGGUGUCACUGUCUUUAGAAGAAGUGAUGAUUCAAUAGCAUUUAAGGGUGUGUUAGAGGGUCAGCUAUACUUAGUGGAUUUUAAUAGAGCUGAACUCGACACAUGCUUAAUUGCUAAGACUAACAUGGGUUGGCUCUGGCAUCGCCGACUAGCCCAUGUUGGGAUGAAGAAUCUUCACAAGCUUCUAAAGGGAGAGCACAUUUUAGGAUUAACAAAUGUUCAUUUUGAGAAAGACAGGAUUUGUAGCGCAUGCCAGGCGGGGAAGCAAGUUGGAGUCCAUCACCCACACAAGAACAUCAUGACGACCGACAGGCCGCUUGAGCUACUCCACAUGGAUCUAUUCGGCCCGAUUGCUUACAUAAGCAUCGGCGGGAGUAAGUAUUGUCUUGUUAUUGUGGAUGAUUAUUCUCGCUUCACUUGGGUAUUCUUUUUACAGGAAAAAUCUCAAACCCAAGAGACCUUAAAGGGAUUCUUGAGACGAGCUCAAAAUGAGUUCGGCUUAAGGAUCAAGAAAAUAAGAAGCGACAACGGGACGGAGUUCAAGAACUCUCAAAUUGAAGGCUUCCUUGAGGAGGAGGGCAUCAAGCAUGAGUUCUCCUCUCCCUACACGCCACAACAAAAUGGUAUAGUGGAGAGGAAGAAUCGAACUCUAUUGGACAUGGCAAGAACCAUGCUUGAUGAGUACAAGACACCGGACCGGUUUUGGGCCGAAGCGGUCAACACCGCCUGCUACGCCAUCAACCGGUUAUAUCUUCACCGAAUCCUCAAGAAGACAUCAUAUGAACUCCUAACCGGUAAAAAGCCCAACAUUUCAUAUUUUAGAGUUUUUGGUAGCAAAUGCUUCAUUCUUAUUAAAAGAGGUAGAAAAUCUAAAUUUGCUCCUAAAACUGUAGAAGGCUUUUUACUUGGUUAUGACUCAAACACAAGGGCAUAUAGGGUCUUUAACAAGUCCACUGGACUAGUUGAAGUCUCUUGUGACGUUGUGUUUGAUGAAACUAACGGCUCUCAAGUAGAGCAAGUUGAUCUUGAUGAGAUAGGUGAAGAACAGGCUCCAUGCAUCGCGCUAAGGAACAUGUCCAUCGGGGAUGUGUGUCCUAAGGAAUCCGAAGAGCCUCCAAGUACACAAGAUCAACCAUCCUCCUCCAUGCAAGCAUCUCCACCAACUCAAAAUGAGGAUGAGGCUCAAAAUGAUGAAGAGCAAAAUCAAGAAGACGAGCCACCUCAAGAUGAUAGCAAUGAUCAAGGGGGAGAUACAAAUGAUCAAGAAAAGGAGGAUGAGGAAGAACCAAGACCGCCACACCCAAGAGUCCACCAAGCAAUCCAACGAGAUCACCCCGUCGACACCAUCCUCGGCGACAUUCAUAAGGGGGUAACUACUCGAUCUCGGGUUGCUCAUUUUUGUGAACAUUACUCUUUUGUUUCCUCUAUUGAGCCACACAGGGUAGAGGAAGCUCUCCAAGAUUCGGAUUGGGUGGUGGCGAUGCAAGAGGAGCUCAACAAUUUCACGAGGAAUGAGGUCUGGCAUUUAGUUCCACGUCCUAACCAAAAUGUUGUAGGAACCAAAUGGGUCUUCCGCAACAAGCAAGAUGAGCAUGGUGUGGUGACAAGGAACAAAGCUCGACUCGUAGCCAAAGGGUAUUCACAAGUCGAAGGUUUGGAUUUCGGCGAAACCUAUGCACCCGUAGCUAGGCUUGAGUCAAUUCGCAUAUUAUUGGCCUAUGCUACUUACCAUGGCUUUAAGCUCUAUCAAAUGGACGUGAAAAGUGCCUUCCUCAAUGGACCGAUCAAGGAAGAGGUCUAUGUUGAGCAACCUCCCGGCUUUGAAGACAGUGAGUAUCCAAAUCAUGUCUAUAGGCUCUCUAAGGCGCUUUAUGGGCUCAAGCAAGCCCCAAGAGCAUGGUAUGAAUGCCUUAGAGAUUUCCUUAUUGCUAAUGGCUUCAAAGUCGGCAAGGCCGAUCCUACACUCUUUACUAAAACUCUUGAAAAUGACUUGUUUGUAUGCCAAAUUUAUGUUGAUGAUAUUAUAUUUGGGUCUACUGACGAGUCUACAUGUGAAGAGUUUAGUAGGAUCAUGACACAGAAAUUCGAGAUGUCGAUGAUGGGGGAGUUGAAGUAUUUUCUAGGAUUCCAAGUCAAGCAACUCCAAGAGGGCACCUUCAUUAGCCAAACGAAGUACACUCAAGACAUUCUUGCUAAGUUUGGGAUGAAGGAUGCCAAACCCAUCAAGACACCCAUGGGAACUAAUGGGCAUCUCGACCUCGACACGGGAGGUAAGUCCGUGGAUCAAAAGGUAUACCGGUCGAUGAUUGGUUCAUUGCUUUAUUUAUGUGCAUCUCGACCGGACAUUAUGCUUUCCGUUUGCAUGUGUGCAAGAUUCCAAUCCGACCCUAAGGAAUCCCACCUUACGGCCGUAAAACGAAUCUUGAGAUAUUUGGCUUAUACCCCUAAGUUUGGGCUUUGGUACCCUCGGGGAUCCACAUUUGAUUUACUUGGUUAUUCGGAUGCCGAUUGGGCGGGGUGCAAAAUCAAUAGGAAGAGCACAUCGGGGACUUGCCAGUUCUUGGGAAGAUCCUUGGUGUCUUGGGCUUCAAAGAAGCAAAAUUCGGUCGCUCUUUCCACCGCCGAAGCCGAGUACAUUGCCGCAGGACAUUGUUGCGCGCAAUUGCUUUGGAUGAGGCAAACCCUGCGGGACUACGGUUACAAAUUAACCAAAGUCCCUUUGCUAUGUGAUAAUGAGAGUGCAAUUAAAAUGGCCGACAAUCCCGUCGAGCAUAGCCGCACUAAGCACAUAGCCAUUCGGUAUCAUUUUCUUAGGGAUCACCAACAAAAGGGGGAUAUCGAGAUUUCUUACAUUAAUACUAAAGAUCAAUUAGCCGACAUCUUUACCAAGCCACUUGAUGAACAAUCUUUUACCAGACUUAGGCAUGAGCUCAAUAUUCUUGAUUCUAGAAAUUUCUUUUGCUAAGCUUGCACACAUAGCUCAUUUGAAUACUUUUGAUCAUAUCUCCUUUAUAUGCUAUGACUAAUGUGUUUUCAAGUCUAUUUCAAACCAAGUCAUAGGUAUAUUGAAAGGGAAUUGGAGUCUUCGGCGAAGACAAAGGCUUCCACUCCGUAACUCAUGCUUCGCCAUCACUCCGAGCAACUCUCUAUUCCUUGGGGAGAAAUGAGCAUCAAAGAAAAGGACUUCAUCCUUGGAGGAGAGAGUAAAAGCUCAAAAGCAAAAGGACCGGAUUUCGUCUUUGGUAUAAUCUUAACUCAUUUACUUAUGACCAAAGGGGAAGAAAUUACUAAGGAGGGCUCUAAUGAUUCCGUUUUUGGCGAUUCAUGCCAAAAAGGGGGAGAAAUGAGCCCAAAGCAAAAGGACCGCACCACCACCACCAAAUUCAAAAACUUAGUGCUUUCCAAAAGUCUUUAUCAUUUGGUAUCCUAUUGUGUUCAAAAGGGGGAGAAAGUAGUAUUUCAAAAAUGGUAUAUCAAAACCCUCUUGAACACUAAGAGGUGGAUCUCUUUUAGGGGGAGUUUUGUUUAGUCAAAGGAAAAGCAUUUGAAAUAGGUGGAGAAAAUUUCAAAUCUUGAAAAUGCUUUACAAACUCUUAUUCAUUUACCUUUGACUAUUUGCAAAAGAUCUUUGAAAUGGAUUUACAAAAAGGAUUUGCAAAAACAAAACAUGUGGUGUAAACGUGGUCCAAAAUGUUACAUAAGAAAGGAACAUUCCAUGCAUAUCUUGUAAGUAGUUAUAUUGGCUCAAUUCCAAGCAACCUUUACACUUACAUUAUGCAAACUAGUUCAAUUAUGCACUUCUAUAUUUGCUUUGGUUUGUGUUGGCAUCAAUCACCAAAAAGGGGGAGAUUGAAAGGGAAUUAGGCUUACACCUAAGUCCUAAAUAAUUUUGGUGGUUAAAUUGCCCAACACAAAUCUUUGGACUAACUAGUUUGCUCUAGUGUAUAAGUUAUACAGGUGCAAAAGGUUCACAUCUAGCCAAUAAAAAGACCAAGUGUUGGAUUCAACAAAGGAGCAAUAAGGCAACCGAGGGCACCUCUGGCUGGAGGCACCGGACUGUCCGGUGUGCACCGGACAGUGUCCGGUGCGCCCGUAGACUUCGUUUUCUACCCUUCGCCAGAGGACUUCGACUUCAACCCUUCGCCCUCGGGAAUUCGCGGAGGCCGGCGCGCUAUAAUUCACCGGACUGUCCGGUGUGCACCGGACAUGUCCGGUGCGCCAACGAACCGCGGCCUCCGGAACUCGUCAUCCUCGGGUUUUCACGACAGCCGCUCCGCUAUAAUUCACCGGACUGUCCGGUGUGCACCGGACUGUCCGGUGUGCCAGCGGAGCAACGGCUCACUGCGGCGCCAACGGCUCCCUGCGCAGCAUUAAAUGCGCGCGCAGCGCGCGCAGACGUCAGGGCUGCCCAUACCGGUGCACCGGACAUCAAACAGUGCAUGUCCGGUGUGCACCGGACACCUCGGCAGGCCCACAAGUCAGAAGCUUCAACGGUCAGAAUCCAACGGCAAUGGUGACGUGGCAGAGGCACCGGACUGUCCGGUGUGCACCGGACUGUCCGGUGCGCCAUCGAACAGAGGCUGCCAGCAACGGUCACUUUUGGUGGUUGGGGCUAUAAAUACCCCAACCACCCCACCAUUCAUUGCAUCCAAGUUUUCCACUUCUCAACUACUACAAGAGCUCUAGCAUUCAAUUCUAGACACACUAAAGAGAUCAAAUCCUCUCCAAUUCCACACAAAGCCCUAGUGACUAGUGAGAGUGAUUUGCCGUGUUCAUUUGAGCUCUUGCGCUUGGAUUGCUUCUUUUCUUUCUCACUUGUUCUUGUGAUCAAAACUCCAUUGUAAUCAAGGCAAGAGGCACCAAUUGUGUGGUGGCCCUUGCGGGGAAGUUUUGUUCCCGGCUUUGAUUAGCGAAGAGAAGCUCACUCGGUCCGUGGGACCGUUUGAGAGAGGGAAGGGUUGAAAGAGACCCGGCCUUUGUGGCCUCCUCAACGGGGAGUAGGUUUGCAAGAACCGAACCUCGGUAAAACAAAUCUCCGUGUCUCAUUUGCUUAUUCGCUUGGGAUUUGUUUUGCGCCCUCUCUUGCGGACUCAUUUAUUAUUACUAACGCUAACCCCGGCUUGUAGUUGUGUUUAUAUUUGUAAAUUUCAGUUUCGCCCUAUUCACCCCCCCUCUAGGCGACUAUCAAUAAGAAAAGAAAAGCAAAACACUGUGGUAUUCAAGUUGAUCAUUGGAUCACUUGAGAGGAGUUGAGUGCAACUCUCGUCCGUUGGGACGCCACAACGUGGAGUAGGCAAGUUUUGUACUUGGCCGAACCACGGGAUAAACCACUGUGUCAUCUCUGUGAUUGAUCUCUUGUGGUUAUUGUGUUUUGUUGAGACUCCUCUCUAGCCACUUGGCAAUUAUUGUGCUAACCUUAACCAAGUUUUGUGGCUUAAGUUUUAUAUUUCACAGGAUCACCUAUUCACCCCCUCUCUAGGUGCUCUCAAUUGGUAUCAGAGCCGUUCUCUUCAAGAAAGGGACUAACCGCCCGAAGAGAUGGAUCCUAAGGGGAAGGGAAUCGUGAUCAACAACAAGGAGAAGGAGUCCUUCGUCAACGAGCCGAAGGAUGACAAGCCUACCGACUCGGGCUCAGGCCACAGACGCAAAGAUGGGAAGAAGAAGAAGACAAGACGCAUCAAGGAGAUCGUCUACUACGACGACAGCGAUGAGUCCACUUCUUCCCAAAAGGACAACGACGACAACGACUGCGAGAGAAGGAAACCGGUUAAUUCAAACUUUUCUUUUGACUACUCUCGUAUUCCGCAAAGUACAAAUGCUCAUUUAUUAUCCAUUCCACUUGGUAAACCUCCUCAUUUUGAUGGAGAAGACUACGGAUUUUGGAGUCACAAAAUGCGUAGUCACUUGUUCUCUCUCCAUCCUAGCAUAUGAGAGAUAGUAGAAAGUGGAAUGCAUUUUGAUAGUAGUGAUAGUCCCAUGUUUAUCAAUGAGCAAAUUCAUAAAAACGCACAAGCUACUACUGUGUUGAAAGGGAAAUGUGCCCUUGGGCCAUUUCUAAGUAUUUUGGUGAUUGAGUGCAAACACAAAGUGCUUAAAUGUGAAUUUAUGCCCAUGGAUGAACAAAGUGCAAAUCACGAGUAAAGGUAUGUUUCUAAGCCUUAGUACAUUGGUUUUGUGUACUAAUAUACUUGUCUAAGUGUUAGAAACAGAAAGAAGAAGAAAAGAAAAGAGGUGUGAAAGGCUUGGCUGUGUACAGCCAAGACUCAGCUCUGUCUGGCACACCGGACUGUCCGGUGGUGCACCGGACAGUGUCCGGUGCGCCAGGCUGACUCGGCGUGAAGUGGCCGCUCUCGGGAAUUCGCCGACGGCGUACGGCUAAAAUUCACCGGACUGUCCGGUGUGCACCGGACUGUCCGGUGAGCCAACGGUCGGCCGGGCCAACGGUCGGCCGGGCCAACGGUCGGCCGCGGAAUCUGCGCGCGACACGUGGUCGGGCCAACGGUCGGAAGGGGGCACCGGACUGUCCGGUGUGCACCGGACAUGUCCGGUGCGCCAAAGGCUCCCAGAUCUGCAAUGGUCGGCCGCGCCAUUUAAGGAAGGAAAUCGGGCACCGGACAGUGUCCGGUGUGCACCGGACUGUCCGGUGCACCCGACGACAGAAGGCAAGAUUGGCCUUCCAGAUUUGCUCUCAACGGCUCCUAGCUGCCUUGGGGCUAUAAAAGGGACCCCUAGGCGCAUGGAGGAGACACCCAAGCAACCUUAGAGCAUUCUUGAUCAUCCACACUCAGUCUUUGCGCAUUCAUUUGUCAUUCUCAGUGAUUCGAGCUCCGUUCUAGUGAGAACUUUGAGAUAGUCUUUUGAGCUCGAUUCUUGGCCGUGUGUGUGCGCAUUUUGCUGUGGAAUUGUGUGUGUUGCUUCCCUUCCUUACUCCGUAUUUCUUUGUGAAUCUCAAGUGUAAGGGCGAGAGGCUCCAAGUUGUGGAGAUUCCUCGCAAACGGGAUAUUGAAAGGCAAAGCAAAACACCGUGGUAUUCAAGUUGGUCUUUGGACCGCUUGAGAGGGGUUGAUUGCAACCCUCGUCCGUUGGGACGCCACAACGUGGAGUAGGCAAGCGUUGGUCUUGGCCGAACCACGGGAUAAACCACUGUGUCAUCUCUGUGUUUGAUCUCUUGUGGUAUUGUGUUUUGUUGAGACUCCUCUCUAGCCACUUGGCAAUUAUUGUGCUAACACUUAACAAGUUUUUGUGGCUAUAAGUUUAAGUUUCACAGGAUCACCUAUUCACCCCCCCUCUAGGUGCUCUCAAUUGGUAUCAGAGCCGUUCUCUUCAAGAAGAGGGACUAACCGCCCGAAGAGAUGGAUCCUAAGGGCAAGGGGAUAGUGAUCAACGAUAAGGAGAAGGAGUCCUUCGUCAACAAGCCCAAAGAUGACAAGCCUACCAACUCCGGCUCGGGUCAUAGACGAAAGGAAGGGAAGAAGAAGAAGACAAGGCGCAUCAAGGAGAUCGUCUACUACGACGACAGCGAUGAGUCUACUUCUUCCCAAAAGGACGACGACCACAACGACUACGAGAGAAGGAAACCGGUUAAUUCGAACUUUUCCUUUGACUACUCUCGUAUUCCGCAAAGUUCAAAUUCACAUUUGCUCUCCAUUCCACUCGGCAAGCCCCCACACUUUGAUGGGGAGGACUAUGGAUUUUGGAGCCACAAAAUGCGUAGUCAUCUAUUCUCUCUCCAUCCUAGUAUAUGGGAGAUUGUAGAUAGUGGAAUGCACUUUGAUAGUUCGGAUAGUCCUAUAUUCAUUAAUGAGCAAAUCCAUAAGAAUGCACAAGCUACUACUGUUCUUCUAGCUUCAUUGUGCAGGGAUGAAUAUAACAAAAUGAGCGGCUUGGAUAACGCCAAGCAGAUCUGGGACACCCUCAAGAUUUCUCAUGAGGGAAAUGACGUUACCUUGCUCACCAAAAUGGAGUUGGUGGAGGGCGAGCUUGGACGGUUCGCGAUGAUAAGGGGCGAGGAGCCAACUCAAACAUACAACCGGCUCAAGACCCUUAUUAACAAAAUAAGGAGCUACGGAAGCACGCGAUGGACGGACCACGACGUCGUUCGACUAAUGCUAAGGUCCUUUACCGUUCUUGAUCCUCAUUUGGUGAAUAAUAUUCGUGAGAAUCCCAGGUACACCAAAAUGUCGCCCGAAGAAGUCCUAGGAAAAUUCGUCAGCGGGCGAAUGAUGAUCAAGGAGGCGAGGUACGUGGACGACGCCUUGAAUGGACCGAUCAACGAGCCGCAACCUCUUGCUCUCAAAGCCACAAGAAGCAAGGAGGCGCUACCUAGCAAGGUGGCACAAAUUGAAGCGGCCGGACUUAAUGAUGAAGAGAUGGCCCUCAUCAUCAAAAGAUUCAAGACGGCGCUUAAGGGUCGCAAGGGACAGCCAAGCAAGACCAAAGCCAAGGGGAAGCGCUCAUGCUUCAAAUGCGGUAAGCUUGGUCAUUUUAUUGCUAAUUGUCCCGACAAUGAUAGUGAUCAGGACCAAGGGAACAAGAGAGAGUAAAAGAAGCAUUACAAGAAGGCCAAGGGCGAGGCACAUAUCGGAAAGGAGUGGGAUUCGGAUUGCUCCUCCUCCGACUCCGACAAUGAAGGACUCGCCGCCACUGCCUUCAACAAGUCAUCCCUCUUCCCCAACGAGCGUCACACUUGCCUCAUGGCAAGGGAGAAGAAAGUAAGCACUCAUGAUACUAGUACUUAUGCUUCUUCAAGUGAGGAUGAGUCUAGUGAUGAUGAUGAGAUAGAUUACUCAUGCUUAUUCAAGGGAUUAGAUAGAUCUAAAAUUAAUAAGAUUAAUGAGUUGAUUGAUGCUUUGAAUGACAAGAAUAGAUUACUAGAAAAACAAGAAGAUCUUUUAUAUGAGGAGCAUGAUAAAUUUGUUAGUGCACAAAAAUCUCUUGCUCUAGAAAUUAAAAGAAAUGAAAUGCUCUCUGGUGAAUUAUCUACUUGUCAUGAAACCAUUUCUACUUUACAAGGUGUUAACAAUGAUUUAAAUACUAAAUUAGAAGUAGCAAAUAAAUCUAAUUCUUGUGUAGAACAUGUUAUAAUUUGUACUAGGUGUAAAGAUUUUGACAUUGAUGCUUGUAGUGAACACCUAGUUUCAAUUUCCAAACUUAAUGAUGAAUUGGCUAGUCUUAAUGCUCAACUUAAGACUAGCAAGAAUGAUUUCGAUAAGCUAAAAUUUGCAAGGGAUGCCUACACGAUUGGUAGACACCCCUCAAUUAAGGAUGGACUUGGCUUCAAGAGGGAAGCCAAGAACUUAACAAGCCAUAAGGCUCCCAUCUCCGCCAAGGAGAAAGGGAAGGCCCCUAUGGCAAGUAGUGCUAAAAAGAACCAUGCUUUCAUGUACCAUGAUAAGAGACAAACUAGAAAUGCUUAUAGGAGUUACAAUGCUUAUGAUGAUUUUGAUUCUCAUGACAUGUUUGCUUCUAGUUCUUUCUGUGUGCAUGAUAGAAAUGUUGGUAGGAAAAAUGUUGUUCACAAUAUGCCUAGGAGAAAUGUUGUUAAUGUUCCUAGGAAAGUUAAUGAACCUUCUACAAUAUAUCAUGCUUUGAGUGCCUCCUUUGCAAUUUGUAGAAAGGAUAGAAAGGUGAUUGCUAGGAAAUUAGGGGCAAAAUGCAAGGGAGAUAAAACUUGCAUUUGGGUCCCUAAGACAAUUGUGACUAACCUUGUAGGACCCAACAAGAGUUGGGUACCUAAGUCCCAAGCCUAAAUUUGCCUUGCAGGUUUAUGCAUCCGGGGGUUCAAGCUAGAUUAUCGACAGCGGAUGCACAAACCAUAUGACGGGGGAGAAGAAGAUGUUCACCUCCUACGUCAAGAAUAAGGAUUCCCAAGAUUCAAUUAUAUUCGGUGAUGGGAAUCAAGGCAAGGUAAAAGGGUUAGGUAAAAUUGCAAUUUCUAAUGAGCACUCUAUCUCUAAUGUGUUUUUAGUAGAGUCUCUUGGAUAUAAUUUGCUAUCGGUUAGUCAAUUAUGCAAUAUGGGAUAUAACUGUCUAUUUACAAAUGUAGAUGUGUCUGUCUUUAGAAGAAGUGAUGGUUCACUAGCUUUUAAGGGUGUAUUAGACGUCAAACUUUAUUUAGUUGAUUUUGCAAAAGAAGAGGCCGGUCUAGAUGCAUGCUUAAUAGCUAAGAGUAGCAUGGGCUGGCUGUGGCAUCGCCGCUUAGCACAUGUGGGGAUGAAGAACCUUCACAAGCUUCUAAAGGGAGAACACGUGAUAGGUUUGACUAACGUGCAAUUCGAAAAAGAUAGACCUUGUGCAGCUUGUCAGGCAGGUAAACAGGUGGGAGGAGCGCAUCACAGCAAGAAUGUGAUGACCACAUCAAGACCCCUGGAGCUGCUACAUAUGGACCUCUUCGGACCCGUCGCCUAUCUAAGCAUAGGAGGAAGUAAGUAUGGUUUAGUUAUUGUUGAUGACUUUUCCCGCUUCACUUGGGUGUUCUUUUUGCAGGAUAAGUCUGAAACCCAAGGGACCCUCAAGCGCUUCCUCAGGAGAGCUCAAAAUGAGUUUGAGCUCAAAGUGAAGAAGAUAAGGAGCGACAACGGGUCCGAGUUCAAGAACCUUCAAGUGGAGGAGUUCCUUGAGGAGGAAGGGAUCAAGCACGAGUUCUCCGCUCCCUACACACCACAGCAAAAUGGUGUGGUAGAGAGGAAGAACAUGACGCUAAUCGAUAUGGCGAGGACGAUGCUAGGAGAAUUCAAGACCCCCGAGCGUUUUUGGUCGGAAGCCGUGAACACGGCUUGCCACGCCAUCAACAGGGUCUACCUUCAUCGCCUCCUCAAGAAGACUUCGUAUGAGCUACUAACCGGUAACAAACCCAAUGUAUCUUACUUUCGUGUAUUUGGGAGCAAGUGCUACAUUCUAGUGAAGAAGGGUAGAAAUUCUAAGUUUGCUCCCAAAGCUGUAGAAGGGUUUUUGUUAGGUUAUGACUCAAAUACAAAGGCGUAUAGAGUCUUCAACAAAUCAUCGGGUUUGGUUGAAGUUUCUAGCGACGUUGUAUUUGAUGAAACUAAUGGCUCUCCUAGAGAGCUAGUGGUUGAUCUUGAUGAUGUAGACGAAGAAGAUGUUCCGACGGCUGCUAUACGAACCAUGGCGAUUGGUAAUGUGCGACCACAGGAACAAGAUGAGCAAGAUCAACCUUCUUCCUCAACUAUGGUGCAUCCCCCAACUCAAGACGAUGAACAGGUUCAUCAACAGGAGGCGUGUGAUCAAGGGGGAGCACAAGAUGAUCAUGUGAUGGAGGAAGAAGCGGAACCGACACCUCCAACCCAAGUUCGAGCGAUGAUUCAAAGGGAUCAUCCCGUAGACCAAAUUCUGGGUCACAUUAGCAAGGGAGUAACUACUCGGUCUCGAUUAGUUAAUUUUUGUGAACAUUACUCCUUUGUCUCUUCUAUUGAGCCUUUCAGGGUAGAAGAGGCCUUGCUAGAUCCGGACUGGGUGUUGGCCAUGCAAGAGGAGCUCAACAACUUCAAGAGGAAUGAAGUUUGGACGCUGGUUCCUCGUUUGCUCAACAACUUCAAAAUGUUGUGGGAACCAAGUGGGUGUUCCGCAACAAACAGGACGAGCACGAGGUGGUGACGAGAAACAAGGCUCGACUUGUGGCAAAAGGUUAUGCCCAAGUCGCAGGUUUGGACUUUGAGGAGACGUUUGCUCCUGUGGCUAGGCUAGAAUCAAUUCGUAUCUUGCUAGCAUAUGCCGCUCACCAUUCUUUCAGGUUGUACCAAAUGGAUGUGAAGAGCGCUUUCCUCAACGGGCCAAUAAAGGAGGAGGUGUACGUGGAGCAACCCCCUGGCUUCGAGGAUGAACGGUACCCCGACCACGUGUGUAAGCUCUCUAAGGCGCUCUAUGGACUUAAGCAAGCCCUAAGAGCAUGGUAUGAAUGCCUUAGAGAUUUCUUAAUCGCUAAUGCUUUCAAGGUUGGGAAAGCCGAUCCAACUCUUUUCACUAAGACAUGUAAUGGUGAUUUGUUUGUGUGCCAAAUUUAUGUCGAUGACAUAAUAUUUGGUUCUACUAAUAAAAAGUCUUGUGAAGAGUUUAGCAGGGUGAUGACGCAGAAAUUCGAGAUGUCAAUGAUGGGCGAGUUGAACUACUUCCUUGGGUUCCAAGUGAAGCAACUCAAGGACGGCACCUUCAUCUCUCAAACGAAGUACACGCAAGACCUGCUGAAGCGGUUUGGGAUGAAGGACGCCAAGCCCGCAAAGACUCCGAUGGGGACCGACGGACACACCGACCUCAACAAAGGAGGUAAGUCUGUUGAUCAAAAAGCAUACCGGUCAAUGAUAGGGUCUUUACUUUAUUUAUGUGCUAGUAGACCGGAUAUUAUGCUUAGCGUAUGCAUGUGUGCUAGAUUUCAAUCCGAUCCUAAGGAGUGUCACUUAGUGGCAGUGAAGCGAAUCCUUAGAUAUUUAGUUGCUACGCCUUGCUUCGGGCUCUGGUAUCCAAAGGGGUCUACCUUUGACUUAAUUGGAUAUUCAGAUUCCGACUAUGCUGGAUGUAAGGUCGAUAGGAAGAGUACAUCGGGGACGUGCCAAUUCUUAGGAAGGUCCCUGGUGUCGUGGAACUCUAAGAAACAAACUUCCGUUGCCCUAUCCACCGCUGAGGUCGAGUAUGUUGCCGCAGGACAGUGUUGCGCGCAACUACUUUGGAUGAGGCAAACCCUCAGGGACUUUGGCUACAAUUUGAGCAAAGUCCCACUCCUAUGUGAUAAUGAGAGUGCUAUCCGCAUGGCGGAAAAUCCUGCUGAGCACAGCCGCACAAAGCACAUAGACAUCCGGCAUCACUUUCUGAGAGACCACCAGCAAAAGGGAGAUAUCGAAGUGUUUCAUGUUAGCACUGAGAACCAGCUAGCCGAUAUCUUUACCAAGCCUCUAGAUGAGAAGACCUUUUGCAGGCUGCGAAGUGAGCUAAAUGUCUUAGAUUCGCGGAACUUGGAUUGAAUUGUUGCUUAUUGUGGUGCUCAAGUUGUACAAACACUCCCUGGACCUCACAAGUCCGUUGCAAAGUGAUGCACAUGUUUAGGGGGAGAUGUGUUACAACUUGACCCUUUGAGACUAACCAUAUGCUUGAGUUUGCUUGAUUUAGUCUCGAAGGAGAAUUGAAAGGGAAAAGGUGAACUUGGACCAUGAAAGACUUCCACUGCACUCCGAUGAGAGGGUAACUUAUUCCAAGUUCAUCUCAUGAACUCUUAUUGCCAUUUGCUCUUAAUUGAAGAUUUUGGUGAGGCAAUGGGGUUAAAGGGCCAAGAUUGAUCCCGUUUUGGUGCUUGAUGCCAAAGGGGGAGAAAAUAAAGGCCAAAGCAAUAAAUGGAUCAGCUACCACUUGAGAAAUUUUGAAAAAUAGUAAAAUAGAGCUUUUUGUUUUGUCAAAACUCUUGCAUUGUCUCUUUUGUCAAAAGUUGGCCUCUUGUGGGGAGAAGUGUUGAUUAUGGGAAAUAGGGGGAGUUUUUGAUCAAUCUCUUUUGGAAUGACUCUCUUUAUGCUUCAACAUGUGUGUUUGACUUAGAGAUAGAGAUUUGAGUCUGAUUUGCAAAAACAAACCAAGUGGUGGCAAAGGAUGAUCCAUAUAUGCCAAAAAUGAAUCAAAAUAAAUUUGAGUUUUAUUUGAAGUGAUAUUGCACUUGUUCCAGUUGCUUUAUGUUGUGUUGGCAUAAAUCACCAAAAAGGGGGAGAUUGAAAGGGAAAUGUGCCCUUGGGCCAUUUCUAAGUAUUUUGGUGAUUGAGUGCAAACACAAAGUGCUUAAAUGUGAAUUUAUGCCCAUGGAUGAACAAAGUGCAAAUCACGAGUAAAGGUAUGUUUCUAAGCCUUAGUACAUUGGUUUUGUGUACUAAUAUACUUGUCUAAGUGUUAGAAACAGAAAGAAGAAGAAAAGAAAAGAGGUGUGAAAGGCUUGGCUGUGUACAGCCAAGACUCAGCUCUGUAUGGCACACUGGACUGUCCGGUGGUGCACCGGACAGUGUCCGGUGCGCCAGGCUGACUCGGCGUGAAGUGGCCGCUCUCGGGAAUUCGCCGACGACGUACGGCUAAAAUUCACCGGACUGUCCGGUGAGCCAACGGUCGGCCGGGCCAACGGUCGGCCGCAGAAUCUGCGCGCGACACGUGGCCGGGCCAACGGUCGGAAGGGGGCACCGGACUGUCCGGUGUGCACCGGACAUGUCCGGUGCGCCAAAGGCUCGCAGAUCUGCAACGGUCGGCCGUGCCAUUUAAGGAAGGAAAUCGGGCACCGGACAGUGUCCGGUGUGCACCGGACUGUCCGGUGCACCCGACGACAGAAGGCAAGAUUGGCCUUCCAGAUUUGCUCUCAACGGCUCCUAGCUGCCUUGGGGCUAUAAAAGGGACCCCUAGGCGCAUGGAGGAGACACCCAAGCAACCUUAGAGCAUUCUUGAUCAUCCACACUCAGUCUUUGCGCAUUCAUUUGUCAUUCUCAAUGAUUCGAGCUCCGUUCUAGUGAGAACUUUGAGAUAGUCUUUUGAGCUCGAUUCUUGGCCGUGUGUGUGCGCAUUUUGCUGUGGAAUUGUGUGUGUUGCUUCCCUUCCUUACUCCAUAUUUCUUUGUGAAUCUCAAGUGUAAGGGCGAGAGGCUCCAAGUUGUGGAGAUUCCUCGCAAACGGGAUAUUGAAAGGCAAAGCAAAACACCAUGGUAUUCAAGUUGGUCUUUGGACCGCUUGUGAGGGGUUGAUUGCAACCCUCGUCCGUUGGGACGCCACAACGUGGAGUAGGCAAGCGUUGGUCUUGGCCGAACCACGGGAUAAACCACUGUGUCAUCUCUGUGUUUGAUCUCUUGUGGUAUUGUGUUUUGUUGAGACUCCUCUCUAGCCACUUGGCAAUUAUUGUGCUAACACUUAACAAUUUUUUGUGGCUAUAAGUUUAAGUUUCACAGGAUCACCUAUUCACCCCCCCUCUAGGUGCUCUCAUGUGUUGCUAGCCUCAUUGUGCAGGGAUGAGUACCACAAAGUGAGCGGCUUGGACAAUGCCAAGCAGAUCUGGGACACCCUCAAGAUCUCACAUGAGGGCAACGAUGUCACCAUGCUCACCAAGAUGGAGUUGGUGGAAGGCGAACUUGGGAGAUUCGCUAUGAUAAGGGGGGAGGAGCCAACCCAAACAUACAACCGGCUAAAGACCCUUGUCAACAAGAUAAGGAGCUACGGAAGCACGCGAUGGACGGACCACGACGUCGUCCGCCUAAUGUUAAGGUCGUUCACUGUCCUUGAUCCUCAUCUUGUGAACAAUAUUCGUGAGAAUCCUAGGUACAUCAAGAUGACGCCCGAGGAGAUACUUGGAAAGUUCGUGAGCGGGCGAAUGAUGAUCAAGGAAGCAAGAUACGUGGAUGACGCAUUGAAUGGUCCAAUCAAUGAGCCUCAACCUCUUGCUCUCAAGGCAACAAGAAGCAAGGAGACGCUACCUAGCAAGGUGGCACAAAUUGAGGCGGCUGGACUUAACGAUGAAGAGAUGGCACUCAUCAUCAAGAGAUUCAAGACGGCGCUAAAAGGUCGCAAGGGGCAGCCAAGCAAGACCAAGACAAAGGGGAAGCGCUCAUGCUUCAAAUGUGGUAAGCUUGGUCAUUUUAUUGCUAACUGUCCCGACAAUGAUAGUGAUCAGGAUCAAGGGAACAAGAGGGAAAAGAAGAAGUACUAUAAGAAGGCAAAGGGCGAGGCUCAUCUAGGCAAGGAGUGGGAUUCGGAUUGCUCCUCUUUCGACUCCGACAAUGAAGGACUCGCCGCCACCGCCUUCAACAAGUCAUCCCUCUUCCCCAACGAGCGUCACACAUGCCUUAUGGCAAGGGAGAAGAAGGUAUGUACUCGAAACACUACUUAUGCUUCUUCAAGUGAGGACGAAUCUAGUGAUGAGAAUGAAAUAGAUUAUUCAUGUUUAUUUAAAGGCUUAGAUAGAUCUAAGGUAGAUAAAAUUAAUGAAUUGAUUGAUGCCUUGAAUGAUAAGAAUAGGCUUUUAGAAAAGCAAGAGGAUUUGUUGUAUGAAGAACAUGACAAAUUUGUAGAAGCACAAAAAUCUCAUGCUCUAGAAGUUAAAAGAAAUGAAAUGCUUUCUUGUGAAUUAUCUUCUUGUCAUGAGACAAUUUCUAACUUAAAAAGCAUUAAUGAUGAUUUGAAUGCUAAGUUAGAAAUAGCUAGUAAAUCAACAUCUUGUGUAGAAAAUGAUGUUAUUUGCAAUAGGUGUAAAGAUCUUGAUAUUGAUGCUUGUAGUGAACACAUAGCCUCUAUUGCAAAAUUAAAUGAUGAAGUUGCUAGUCUUAAUGCCCAACUUAAGACUAGCAAAAGUGAAUUUGACAAAUUAAAAUUUGCAAGGGAUGCCUACACAAUUGGUAGACACCCCUCAAUUAAGGAUGGUCUUGGCUUCAAGAAGGAAGUCAAGAACUUAACAAGCCAUAAGGCUUCCAUCUCCACAAAGGAGAAAGGGAAGGCCCCUAUGGCAAGUAAUGCUAAAAAGAACCAUGCCUUCAUGUACCAUGAUAGAAAAUUUUCUGGAAAUGUUCAUGAUGAUAGGAGUUGUAAUGCUUAUAAUGCUUUUGACUCUCAUGCCAUGUUUGCUUCUAAUUCUUCCUAUAUGCAUGGUAGAAAUGUGUUUAGAAGAAAUACUGUUCAUCAUAUGCCUAGGAGAAAUGUUGUCAAUAUUCCUAGAAAAGUUAAUGAACCUUCUACAAUUUAUCAUGCUUGUGAUGCUUCAUUUGCAAUUUGUAGAAAGGAUAGAAAGGUGAUUGCUAGGAAAUUAGGGGCAAAAUGCAAGGGAGAUAAAACUUGCAUUUGGGUCCCUAAGACAAUUGUGACUAACCUUGUAGGACCCAACAAGAGUUGGGUACCUAAGUCCCAAGCCUAAAUUUUCCUUGCAGGUUUAUGCAUCCGGGGGUUCAAGCUGGAUUAUUGACAGCGGAUGCACAAACCAUAUGACGGGGGAGAAGAAGAUGUUUACCUCCUACGUCAAGAACAAGGAUUCCCAAGAUUCAAUAAUAUUCGGUGAUGGGAACCAAGGCAAGGUAAAAGGGUUAGGUAAAAUUGCAAUCUCAAAUGAGCACUCUAUUUCUAAUGUGUUUUUAGUUGAGUCUCUGGGAUAUAAUUUACUAUAUGUUAGUCAAUUAUGCAAUAUGGGAUAUAACUGUUUAUUCACAAACAUAGAUGUGUCUGUCUUUAGAAGGUGUGAUGGUUCACUAGCUUUUAAGGGUGUACUAGACGGCAAACUUUAUUUAGUUGAUUUUGCAAAAGAGGAGGCCGAUCUAGAUGCAUGCUUAAUUGCUAAGACUUGCAUGGGCUAGCUGUGGCAUCACCGCUUAGCACAUGUGGGGAUGAAGAAUCUUCACAAGCUUUUAAAGGGAGAACAUGUGAUAGGUUUAACUAACGUGCAAUUCGAAAAAGAUAGACCUUGUGCAGCAUGUCAAGCAGGUAAACAGGUGGGAGGAGCACAUCACAGCAAGAAUGUGAUGACCACAUCAAGGCCCCUGGAGCUGCUACAUAUGGACCUCUUCGGACCCGUCGCCUAUCUAAGCAUAGGGGGAAGUAAGUAUGGUUUAGUUAUUGUGGAUGACUUUUCCCGCUACACUUGGGUAUUCUUUUUGCAGGAUAAGUCUGAAACCCAAGGGACCCUCAAGCGCUUCCUAAGGAGAGCUCAAAACGAGUUUGAGCUCAAGGUGAAAAAAACAAGGAGCGACAAUGGGUCCGAGUUCAAGAACCUUCAAGUGGAGGAGUACCUUGAAGAGGAAGGGAUCAAGCACGAGUUCUCCGCUCCCUACACACCACAGCAAAAUGGUGUGGUAGAGAGGAAGAACAGGACGCUAAUCGAUAUGGCGAGGACGAUGCUUGGAGAGUUCAAGACCCCCGAGCGUUUUUGGUCGGAAGCCGUGAACACGGCUUGCCACGCCAUCAACAGGGUCUACCUUCACCGCCUCCUCAAGAAGACGUCGUAUGAGCUUCUAACCGGUAACAAACCCAAUGUAUCUUACUUUCGUGUAUUUGGGAGCAAAUGCUACAUUCUAGUGAAGAAGGGUAGAAAUUCUAAGUUUGCUCCCAAAGCUGUAGAAGGGUUUUUGUUAGGUUAUGACUCAAAUACAAAGGCGUAUAGGGUCUUCAACAAAUCAUCGGGUUUGGUUGAAGUCUCUAGCGACGUUGUAUUUGAUGAGACUAAUGGCUCUCCAAGAGAGCAAGUUGUUGAUCUUGAUGAUGUAGAUGAAGAAGAUGUUCCGACGGCCGCUAUACGAACCAUGGCGAUUGGUGAUGUGCGACCACAGGAACAAGAUGAGCAAGAUCAACCUUCUUCCUCGACUGUGGUGCAUCCCCCAACUCAAGACGAUGAACAGGUUCAUCAACAGGAGGCGUGUGAUCAAGGGGGAGCACAAGAUGAUCAUGUGAUGGAGGAAGAAGCGCAACCGGCACCUCCAACCCAAGUUCGAGCGAUGAUUCAAAGGGAUCAUCCCGUCGAUCAAAUUCUGGGUGAUAUUAGCAAGGGAGUAACUACUCGAUCUCGAUUAGUUAAUUUUUGUGAGCAUUACUCCUUUGUCUCUUCUAUUGAGCCUUUCAGGGUAGAGGAGGCCUUGCUAGAUCCGGACUGGGUGUUGGCCAUGCAAGAGGAGCUCAACAACUUCAAGAGAAAUGAAGUUUGGACGCUGGUGCCUCGUCCUAAGCAAAAUGUUGUGGGAACCAAGUGGGUGUUCCGCAACAAACAAGACGAGCACGGAGUGGUGACGAGGAACAAGGCUCGACUUGUGGCAAAUGGGUAUGCCCAAGUCGCAGGUUUGGACUUUGAGGAGACUUUUGCUCCUGUGGCUAGACUAGAGUCCAUUCGUAUUUUGCUAGCAUAUGCCGCUCACCAUUCUUUCAGGUUGUUCCAAAUGGAUGUGAAGAGCGCUUUCCUCAACGGGCCAAUCAAGGAGGAGGUGUACGUAGAGCAACCCCCUGGCUUCGAGGAUGAACGGUACCCUGACCACGUGUGUAAGCUCUCUAAGGCGCUCUAUAGACUUAAGCAAGCCCCAAGAGCAUGGUAUGAAUGCCUUAGAGACUUUCUAAUUGCUAAUGCUUUCAAGGUUGGGAAAGCCGAUCCAACUCUGUUCACUAAGACUUGUGACGGUGAUCUUUUUGUAAGCCAAAUUUAUGUCGAUGACAUAAUAUUUGGUUCUACUAAUAAAAAGUCUUGUGAAGAGUUUAGCAGGGUAAUGACGCAGAAAUUCGAGAUGUCGAUGAUGGGCGAGUUGAACUACUUCCUUGGGUUCCAAGUGAAGCAACUCAAGGAUGGCACCUUCAUCUCUCAAACGAAGUACACGCAAGACUUGCUGAAGCGGUUUGGGAUGAAGGAUGCCAAGCCCGCAAAGACUCCGAUCGGGACCGACGGACACACCGACCUCAACAAAGGAGGUAAGUCCGUUGAUCAAAAUGCAUACCGGUCAAUGAUAGGGUCUUUACUUUAUUUAUGUGCUAGUAGACCGGAUAUUAUGCUUAGCGUUUGCAUGUGUGCUAGAUUUCAAUCCGAUCCUAAGGAGUGUCACUUAGUGGCAGUGAAGCGAAUCCUUAGAUAUUUAGUUGCUACGCCUUGCUUCGGGCUCUGGUAUCCAAAGGGGUUGUUGGUGACUUGUUCUCAAAUGCUAAGAGUUAAGAACAAGGCAACAUGAAAAGUGUUAAAUGUUAAAGUCCUUCAUCCUUCGAAGGACUUUAUGUCCCUUCGGGAAAUAAUGAGUUUCGGACGAAGGUCAUAAGAGACAUACCUUCGUAAAUAUAGUAGGUAAAAACGAAAGACUCAUAUAAAGCAUGAGAUAUAAUAUAAGCAUCAUCAUGGAAUCAUUUCUAUUUUAUUAACAUGGGAAAAUAGAAAUGAUUUCAAAUUACAGAUGUACCUUCGGUCCUGAGAGAAGGUAAAAAGUACAGGCGUGACGCAAAAGCAAAUGCAAAGUCAGCGUGAACAGUACGGGAGUACUGUUCAUCUAUUUAUAGACGCGGGAUGCAGCCCACGUAAAAUUACAUCCAUGUCCAUUACAUUUGUUAACGGUUUAUGGAAAUCUAUUGAGGACCCCGAAGUCUUUUCAUCUUAAGGUCGGUUCCCCCUUGUGCCAUCGCGCCGAAGCUUCCCUGCGUACAGCUUCGGCUGCCCCCGACCUUCGUCUGGCUCAACCUUCGUCCUGGUCGUGCUCCAUAUCCAUAAUUCUGAAUCCGAAAAUACCUGUUCAUAUAAUUCACUUGGAAAACAUUGUCAAAUCAUGUUUUUGAGGACCUUCGGAGGACGAAGGCCCCCAACAGUAGCCCCUCGCAAUAUUAAUUUGUAAAUAAUAAAUUCAGAUUGCGAUAUGGACGAAGGCCUUGAGCCGAAGGUCCGAAAAAACACCUUCCCUUUGCUAGAAUAGCAACAUUCACUGACAAGCGGGGCCUUUUAACUUUCAACGCCCUAGGCGUAUAAAUAAGAACACAUCGUGAAUUCAUUUGGUACACACGCUUGCCUUUUGCUUCGGCCCACUAAAAAUUUUUAGCUCUUGCUCAUUGAGAUUUGCUGGUCUUUUUGAUUUCGAAGCUUCGGCCUCGGGAACAAAUUUUUAGUGUUUCCGAAGAUGUCUGAAGACAAGAAGAUCCCUGCCGAGACGAAGCUGAGUCUCGAGGAGGAGAAGAAUCUGGGGUUCCUGAUAGCGAUGGCAGAGACUAAUACAGAGAAAAUCACGAAGGAGAUUCUCGAAGGUUUGUCCGAAGAUACUGAUGACAGCGACAGCUAUGAUGUGGAAAGUGAUGGGGAAGAGGCCGAAGAUCGACCGUGGCGACCAAGUCACUCAGUUUUUGGGAAAACAACCAUCAAGCAGAGUCACAUUGAUAAUAUGAGGGGGCGAUACUUCCGAGACAUAUCUAUUGUGAGAGCUGAUGCCGGGGAAAAGACUUCUCCCACCCCUGAAGAAGAUGAAGUUGUAAUUUUCCGAAGCCUCCUCAAGGCUGGGCUUCGAUUCCCCCUGAGCAACUUUGUUGUUGAGGUACUGAAAACAUUCCAAAUCUACCUUCAUCAACUCACUCCCGAAGCUAUUAUAAGAAUGGGGAUUUUUGUCUGGGCUGUGAGAAGCCAAGGUUUGGAGCCAAACGCUAAAAGCUUCUGCAACAUACACGAGUUAUUGUACGAGACGAAGCCCUGGGGAAAGGAGCAAUACCACAACAACUUUGGGUGCUACAGCUUCGGCGCCCGCUCCGGGUCAAGCUACCCUGUGCCAACCUUUCGGAAGAGGUGGCCCGGAGCCUGGAUGUCUGAAUGGUUUUAUGUGAAAAAUGAUCUAACAGCGCAAAAUAAUGUCCAAAGUAUCAUUAUGUACCCAAUUUGGCAACGCUUCGGACUUCGAAGGCCGAAGGUUGAAAUGGAUGAGGCAGCCGAAGAAUGCCAAAGAGCCUUCGGCGCAGUCUGCUCUUUCAUUGGGACAAGGGACUUGGUCCAGGAGCACAUUGCCUUCAGGAUAUGGCCACUUGCAGAAAAGUGGGAAAUGCCGAAAGAAACCAUCAAAGAGUCCGACGAAGGCGGACUAGUCAGAUUAAAAUACACAUUCAAAUAUGCAGAUAAAUUUAUUGAACCUGAUGAUGACUGGCUGAAAAGCAUUGAAACAUUAAGUGAUGAAUUACUUGGGGCAUUCUCGAAGGCUGAAAAUACUGCACUAUCAGCAGCCUUCGGAGGCCGCAAAAAGAAGAGACUGAACCGAGUGUUUGAUGCAAUCGGGUUCUUCUACCCUGAUUAUUGUUAUCCCAUCCGAAGGCAGAAAAGGAAAAGCAUAACCUCUGAAAAAGAAGAAGCUGGAACCGCUCCUAGCGAGCCAGAACCAAAAGGAAAAAGGCUGAAGGUCUUCACACACCGACCACGCCAUAUUGAGCCAGCUUCGGUGCCGGAGUUUACCGGGAAAACUUCUUCAGCCACCGAAGCUGAAAAACCAAACGAGCCGGCCUUGCUGCCAGAGAUCGCAGAAACGGCCGAAGUGCCACCAAAGAUAGAAUCAGAACAAUCAAACAUUUUGUUGUCAGAAACAAAAGAGAAAACCGAAGCGCCGCUCACAGAAAAAAUUGAGAAAGUAAGAGAAGCAACUGAGGGCUUCAAAACAUCAGAAGUUUUGAGUCCUACAGCAAUCAUUGGGACGGCAAAAAAUGAAAAAGUGCCAGCUGCAACUCCGAAGAGAAAGAGAAUGGCUAAUGUGCUAGACGUAUUGGAAACGAUCAAAUCUUCGAGCACACCUCCGAAGAAAGCUGCUAUUACUCCUGAAACAAAAGCUGAAAUCUCUGGUUCUACAGCUCCAGAGGAAGAGAUUGAAGCCGAAGCUGGACCCUCAGAGUCCGCAAAAACUUUGAGAAGUGAGGCAGAGAAAAUAACAAAGCUAACUAUUGAAGAAUCUAGUGUUGCUGCCCCCGAAGCAUCCCCCAAAAUUCGUGAUUAUAUUUUUCGUCAUGCUUCGGGGAAAAAAUUAUCAGAAAAAGAAGAACAAGAGGCCCAGCAUUAUGCCCAAAAACUGAAAUAUCCGAAGGGGGCGUUAAUAUUUAAUGGCAGUGGAGAAGGAGACUUCUUGUACUGUCUUCCCGACAACAAGGAAAUUUCUGUCUGUCGGGAGAUAGGCAGAAGCUUUGGAUUCCCAACUUUAGAAGACGGACUUUCGGUGCUAUCAAAAAACGAUCUGGCUGACAGCCUAGCUUAUAACAGUUUAAAGGUAUGAUAAAUGAAAUCCUUGUAUUUUUCCGUUCAUUUAAACCCUCUGACACACACACAUAUUCCUUUUUGCAGGGCUUGAUACUUAGCAAUGCUCUCAGAGCCCAGAAAGAUACUGAAGACGAAGGGUGUACUAUAGCCCUGAGCAACCUUCGUUCCGAAGUAAUUGAACUGAGGAACGAAGGUCUCGAAAAAGACAAAAUAUUAUACUCAUUGAUAGAUAAAAUAAAGGAGGACGAAGCUGCCUUCAAAAGUCAGGCUGAAGCUCAGAAACGCGAAAUUGAAGACCUUCGGAAACAACUGGCCAGAGCUAAAGAAGAACGUAUACUUGAAGAAACAAAGCGUGAACUCAGCGAUCAAUGGGCAGAACACCUAGAAGUGACUGUUGAAGAGCUUCGUUCAUCCAAAAAGAGAUGCUACAAUAAAUCUAUAGACUGUGUUAAAAAAUUAAAGGCUAGCUUCGCCAAGGUCGGCGCAUUCUCAAGUGAAGAAAAUUUUCUGAGGGGCAAUCCCGAAAGUGUCAUUGAAUGGAUUGACCACGAAGCUGAAGUCUUCGAAGAAAUUUUAAAUAGCCGAGGAGAUAUAUGUGCCUUCUCUGGCGCCAGAGGGAUUGCCACUAUUUUAGAGAAGAAGGGCUGUGAACAUGUGAAAAUUUUAGCACAGUCCGAAGCCACCUUGUCGACUGAAGAUAUAAAAGAUCCUUCAGCCGAAGCUAGCGCGGUUGGAGGAAAAUUUUUUACCGACAUCUGGGACAACGGUGGCCGAGAAAUGGCAAGAGAAAUUAUUCAGAGAAGUGAAAAGGGCAUCCAUGAUGCUAGAGAAGUGGCUAAGGCUGCUGAAAAGAGCACAGAGCCCGAAGGUCAAUUAGGUACUAAAUAAUAGCUUCUACCGUGUUGUAAUCUUUAGGCUUUUAAGAUCUGUUUGCGAUUUGUAAUAGUAAUGUAGUCGUGUCCUGCUUCAGAUCCGACUAAAGCGCCUUCGGGCCCUCAGCCGAAGGGGGACGACGAAAUUAAAAAGAUGGCCGAAGAUAUUAUGGACGAAGUCGUCAAUCGGCUUCUGAAUGAAGCUGCAGGAGUCGUUUUGAGAGAGGAUUAAACAUUUUUGUAAAAAACUUCGGAAAUGUAAUAUAAUGUAACAUUUUUGUAACCCCGAAUGUAAUAUAUCUAUUUUUGCUACUCAAUUCUUUACGAUGCAUGAAACUUUACACACGUACCGUUUUUGAGUUUGGCGAAAAAAACACCUUCCCUUCUUUUCAUGCUUCGUGAAGAAUAUCCAAACUUCGUGAAAAAAUUCUCCGAAGCUAUACUUCCGAAGAUGAAGAUUGAUUCUCUUUACGACCAUGAUUUUCACUCUUUCAAAUCAUACUUUCGAAAAUCAAUAUUGUGUCCCCUUCUUGGGACCACGAUUUUCACUCUUUCAAAUCAUACUUCCGAAGAUCAAUAUUGUGUCCCCUUCUUGGGACCACGAUUUUCACUCUUUCAAAUCAUACUUCCGAAGAUCAAUAUCGUGUCCCCUUCUUGGGCCAUAUGCAACAUGAUGUAUGAUGCUUAUGCUAUGCAAAAUGAUGUAAUGAUGUUAUGCUACGUAGAUGACAUUUGUUCCGAAAGAUACACACAUAUCCCCACACAAUAUUUUUGUAUCAGCACUGAUUCUUCGCUGUAAGCUCUGCAUUCCCUUAGGAACGUCUUUGGAGCUUCUUCGCCUCUUACUUAGGCGGUAUAAGCUCUGCAUUCCCUUAGGAACGUCUUUGGAGCUUCUUCGCCUUUUACUUAGGCGGUAUAAGCUCUGCAUUCCCUUAGGAACGUCUUUGGAGCUUCUUCGCCUUUUACUUAGGCGGUAUCAGCGUUGACUUUUCGCUGUAGGCUCUGCAUUCCUUUAGGAACGACUUCUGAGCAGAAAACUUACACUGCGCUCCCUUUGGAACGGCUUUUUGUGACUUCACAAACUUACUCUGCGUUCCUUAGAACGACUUUUCGUUACUCCGAAGGAUUUUUAAUUCGAAGGUCCUCCUUGGUAACGGAAAAAAUUUUUAAUCUUCAGCAACUUAAGCUUGUGGAGCAAAUAGAUCUUCCUCGUGGAAAACAACGACAUUAUUACAUGAAAACUAUCAAUGUUUUUUGCUUGACAGAAAACAAAACUGAAUAAGAAAGACUGCUAUCAAAGAUAGGAUAUGUGUCAAUAAAUGUGUUUCGACUCUGGCACAGUGCUGUUGACUGUGCGAGCUUCGGACUGCUCUCUGAAGUCCCUCUGCUGUGGAGCGUAUUGACUCCCUUCUGGCUGCUGACCUUGUUGCAACGGAGGUGGAGGCGGAGGCUGUUGCCAGGAAGCUGAAGGCUGACUUGCCGAAGCAGCAGAGACUACAGGAUGAUUGCCCACAUAUUCUGGGAUGUAGGGCGAAUGAUACGAAGCUGUAUGCAUGACCUGCUUCGGCUGGGCUUGUUGUGCUGCUGCUUCAGCUAUUUCCUUUUGCUUCUGUAUAGUAACAUGGCACAUCCUGGUAGUAUGGCCUUUGUUCUCACCACAGAAUAAGCAAAAGAUUCUUCUUGGUUGAUCGCCAAAUCUUCCUCCGAAGCCCCUGGCGCCUCUGCCUCUUGGAGCUGGUGGUCGGAAGGAGCUUUGCUGUUGCCCCGAAGCCUGUGAGGAGUACUGUGGCCUUUGCUGCUGGCUCCCUUUAUCAUCAUUUUGAUUGGAAUUAUGAAUUGAUCUGACAUGCCUCGGAUAGAAUCUUCCUCCGAAGCCCCUGGUCAUCUCAGAAAAUCUGAAGGCCUCCUCCCUUCUUUGGCGAAAAUCAUUGUCAGCUCGAAUAUAUUCAUCCAUCUUCUGGAGCAGCUUCUCCAGCGUUUGAGGAGGCUUCCUGGCGAAGUACUGAGCUGACGGACCUGGCCGAAGCCCCUUGAUCAUGGCCUCAAUGACAAUUUCAUUGGGCACCGUUGGUGCCUGUGCCCUCAAACGCAAAAACCUUCGGACAUAUGCCUGAAGGUAUUCUUCGGGGUCCUGAGUGCACUGGAACAGAGCCUGAGCAGUGACCGGCUUCGUUUGAAAUCCUUGAAAGCUGGUUAACAACAAGUCCUUCAGCUUCUGCCAUGAAGUGAUCGUUCCUGGUCGAAGGGAGGAAUACCAGGUUUGAGCAACACUUCUGACAGCCAUAACAAAAGAUUUGGCCAUGACUGAAGCAUUGCCACCGUACGAAGACACUGUUGCUUCGUAGCUCAUCAAAAACUGCUUCGGAUCAGAAUGGCCAUCAAAUACGGGGAGCUGAGGCGGCUUGUAGGACGGAGGCCAAGGCGUAGCCUGCAACUCAGCGGACAAGGGAGAAGCAUCAUCAAAAACAAAAUUCCCAUGAUGGAAAUUGUCAUACCAGUCAUCUUCGUUGUGAAAGCCCUCCUGAUGAAGGUCUUGAUGCUGAGGCCUUCGGAAUUGCUCAUCCUGAGCAAGAUGACGAACUUCUUCAGAGGCUUCAUCUAUCUGCCUCUGCAGUUCAGCUAGCCUGGCCAUCUUCUCCUUCCUGCGUUGAACCUGUUGCUGAAGGAUUUCCAGAUUCUGAAUUUCCUGAUCUAGAUCAUCCUCCGGAUGUGUUGGACUGGUAGCCUUCCUCUUCUGGCUUCGUGCCUCUCUGAGAGAAAGGACAUCUUGAUUGGGGUCCAGCGGCUGCAGCGUGCCAGCCCCUGGUGCUGGAGCCUUCUUCGGCGGCAUGACGAAGCUGAUGCUUGCCGAAGGUGCCGAAAAACUCAAGAAGUGGAAGUGAGUUCACCGGAGGUGGGCGCCAAUGUUGGUGACUUGUUCUCAAAUGCUAAGAGUUAAGAACAAGGCAACAUGAAAAGUGUUAAAUGUUAAAGUCCUUCAUCCUUCGAAGGACUUUAUGUCCCUUCGGGAAAUAAUGAGUUUCGGACGAAGGUCAUAAGAGACAUACCUUCGUAAAUAUAGUAGGUAAAAACGAAAGACUCAUAUAAAGCAUGAGAUAUAAUAUAAGCAUCAUCAUGGAAUCAUUUCUAUUUUAUUAACAUGGGAAAAUAGAAAUGAUUUCAAAUUACAGAUGUACCUUCGGUCCUGAGAGAAGGUAAAAAGUACAGGCGUGACGCAAAAGCAAAUGCAAAGUCAGCGUGAACAGUACGGGAGUACUGUUCAUCUAUUUAUAGACGCGGGAUGCAGCCCACGUAAAAUUACAUCCAUGUCCAUUACAUUUGUUAACGGUUUAUGGAAAUCUAUUGAGGACCCCGAAGUCUUUUCAUCUUAAGGUCGGUUCCCCCUUGUGCCAUCGCGCCGAAGCUUCCCUGCGUACAGCUUCGGCUGCCCCCGACCUUCGUCUGGCUCAACCUUCGUCCUGGUCGUGCUCCAUAUCCAUAAUUCUGAAUCCGAAAAUACCUGUUCAUAUAAUUCACUUGGAAAACAUUGUCAAAUCAUGUUUUUGAGGACCUUCGGAGGACGAAGGCCCCCAACAGGGGUCUACCUUUGACUUGAUUGGAUAUUCAGAUUCCGACUAUGCUGGAUGUAAGGUCGAUAGGAAGAGUACAUCGGGGACGUGCCAAUUCUUAGGAAGGUCCCUAGUGUCAUGGAACUCUAAGAAACAAACCUCCGUUGCCCUAUCCACCGCUGAGGCCAAGUAUGUUGCCGUAGGAAAGUGUUGCGCAGAACUACUUUGGAUGAGGCAAACCCUCAGGGACUUUGGCUACAAUCUGAGCAAAGUCCCACUCCUAUGUGAUAAUGAGAGUGCUAUCCGCAUGGCGGAAAAUCCUGUUGAACACAGCCGCACAAAGCACAUUGACAUCCGGCAUCACUUUUUGAGAGACCACCAGCAAAAGGGAGAUAUCGAAGUGUUCCAUGUUAGCUCCGAGAACCAGCUAGCCGAUAUCUUUACCAAGCCUUUAGAUGAGCAGACCUUUUGCAGGUUGCGUAGUGAGCUAAAUGUCUUAGAUUCGCGGAACCUGGAUUGAUUUAUAGCAUACAUGUGCUUAUGCCUUUGAUCAUGUUCCCUAUGCAUUUUGUUGCUUAGUUAUGGUGCUCAAGUUGUACAAACACUCCCUGGACCUCACAAGUCCGUUGCAAAAGUGAUGCACAUGUUUAGGGGGAGAUGUGUUACAACUUGACCCUUUGAGACUAACCAUGUGCUUGAGUUUGAUGAUUUAGUCUCGAAGAAGGGUUACAAAUUGAAAGGGAAAAGGUGGACUUGGACCAUGAAAGACUUCCACUGCACUCCGAUGAGAGGGUAACUUAUUCCAAGUUCAUCUCAUGUACUCUUAUUGCCUUUAUAUUCUUAUUGAAGAUUUUGGUGAGGCAAUGGGGUUCUAGGGCCAAGAUUGAUCCCGUUUUGGUGCUUGAUGCCAAAGGGGGAGAAAAUAAAGGCCAAAGCAAUAAAUGGAUCAGCUACCACUUGAGAGAUUUUGAAAAUAGUAGAAUAGAGCUUUUGGUUUGUCAAAACUCUUUUUGUCUCUCUUGUCAAAAGUUGGCUUCUUAUGGGGAGAAGUCUUGAUUAUGGGAAAAAGGGGAGUUUUUUUUGAAAUCUUGGAUCAAUUUCUCUUGGAAUGACUCUCUUUAUGUCUUAACAUGUGUGUUUGACUUAGAGAUAGAAAUUUGAGGUUGAUUUGCAUAAACAAACCAAGUGGUGGCAAAGAGUGAUCCAUAUAUGUCAAAUGUAAAUCAAAACAGUUUGAGUUCUUAUUUGAAUUGAUUUUGCACUUGUUCUACUUGCUUUAUGUUAUGUUGGCAUAAAUCACCAAAAAGGGGGAGAUUGAAAGGGAAAUGUGCCCUUGGGCCAUUUCUAAGUAUUUUGGUGAUUGAGUGCCAACACAAGUGCUUUUGUGUUGAUCUAUGCAAUGUGGUGGACUAAGUGCAAAUCAUGUCAAAAGGUAUGUUUCUAGACUUAGUACAUUAUUUUAUGGACUAAUGUAUUGUGUCUAAGUGCUGGAAACAGGAAAAAUCGAAUUGGAAAUGAGAUGGCUUUGUUCAGCCAAGUCUGCUCAGUCUGGGAGCACCGGACUGUCCGGUGGUGCACCAGACAGUGUCCGGUGCGCCAUGCUGGCUCGAGCGAACUGGCCGCUCUCGGGAAUUCACUGGCGACGUACGGCUAUAAUUCACCGGACUGUCCGGUGUGCACCGGACUGUCCGGUGUGCACCGGACUGUCCGGUGAGCCAACGGUCGGCCGGGCCAACGGUCGGCCGCGCGAUCUGCGCGGGACACGUGGCCGAGCCAACGGCUAGAAGGAGGCACCGGACUGUCCGGUGUGCACCGGACAUGUCCGGUGCGCCAACGGCUCUCUGGCUGCUAACGGUCGGCUGCGCCAUUUAAGGAAAGAAAUCGGGCACCGGACAGUGUCCGGUGUGCACCGGACUGUCCGGUGCGCCACACGACAGAAGGCAAGGAUUGCCUUCCCAGAUUGCUCUCAACGGCUCCUAGCUGCCUUGGGGCUAUAAAAGGGACCCCUAGGCGCAUGGAGAAGAACACCAAGCAUCCUUUGAGCAUUCUUGAUCACUCACACUCCACUCUUGCGCACUUGUUCGAUAUUCUAGUGAUUUGAGCCCCGUUCUAGUGUGCUAGUCUUGUAAGCUCAAGUCUGGGUCUUGUGUGUGCGUAUUUGCUGUGAUCUUUGUGUCUUGUGUGAGUUGCUCAUCCCUCCCUUACUCUGUGAUUCUUUGUGAACAUCAAAAGUGUAAGGGCGAGAGGCUCCAAGUUGUGGAGAUUCCUCGCGAACGGGAUAAGAAAAGAAAAGCAAAACACUGUGGUAUUCAAGUUGAUCAUUGGAUCACUUGAGAGGAGUUGAGUGCAACUCUCGUCCGUUGGGACGCCACAACGUGGAGUAGGCAAGUUUUGUACUUGGCCGAACCACGGGAUAAACCACUGUGUCAUCUCUGUGAUUGAUCUCUUGUGGUUAUUGUGUUUUGUUGAGACUCCUCUCUAGCCACUUGGCAAUUAUUGUGCUAACCUUAACCAAGUUUUGUGGCUUAAGUUUUAAGUUUCACAGGAUCACCUAUUCACCCCCCCCCUCUAGGUGCUCUCAACUCUCCACCAACAAGAGAGAUAGAAAUCUAUUAGAAGCCAGAGCUCCAGCUUGCUAGUUCGAUUUGAUGGCAGCAACUAACACGACAAUGACGCUCAGCAUGAUAUGAAGAUUGCCAUCGAUAGGAAGGCUCAUCACCUGCUGUUCGCGGAGGCGAGAAAGGAUGUGGUCGACUUCUUCUCCCUACUCGUCCUGCUCGUCGGCGCGACCGUCAAACUGCUGGGGAAUAAGGGCAUGGCCGGCAGCACCGACAACCUCUAUGAUAGUGUGGAGGGCCUCGAAUACGCCCACAUCCAGACCAUUGUCGUGCAUCGAGGAAGAUGGACUUGAGACCCACUUAAUGCCUUUCCAUAAUAGUAGCAUUUUCUAUGUGAUUGGAGAUCUCAUGAAGUAGAAUGGUGAAACAAGCUAGAGAAUGACCGAUGGAGAGACUCCUUAAAUAAAAUCUAGGUAAUUUCAUAUGCACAUUUCUCCUUUGAUGUACGAUAGGCUAACUAAAAUCUUAAUAUGAUUUGAGUGACUUAUCUAAGCAGGGAUGUUAUCUUAUAGAACAUCUUAGAAGGAACACACCUAUAUGAGUUUGACUGCUAGUCACAAUCUAUGAUAUGUGGGCAAUAUUUAUAUACUCAUGAAAGGUCUCGAAGUUUGACUUAUAUGCUUCAAACCAAGGGGAUUCUUGUAAUAGUCUAGUACUAGAUAAGAACUUUGGUGAAACUCACUUCAUACAAAACUGUCAAUUCAAUAUAUAGUCUAUUGUUCAGAUGUGAUUGUGUAAUCCCUGUUCUAGAUGGAUGGUCAACUUAACAACCUCCACCAAAACCCUUAUAUAUCAAAGAGUAGUGGAUUUGAAUUUGCCUAAUAUGUAGUUUAUGGGCUUGGCUCAUUUAAAGUAUUUAAUAAUUCUGAAUGACAAGAUUAAACUAACUAUGUAUGAUCCUUUAGCUCCGUACAGAUGGUCGAUGGGAUAGUUACAUGGUUUAUGUAGAUGGACCUAUCUAUAUUCCUUCAGUGGUUGAGAGAAAGGUAAAGGUGUGUCACACUCACGCGUGCGCCGCCUCCGCCGAGACAAGGUGUGGCGUUGCAAGGUGAGGCAUGGUAUGGUGCAGCACGAUCACAGUCAUGGUCGUGGCACGAUGUAGCAUUGUUGUGGAUAGAUAGAUAAACUAUUGUUGUAGUUAGAGCGCGUGAGUUUUUGAAUGCAACACUAGAAUUUUCACAAUUUAACUUAAUUAAGAAGUUAUAUCUUGAUGACACAGAGUUACCUGACCAUUGAUCUCACAUGCCAUUUUAGCUCUCUCGUUCUCUAGUCUCACCCUAACUAUUUAGGUCUCCUGACUCACCAAUAUAAACACCAUCCUAUCAUUUGCUCUCCAAUACUUCUCUGUCACAACUCAACUAUUAGAUGAGUACUCCAUUACAACACUUACGUACACGAGUUCAUGAGAUCAGGCCUCCAAAAUGAAUAUCGGCUAAGUGUUUAUCUACUUAGAUGAAAGACGAUAAUCGUGUUCUUGGGAAAUAUCAGCGACAUAACUCCUUACUUCCUCUGCUUCUUCCUAGUGUUUUUGUUGUUGUGAUUGAGUCGACACAGCAACAACGCUGCACUAUUACAACCAGUACGAUUAUAUCAACUAACAAUGUCUUCCUUAUAUGUUACUAUUUAUUUUGCUCAUAUUCAUUAUGCUUAAAUCACAUGUGCACCUUUCUAUUGACAUCAAAAAUAGUAUCAACUUUCUAGAUUAAAAUGCAACUAAAAGUACCUAAAUUUCUAUCAGUGGGGAUUGAGUGAUUCUUUAAACCGAUUAUUACAUAAGUUAACCACACUAAAAUUAACAUUGGUGAAUCGUGCCAUGAUUUUUUUCUAGUGCAAAAUAGCCAAACCAAGCAACACAUAUGUGGCUAUCGUUACACAUUUGUAAAGGUAUUGCAUCACACCAUUGUCACCCAUGUAUUUGGACAAUAACGAGAGGAAAAACCACUUAUUUAUUGUAUUUUAUCAAGUUUGUCUUGCUUACGUAUAAAUUAUAACCCAACAAAGUAAUCACUAAAUGUCAAAACCAACUAGAUACCAUGUCAUCUCUACCUUAUCUUACUAAUGUUCUUUUUGCAAAAUCCAAAAGUAAUCUUGCACAAGCACAAGGACUGAUAUGUGUAUAAAUAUCUCUUAGAUUAGUAGUUAAUACAUCACUCAUAUUAUUAAGACCAACUAGCAACAUAGAAAGCACAAUAGUGUACCAACAAUGGCAACCAAAAUAUUUUGCUUCCUUAUGCUCCUUGGUCUUUCUGCAAGUGCUGCUACCGCGACCAUUUUCCCGCAAUGCUCACAAGCUCCUAUAGCUUCCCUUCUUCCCCCAUACCUCUCACCAGCGGUGUCUUCAGUAUGUGAAAACCCAAUUCUUCAACCCUACAGGAUCCAACAGGCAAUCGCAGCAGGCAUCUUACCUUUAUCACCCUUGUUCCUCCAACAACCGUCAGCCCUAUUACAGCAGUUACCUUUGGUGCAUUUGUUGGCACAAAACAUCAGGGCACAACAACUACAACAACUUGUGCUAGCAAACCUUGCUGCCUACUCUCAGCAACAGCAGUUUCUUCCAUUCAACCAACUGGCUGCAUUGAACUCUGCUGCUUAUUUGCAACAACAACUACCAUUCAGCCAACUAGCUGUUGUCUACCCCCAGCAAUUUCUUCCAUUCAACCAACUAGCAACAUUGAACUCUGCUGCUUAUUUACAACAGCAACAGCUACCACCAUUCAACCAGCUAGCUAAUGUGAGCCCUGCUGCCUUCUUGACACAACAAUAGUUGUUGUCGUUCUAC